AAGGUUUCAGUUACUUCUUCGACUAAGCAAUACAAAGCUGGAGAGAGCCUGUGUCCGAAGAAGCUUAAAGUUGUUGAAGUUGUGAAGUUCAGGGAUGUUAUCAGUAAUGAAUUUUACUUCCAGAUGUAUUGUGAUGAUCUUCCAGUCUAGGGGUACAUCCGAAAAGUUGAAGAUGAGAGCUGGGAAAAGGGACCAAGUAUUAUCUGUUCACACAUUUUCUUUUUGAUGUUCUUUACAAUGGAAACCAAGUAAUAGAAAUACAUGCUUUUAGUGAUCCAAAUCAUGCUGUUGAUGUAACAGAAGAUAUUGAUAUUGACGUUGAGUUCACUUAUUCGGUUAACUGGAAAGCCACAUCAACUCAGUUCCAGAACAGGAUGGACAAGUACUCAAAGGCUUCAUUAAUGCCAGUCCGCCAGAAAAUUCAUUGGUUGUCAUUCAUUAUUAUCAUCAUUGUGCUUUUGAUGGGAUUGCUUGCUUUGCUCAUAGUACGCCGCCUCAAGAAUGAGAUGAAAAAGUAAAACAUUAUUCACAAUCUUGUCCAACUACAUUAUAUUUUUACUUGGUCAGCCUAGUGUAAUUAAUCUUGUCAUAGGUUCUCAAACAGUGACGAAGAAGAAGACAAGGAGGUUGGCUGGAAAUACAUUCAUGGUGAUGUUUUCAGAUAUCCCCCAAACAUGUCAUUGUUUUGUGCUGUCUUGGGCGUGGGUACCCAACUGCUUGCCAUGUAAGCUAAUUUAUCAUUCUUCAGUCACUUCUCUUCUUGUUUCAUAGCUUUAUGUUCUGUAGAUAGCAUGGUGACAGAUAUUUUACUCUGUUUUUACCUUGAAGGGAACACCUAUAGAACAGAGGGACAUCAUAGCCUCUGUAAAUGUUGAACACCUACACAUAAUUUCAUGUGCACAUAAGAUGUAGGACUAUAAGAGCAGUUAGGCAGACAAGAAGAUAUUUGGACUCACUCCAUCCUUUGGCAUCCCCCAGAAGGUGCCUUGGAAACACUCCAAGGUUAAUGUGCCUACACACUAGCAGAAAAUCCAAGAUUUCUUUCCACUAACACUGAUUUUGAAAGCUAACAAGCUAGCCCCUUUUAGGCUAAUUGGUACAUGAAUCUUGAAAGAUCUACAUUAAUAUACUUAGGAAUUCUAAAGACUAAUUUAUGAUACUUACUGCAUUAAUAUUGCAACUCAAAGACAUUGAACUUGCAGACUAUGUGUAAACUGCACUUAUUACAGAAGAGACCAGUAAUACUCUAAUUUAUUGAAUUUUGAACUUGGCUCCUCCAUUGGUGUAUGAAUCUCGAGUAGAAUAUUGUGAUUAUUCAGUACUGUUUAAAAAAAAAUGCAGACUCUAUGAGUGUCAACUUUUAAACUUUGUUUUAGUUUUAACUUUGACUUUUUUUUAAAUCUUCAGGCUGUUUAUCUUAUUUUUGCUAGCAUUUUUUGGAGUCCUAUAUCUGAAUUUGGGUAAAAGGUACUUUGCAUUUCCUUUUAUCUUAACAUUUCUAUAUCUGAAUUUGUGUACAUGACUAUAUUAGUCUAGAUUAGAUUGCUUUUUUGGCGUUAGUGGGGUAUAAUGACGGGUUUUUCAAUCUAGUCGUAUGUAUCAUCAGCACAAUCUGCAUUCAUCAGUAGCUUAGGUAGUUACAAAAUUUUGAACACCUUUUCCUGUGGAGGAAAUCAAAGAGAAAUGAAGCCUUUCUCGCUGAGUGAACCAUGGUAUUCAAUACAUCAAACAAGAGCUGCUACACAGCCUUUCUCGUUUGUUGGUUUUCUUAGCCAGUUAGCGAGUCUAGAUUUCAUGUGUUACUCACACGUUUGUCUAGCCAAUUUCUCCAGUUAUUGGUAGGGGACAUUUGUUAACAAAGCUUGACCGACUUUCCUCGACUCAUCCCCAAAUACUCAAAGUCCCCUCAGCGACCAAUGUCUGUCUCUCACAGUCACUCACAGUCACUCACAAUUCCACCGAAUGAAUAAGUUGCCACGACUCAAUCCACUGCAAGCACACCUCAACGCCCCAAACCCUCUCUCACUAUGAACUCCAGAGUUUCACUUUUACUUUUUUGGAAUUGAAGUGCAGUUCACUUCUUUGGAGUUGUUCUUUUAUCUAUUAUUGUUUUGAAAUGAAUGAAGAGAGGAGGUUGAUGUUGUAUAUUUGAAGCAAUUCAACUUGCCCUGAUCACACCUCCUUGUGUUUGGAAGGAACUUCAGAUUGCAGCGUUGUUACCGGGAAGAUUGUGAUUUGUGACUGGUAUUAGACCCAGAGUGCAGGAGGGACAGGUGGGACAGGUGGUGAAAGAUGCAGGAGCCAUUGGUCUGAUUUUGGCAUUCACAGCUGCUAAUGCAGAACGAAUGUCUGUUUUGACUCUUCAAACAACUGUCGCUGAUGUUGGCUCUGCGGUUUCGAAUUACCACACCAUAGUUUCACAGUCCAGAGGUGCUUAUGUGAAAGUCGAGCCUCAGACGUUUAACUUCACCAGAGCAAACGAAAAGCUUUCUCAUAAGAUCACCUUACCAUGAAAUCCCGGCAGGCGGUUCCAGAAUUUGGAGGAUUGGUGUGGAAGGAUGGAGUGCAAGGGGUGAGAAGCUCUGUUGUUGUAGUUUGGCUACCUCCACUGUGAAUCAUGCACUGGAGUUUAUUUUUUCUUUUUGGCAUGAUUUAAUUUCAAUGUAUAUUUAUAUUAAUUAUUCAUGCUUUUUAUUCUGUCCGAGCAUUUCAGUCCUUGCAUUACAUGAGCUAGUCAAUCAUCGCUUACAGAGUACUUUCUGCGAUCAAUCCCGUGCAUGCGAAUGGCUGCUGCUGCCGCUUCUUCGUCUUCAUCCGACAGUCAUUGGAAGUACGAUGUGUUCCUGAAUUUUAGAGGACUCGAGGCUGCUGCUUCUUCUUCGUCGGCCAUCUCAACAAAGCUCUGGAUCAGAAAGCAAUCAACACCCUUAUCGACGCCGAAGAGCUUCAAAAGGCAACGACCUUUCGGAGCUCCUGGCAGCUAUUAGCUACUCAGGCUUUUGACCCUAGUUUUUUUUUCCGAAAACUAUGCUUCUUUGACGUGGUGCUUGAAAGAACUUGUCCAGAUAAUGGAAUGCGUGGAUGCACACAAGCAGAUAGUGGUUCCUGUUUUAUACGGAGUCGAUCCAUACGGUUGGGAUUCGAAAAAUUAUAAGUUUAAUUUUUUUCACAUGCACUUGCUGUUAAAGUAUUUUUACUGUAGAAAUAUCAUAACUUGAAAGUGUUCAUUUUCUUUAUCAAGAUUAGCUGGAGAUUGUUAAUUACCUAUAUGUAUCGAACAAAUCAACGAUUUUGGUCACUUCUAACAUCCUUAAAUUUAAAUGGCUAAUGUUCACCAAUUUGAUUGAUUCACCAAUUUGGCGAAAUAUAUGCUCAAGAACAUGAACAAUUCAGAUUAUGAAAUUUGUGCGGUUAAAGUAUGUUAAUUUCAAUUUGCAAGCAAGUGAACAUGCAUUCCUUUGACUCUUUUGGGCUUGUUAUAAAACAUAGGGGUGGGUUCGGUUUAAAUCGGUUCGGUUUUUUGCCAAAACCGAAACCAAACCGAAAUUUCGGUUCGGUUUUUUGCCAAAACCGAAACCAAACCGAAAUUUCGGUUCGGUUCGGUUCGGUUCAAUUUUUUUUCGGUUUUUUUCGGUUCGGUUUCGGUUUUUUGUUUUUAUUUUUUUUUUAAAAAAUGAAAAACAUUGAAAUUUUAAAUUUUAACAUAUCCAACACAAUCAUAACAUAAACAUUCUAACUAGAAUCAAAGACAAUGAAAAUAAACAUUUAAAGUUGAACUAAAAUCAUCAAUCAAGUCUUUCAAAGUCCAAACUAACAACCUCACAACACAAAAAUCACACAAAAAUCGUAUAAAUGACUUAGAAAAGUUAAAUUGUAUGAUGUUGUUCAAAGAUCAGUGUUGUUUGCUUGUAACUGCAUGUUGACAACUUGAUUAGUAAAGGUAAUGCGUGGGUGGAUUUAUUUAGUGUGUGUUGGAUUCUUUUCCAUCACAAAUUACCCAAGUAAUCUACUCGAAAUAAAUGUUUAUGGAUUAUGUUACAUGUUAUAUGAGAGUAGAUUUGGAAAAGAAAGCUGGCGCAGAAGUAGACAGUGCUAUGGAGAUGGAUGUAGGUAUUUCGGGAAGAGGUUUGGUUCCGGAACCUUAUAUGGGGGAGAAAUAAUAGGUUAGGGUUUAGAGUUUUUAUAGGCCUUUUUAAAUAUUUUGAGCUUAAAGUUUGGCAACACAUUGGGUUAGCACAUUUUAACUUACAAAUUGGGUUUAGAAAAUAAUACCUAAAACAAAUAAUUAAAUAAAAAAAUUAAUUUAAUUAAUUCGGUUUGGUUCGGUUUCUAGAUCACUAAAACCGAACCGAACCAAAAGAAUUCGGUUCGGUUUGGUUUUCGGUUUUUUUCGGUUUUCGGUUUUUUGAACCCACCCCUAAUAAAACAUAGGUUUGAUAAUUCUAUAACUUCACAGGGAUGAUGCCAAUUUGAAGCUUUGACUCUUUUAUGAUGAAAUCGCUUGUCAAUUUGAAGCUUGCUGCUUUCUCGAAAAUGUCAAGGAAGGCUUCUCAGAUAAUGGUGAUGUAAAUCGCUUCAGAUAACCACUCCUUUGCUAGGCAGCGUUUGGAAUGGCCGAGAGCGGACCUUUUUGGGAUCUACGUGAGAAAAGGUUUUAGCACCAGUGUAUCCAUGCAUGAACUGCUUCUUUCUUAAUGAUGUUGAAAAAUAAUCCCAAAUUGAAGCCUUACUUGGAAAGCAGCAUUCAUUUGGUGGUGGAAAUCAGGUCAUUGUUGAAUUUGAGGCCGAAUUACAUUGGGCCUUUGCGUUUGAUAAGCCCAGUAGCCCAAAAUUAGUUGGGUGUUUAAUGGCCCAUGUGAAAGCCCACAAUUGGGGCAUGUGAUUAGCUUUGUGUUUUGUAUAAAGAGGAAAUUAAUCACUGUAUUUCCUUCUCUAUUUGUUUCUUUGGUGUGUGAGAGUUAUUGGGUGUAUUGGGAUUUUGGAUUGUGAGAUUGCCAAACACUUUGUAAACACUCUCAUUUCCAUUUGGUUUAUAGUGGAUUAUUGGUGAGCUCCUACAGCUCCGAGGACGUACUCCAGUUACACUGACUGUUAAGGAACCUCGUUAAAUCUUGGUGUCUUUUCAAUUUUAUUCUUGUAUUUUAUUUGGUAUAUUUCCUAUCAGUUAGCUUGAGUUGGUUUCCAAUUCGUUUGGUCUAUUCGUGCACAACAAUUAUAACAACUAGAGAUAUGCAAUUACUAAGUGGAGUUGAUGCUGUAAUUGUAUAUAAGCCCAAAAACUUAAGUGAGUCAGAAGCUUUUGAACUCUUCAAGCAGUAUGCCUUGAACAAACCAACCCACAAGAGAUUAUGAUUGUCUAUCGAGGCUUCCCAUAAACAUGUUCUUGGCGUGCUUGUAGCACUUAAAAUCUUGGGAGCUUUGCAUGUUUCUUUAAAGGGAUGGAGAAAGACUAUGUAACUAAAAUUCUUGAUAGCUGUGGCUUUUAUCCCCAUAGUAGAUUAGGAGUACUAGUUAACAGAACUCUCAUCACCAUCUCGGAUUACAACGAUACGCUUGAAAUGCAUGAUUUACUACAAGAAAUUGGGUUGGAAAUAGUUUGCCAAGAAUCUAAUAGAGGGUUUGGAAGAUGAAGUAAGUUAUGAAUUGAUGACGAUGUUCAUCAUGCAUUAACUCAAAAUACGGCGAGAUAUAUUCAUUAUCUCUUCUUUUUAAGUAUGUGAUAUUGAGUAGAAAGCUUAAGUAUGACAAAAAUCAAAUUCUGAAUAUUUUCACUCGCUGAAUUUUCAUUGUUGGAUUAUACAGGAUACAAAAGCAGUUGAAGGCAUUGCAACCGAUCCAUGGUAAACGCAUCAUGGGAGGAUCGUUCAAGGGUGUAGCUCGGAAUGUUCCCAAAAAGAAACAGUCAGCUUGGCCUAAAGUCGAUUAACAUCAACGUGUACAAUUCCCCAAAAAAAAAAGGGUAAAAAAAAUUUGAUAUCUUUAUUAAUAAUAAAAGAAGGGGUGUGCUAUCCACACAUCCCAAAUUACUUCUCACACACUCUUAUUAAUUUAUAUCCGUUGAUCUUCUUCAAUUCAUCCGAUCUGACGGGCGAAAAUUAGAAAUGUGUGUGAGAAGUAAAAUGGGGUGUGUGGAUAUCACACUCCUAAAAGAAAUGUGAAGUGAGCAACUAAUCAAGUGGCUGUGUACUAAAAAAAUUAGAGAGUUUUAACGGAAAAACCCGCAGUAUUGUUCACUUUAAGGAAAAACCAUAUUUUUACACUAAAAAGUCAAAUUUGAUACUAUUCACUUUACCAUUUAUUUUGUCUUUAUCGUUAAAACUCAAAAUUUUCAAGCUAUUUUCAUUAAUUUUCUUAAAAAACUAAAGAAUCCAAUCAUUUUGCAAUAAUUUGCAAAUACAUGUAUCAACCAAUUAAUUAGUUGUCUAAUAAAUCUUAAUUAUUUCCCUCCAUAUUAUUAUAUUAUGUUUACUAGUUGGGACUUCAAAUUUACAGGAGCAGGAUAAUUUCAUGCGAACCCAGAUCCUCUCCGGAUAUAAUGAUUUUGAGUUUAAGGAUCAAAUGAUCCGGACCAUUGAAAUUUGAUCAAAUGGUUACAAACAGAAGACCCCUUUAAAAAUUAUAAUAAUUAUAACCGUUGAAUCAAAUUUCAACGGUUCGGAUCAUUUAAUCCUUAGGCUCAGGAUCAUUAGAGAGCAUCUGGAUUCAUUUCAUGCCAAGUUACCUUUGGGAGAUGGACGUUAUCGCUAGUGGGGACACGACGAUGCUCCGGAACUAGAAUCCAGAUCGUUUAUUAACCAUGAUCUCUUCAAAAUUCAAAAGCAUUGUUUGGUGUGUUUUAUACAGAUUGGGGUGCACUUUUUAAUUCGUAUAGAUGGUUUUUUGUACUUUCACAUAUUUCUCUUCAAAAUUCAAUUAGUUUGCGUAAAUGAAAGUUUGGCUUUUAAUUAAUAAAUAGUCACUUAGUAUUACAGUUUAGUAGUAUUAGAUUUGAUUCUCGUCAAAGGCGAAUCUGAAUCACAUUAUUACUAGUCUUCUAGCCCAUCAUGAGGUUAACUUAUGAUAGAACUAUCGGAGCUUAAUUUAUCUGCGUACAAAAUUAAAGAAUUACCCUCGUCAAUUAUUAAUAUUACGGAUUUGCAUCGUUUGGACCUAGAAGAUUGUAAGGAACUUGAGAGUCUUCCGAGCAUCAGAUUUCAACUUGAAUCCCUUAGAAAUGUUAAUCUUUCUGGUUGUACAAAAGUUGAGCUUCAUUUGGAUGGAACAUCUAUCGAAGAGCUUUCCCCCUCGAUUGAACGGCUUCAGGGGCUUGAGGUAUUACAUCUGAGAGACUGCAGAAUCCUUGUGCAUCCCGGUGGGUGCACAAAUCUUUCUGAAUUACCUGUCAACUUUGAAGAUUUAGUACGCUUGUAGGCUAGUGCAGUAGAAAUUGAUAAUUGGGAUACUGACAUUUUGACACGUGUACUAUACUCCUAAACAUCAUCGGCAUCCAAUCGGUCGGUACGCUGAUUGUGGGAUACGAAGCUCUGCCUUGAAGCAAUCGAUCGGUCGUUGUGCCGCGUGCGGCGGCUUUCAAUUGCUUAUGUGAUUAUGUCGCCAGGGAGAGGUACACUGUUGCCUAUCUUUUCGUUUGGGUUUGGCAGGUAAACUAACAACUCAAACUGUUAAGUUUCCCAACGUCUGCCAAAAUACACAGAUGUCAAGAUUUUAAAUCCCUUUGUGCACCAUUUAUUCUGCUGCAGAAAGCCGCCAAAGAGCGAGGAGAAGAGCAAGAAGAAGUCGAAGAAGGCGAAGGUGGAGCCGGAGGAGGAGGAGGAGAAGCACAAAGAGGAUCCUAAUGCGGUGUCCAAGUAUCCGAUUUCUGCUGUUGAGGGCCAAAUUGAAGGAGAAUGGGAUCGAGUCCUUGUUUCCUAUUCAGGCCAUGACAUUUGAUACCAUUUUGGAUGGUUUGGACUUGGUUGGUCGGGCUCGAACUGGACAGGUGAAUUUAAUUUACUCAACAAGCACAAAUUUUUACUCUGAAACCCCAAAUUGUUACCAAAAAGCACAAAGUUUUAUCAUUGUUUUGUGGUUUGUUGAAUUGGAUUGGAAUAUUUAGCUUAUUGAUGUGAUUUUUGUUCAGUUUCUGAAUUGUAUGCUCAUUCUUUUGCAAUAUUUCAGGGUAAACUCUAGCUUUUGUGUUACUCGUUUUGGAGUCCUUAACAAAUGGGCCUGCAAAAGCAUUUAGAAAGACUGGUUAUGGUAGGCUUCCAACUGUUAUCGUGCUUUUACCCACCAGGUAAUUUGCCGAACAGGUAAUUUUAAUUUACCCUGGAGUCUGGACCAUAUGCUUGCAAUGGUUUGGCUUUUAGAGUAUCCAACAACAACAACAACAAAGCUUUUUCCCACUAAGUGGGGUCGGCUAUAUGAAUCCUAGAACGCCAUUGCGCUCGGUUUUGUGUCAUGUCCUCCGUUAGAUCCAAGUACUCUAAGUCUUUUCUUAGGGUCUCUUCCAAAGUUUUCCUAGGUCUUCCUCUACCCCUUCGGCCCUGAACCUCUGUCCCGUAGUCACAUCUUCGAACCAGAGCGUCAGUAGGCCUUCUUUGCACAUGUCUAAACCACUGUAACCGAUUUUCUCUUAUCUUUCCUUCAAUUUCGGCUACUCCUACUUUACCCCAUAUAUCCUCAUUCCCAAUCUUAUCCUUUCUCGUGUGCCCACACAUCCCACGAAGCAUCCUCAUCUCCGCUACACCCAUUUUGUGUACGUGUUGAUGCUUCACCGCCUAACAUUCUGUGCCAUACAACAUCGCUGGCCUUAUUGCCGUCCUAUAAAAUUUUCCCUUGAGCUUCAGUGGCCUACGACGGUCACACAACACGCCGGAUGCACUCUUACACUUCAUCCAUCCAGCUUGUAUUCUAUGGUUGAGAUCUCCAUCUAAUUCUCCGUUCUCUUGCAAGAUAGAUCCUAGGUAGCGAAAACGGUUGCUUUUUGUGAUCUUCGCUAGAUUGCUCCAGUCAUUAGUGUGGAUAAGUAUAUAAAUGGAUAGAGAUAGGAAAACAAACACAAGAUGUACGUGGUUCACCCAGAUUGGCUACGUCCACGGAAUAGAAGAGUUCUCAUUAAUUGUGAAGGGUUUACACAAGUACAUAGGUUCAAGCUCUCCUUUAGUGAGUACAAGUGAAUGAUUUAGUACAAAUGACAUUAGGAAAUAUUGUGGGAGAAUGAUCUCGUAAUCAUGAAACUUCUAAGUACCGGAGUGUGGUAUCGUCUUGACUUGCCUUAUCUGUCUCAUAGGUAGAUGUGGCAUCUUCUCUGGAAGUACUCUUCCUCCAUCCAGGGGUGGUAUCUUUAACUGGUGGAGAUGCACAAGGUAAUGUAUCAAUUUCACUUGAAGCUUACUUGUAGUUUCAGGCUUGGUCAAGCGCGAUACAAACCAUGUAGUAGGAGUCCCCCAAGUCGCCGAGCUAGGGGAUCUAUUGAAAGAGGUGACAAACAAGGUAAACAAUCAGAGCUCCAAGCAAUCAGUCCCAGAUCAGAACUUUGAUUUCGAGUUCCGGCUGAUUGUUCACAUUCUCCCUAUCUUGCAGGCAGCAUGAAGGAUAAAGAGAAGAAAAAUGAGAAGAUAUGAUAUGGGAUACUUUUGCUUUUGAAGAAGUAACUUUCCACAUGCUUAUUCUUGAACUGAGCUGAAGGGUUUUCUGAUUUCCUCCAGAGUAUAAGGCCGACUGGAGAAUUUGAGGGUCAAAACAAGUCCAUCAAAUCUAGAGUACGUUCGACCCUGCUGAUAUAUGAUACUUUUGCUUUUGACAGAGUAGUGGAUGUAUCGGCACGUGUGCUGUUACGCUUGUCUCCACAUGCUUCAUUGUAUCCUUCUCACUUGCCCUAUUUGUUCCUCAGGCAGAUGCGGUAUCUUCCCUGGAAGCAUAAGAUGUUGAAGAUGAGUACUCAAGAGCAAUGCCAGGUAAGUAAUCAGGUAAGAGGUUCUUGGCUGGAAGCUUGAUUCCAAGUGAUGACUGAUUGCUUUCUUUCUCCUUGUCUUGCAGGUAAGAACAAGGCCAAAGGAAAAGACAGGGAAAAAGCAUGAUAUGAGAUACUCUUGCUUUUAACCCUGAUGAUAUGAGAUAUUCUUGCUCUAGUAUAGCUUGUUUGCAGAAGUAUUAUCGGGAGGAAAGAAAGCUGAAUAUUUCAAAAGGCUUCGUUGGGAGUGCUCUCUCAGAUAUGAGGAAGGGUUGAGCAUUUUUGCAGGUCUGCCUGUCCGUUGGGGAUGGAGGUCGACAUAUAUAGGAGUCUUCCUAACAAUAAGUAGUAAUACUAUUCCUUUACCCUGCUUGGUCAUAGCACGGUAAUGGGAGCUGCCAGCUUCACAUGUUUUAACUCUGUCAGAGUACUUUGAAAAAGUGGUCUGUAGUAUCUGAAAAGCUGAUGUUGUGUGUGAAGAUUACAGACAAGCUUUAUCUAAGGAGAUCCGGCUCUUGAAGUUGGGAAAGUGGUGCCUCUUCGAUUUUCGAACAAGCAAUCCUGUCGAGGAUCUGGCUCUUGAGAUUCGAAGAACGAUGCCUCCUCGAUUUUUGAGAAAGCAAUCCUGCUGGAGGUCUGACUCUCGAGAUUCGGAGAGCGGUGUCUCUUCGAUUUUUGAGAAAGUAAUCAUGUUGGGAGUCUGGCUCUCGAGAUUCAGAGGGCGGUGCCUCUUCGAUUUUGGAGCAAGCAAUCUUGUUGGAAGUGUUUUCUCGAAUGUGAGUAAAGGUUGGGCAUGUUUGCUAGUCUACCUUGCCACGAAGCACAGAGGUUGACACACAAGGACUUUCCAAUUAUCCAGUAGUGGUACUGUUCCUUUACCCUUGUGGGUAAUAAUAUGGUAGCUAGACCUUCAAAAUUUAUGUGUCUAAACUUUGUUAGUGCUGUUUCUUUGCAAUUCUUUUACCCUUCUUGGUCAGAGCGAUGUAGUGGGAGCUGCAAGCUUCACGUGUCUCAACUUUGUCAGAGAACUUUGGCAAAGUUAUAUGUGGUACCCAUGAGCUAAUGUUGCGUGUGGGAAGUGGGUGAUUGAACAGUAAGAUUCAUGUGCUUUCUACUUCACCAGAAAUCUUCGACAGAAUGCCCCUAAUUUCCGCAAAGCUGAGUGUGCGUGUGACAGGUGCUGACAAGGCUGGAAAAGUAGGUGCCUCUUCGAUUUCUGAGAUCGGCCCUAUUGGUCUCUGAGCAGCCCAGCUUUUGAGAAAGCAAGCGCCUCUUCGAUAUCUGAGAUCGGCCUUCGUGGUCUUUGAGCAGCCCAGCUUUUGAGAAAGCAAACGCCUCUUCGAUUUCUGAGAUCGACCCUCGUGGUCUCUGAGCAGCCCAGUUUUUUAGAAAGCAAACGCCUCUUCGAUUUCUGAAGCUCCGUCGAGUGCAGAUUUUUAUAGGGGCUUGCAUUAAGUUCCAAAGCACACUUGAAUCUCCACCAGUAGAAGCUCCAUUCUUGCACUUCUAAGAUCUUGAUUUGUCCGACCUCUUCUCUCUUCAACACCUUUGAAAAUGUCUGGCCCCUCCGACCGUCGUUUUGACUUGAACCUUGUUGAAGAGGCAGCCCCACCUUCUCCAGACAACAUAUGGUGCCCAUCCUUCGUCUCCCCUACUGGUCCUCUUACCGUUGGGGAUUCCGUGAUGAAGAAUGAUAUGACCGCUGCGGUGGUGGCCAAGAACCUUCUCACUCCCAAAGAUAACAGAUUACUUUCCAAACGGUAUGAUGAGUUGGCUGUUAAGGAUUCUCUGGCUCUCAGUGUUCAGUGUGCAGGUUCUGUGUCUAAUAUGGCCCAACGCCUAUUUGCUCGAACCCGCCAAGUUGAAUUAUUGGCGGCUGAAGUGAUGAGUCUCAAACAGGAGAUUAGAGGGCUCAAGCAUGAGAAUAAACAGUUGCACCGGCUCACACAUGACUAUGCUACAAACAUGAAGAGGAAGCUUGACAAGAUGAAGGAAUCUGAUGGUCAGGUUUUACUUGAUCAUCAGAGAUUUGUAGGUUUGUUCCAAAGGCAUUUAUUGCCUUCGUCUUCUGGGGCUGUACCGCGUAAUGAAGCUCCAAAUGAUCAACCUCUGAUGCCUCCUCCUUUUAAGGUUCUGUCCAGUACUGAGGCUCCGAAUGAUCCCCCUCCGGUGCCUUCUCUUUCUAGGGCUCUACCGACUGCUGAGACUUCUCCUAAGCAACCUUUGUGAAGGCUCCCUCUUGUUUGUUUAUUUUGACUUAUGUAUAUGUACAUAUUUGUAACUUAUCGGGGAUAUCAAUAAAUAAGCUUUCCUUCAUUUCAACGUAUUGUGUUAAAUACACCAAACCCUUCUUCGCUAAGUUCUUUGAAUUUUCUUUUGUUGAAGCUUGUAUGUUGAAGCUUUGUGAGUGGAGCAUGUAGGUUGAGGUAGUGUUCCCUUAAUUUCCCGAGUGAGGAAAACUUCUCGAUUGGAGACUUGGAAAAUCCAAGUCACUGAGUGGGAUCGGCUAUAUGAAUCUUAGAACGCCAUUGUGUUCGGUCCUGUGUCAUGUCAUCCGUUAGAUCCAAGUACUCUAAGUCUUUUCUUAGAGUCUCUUCCAAAGUUUUCCUAGGUCUUCCUAGGUCUUCCUCUACCCCUUCGGCCCUGAACCUCUGUCUCAUAGUCGCAUCUUCUAAUCGGAGCAUCAGUAGGCCUUCUUUGCACAUGUCCAAACCACCGUAACCGAUUUUCUCUCAUCUUUCCUUCAAUUUCGGCUACUCCUACUUUACCCCGGAUAUCCUCAUUCCUAAUCUUAUCCUUUCUCGUGUGCCCACACAUCCAACGAAGCAUCCUCAUCUCCGCUACACACAUUUUAUGUACGUGUUGAUGCUUCAUCGCCCAACAUUCUGUGCCAUACAGCAUCGCCAGCCUUAUUGCCAUCCUAAAAUUUUCCCUUGAGCUUCAGUGGCAUACGGCGGUCACACAACACGCCGGAUGCACUCUUCCACUUCAUCCAUCCAGCUUGUAUUUUAUGGUUGAGAUCUCCAUCUAAUUCUCCGUUCUUUUGCAAGAUAGAUCCUAGGUAACGAAAACGGUCGCUCUUUGGUAUUUCUUGAUCUCCGGAUCCUCACCCCUAACUCGUUUUGGCCUCCAUUUGCACUGAACUUGCACUCCAUAUAUUCUGUCUUUGAUCGGCUUAGGCGAAGACCUUUAGAUUCCAACACUUCUCUCCAAAGGUUAAGCUUUGCAUUUACCCCUUCCCAAGUUUCAUCUAUCAACACUAUAUCGUCUGCAAAAAGCAUACACCAAGGAAUAUCAUCUUGAAUAUGUCCUGUUAACUCAUCCAUUAUCAACGCAAAAAGGUAAGGACUUAAGGAUAAGCCUUGAUGUAAUCCUACAGUUACGGGAAAGUCUUCGAUUUGUCCUUCAUGAGUUCUUACGGCAGUCUUUGCUCCUUCAUACAUAUCCUUUAUAGCUUGGAUAUAUGUUACUCGUACUCCUUUUUUCUCUAAAAUCCUCCAAAGAAUGUCUCUUGGGACCCUAUCAUACGCUUUUUCCAAAUCUAUAAAGACCAUGUGUAAAUCCUUUUUCCCAUCUCUAUAUCUUUCCAUCAAUCUUCGUAAGAGAUAGAUUGCCUCCAUGGUUGAGCGUCCUGGCAUGAACCCAAAUUGGUUGUCCGAAACUCGUGCUUCUUGCCUCAAUCUAUGCUCAAUGACUCUCUCUCAGAGCUUCAUUGUAUGACUCAUUAGCUUAAUACCCCUAUAGUUCAUGCAAUUUUGUACGUCGCCCUUAUUCUUGUAGAUAGGCACCAAAGUGCUCGUUCGCCACUCAUUUGGCAUCUUUUUCGUUUUCAAAAUCCUAUUGAAAAUGUCAGUGAGCCAUGUUAUACUUGUCUCUCCCAAAACUUUCCACACUUCGAUUGGUAUAUCGUCUGGGCCUACUGCUUUUCUAUGCUUCAUCUUCUUCAAAGCUACAACCACUUCUUCCUUCCGGAUUCGACGAUAAAAAGAGUAGUUUCUACACUCUUCUGAGUUCCUCAACUCCCCUAAAGAAGCACUCCUUUCAUGUCCUUCAUUGAAAAGAUUAUGAAAAUAACCUCUCCAUCUAUCUUUAACCGCGUUCUCUGUAGCAAGAACCUUUCCAUCCUCAUCCUUGAUGCACCUCACUUGGUUAAGGUCCAUUGUCUUCUUUUCCCUUGCUCUAGCUAGUUUAUAGAUAUCCAACUCUCCUUCUUUGGUAUCUAGUCGCUUAUACAUAUCGUCAUAAGCCGCUAACUUAGCUUCUCUCACAGCUUUCUUCGCCUCUUGCUUCGCUUUUCUAUACCUUUCACCAUUUUCAUCGGUCCUAUCCUUGUAUAAGGCUUUACAACAUUCCUUCUUAGCCUUCACCUUUGUUUGUACCUCCUCAUUCCACCACCAAGAUUCCUUUUGGUGUGGGGCAAAGCCCUUGGACUGUCCAAAUACCUCUUUUGCUACUUUUCGGAUACAACUAGCCAUGGAAUCCCACAUUUGGCUAGCUUCCCCCUCUCUAUCUCACACACACUGGGUGAUUACUUUCUCUUUGAAAAUGGCUUGUUUUUCUUCUUUUAGAUUCCACCAUCUAGUCCUUGGGCACUUCCAAGUCUUGUUCUUUUUUCUCACUCUUUUGAUAUGUACAUCCAUCACCAACAAGCGAUGUUGAUUAGCCACGCUCUCUCCUGGUAUAACUUUGCAAUCCUUACAAGUUAUACAAUCCUCUUUCCUCAUUAGAAGAAAAUCUAUUUGUGUUUUUGACGACCCACUCUUGUAGGUGAUCACAUGUUUCUUCUCUCUUCUUAAAGAAGGUGUUGGCUAAGAAGAGAUCAUAUGCCAUUGCAAAAUCUAAGAUAGCUUCCCCAUCCUCGUUUCUCUCCCCAAAACCAUGGCCACCAUGAAAACCUCCAUAGUUGCCUGUCUCCCUGCUCACGUGUCCAUUUAAAUCUCCUCCUAUAAAUAACUUCUCCGUCUGAGCAAUUCCUUGCAUCAAGUCUCCAAGGUCUUCCCAAAAUUUCUCCUUCGAACUCGUAUCCAACCCUACUUGAGGUGCGUACGCACUAAUCACAUUGAUAAGUUCUUGUCCUAUUACAAUCUUGAUUGCCAUGAUUCUAUCUCCUACCCUCUUGACAUCUACAACAUCUUGUGUCAAGGUCUUGUCCACGAUGAUGCCAACACCGUUUCUCGUUCUAUUUGUGCCCGAAUACCAAAGUUUAAACCCUGAGUUUUCUAGAUCCUUUGACUUACGACCAACCCAAUUAGUUUCUUGUAGGCACAUAAUAUUUAUCCUUCUCCUCAUCAUAACUUCCACUACUUCCAUAGAUUUGCCCGUUAAGGUUCCUAUAUUCCACGUUCCUAAACGCAUUUUGCUCUCUUGAACUCUACCCUUCUGUCCUAGCUUCUUCACCCUCCCCCCCCCGUCUAAUAGGAUCAAAGUACUUCUUUUGUGUGUCCCGUGUAAAGUUGAUAGGAGCAUAUGCUCCCAAACAACUUUGAAUGGAGUCGUUCGAAAAGAAGUUUCUAUGGCCCCCUUGCUCAUUUAACACUGCAUCCGGGUGCCGAUGGAGAUACAGCGACCCUUGCUCACUUAUCACUGUGCUCGGGCCACACAACGUGCCACUUACGGAUGACGCCUUAGCUUUAGCGCGAUUUCGUUCUGUAUUCAUUUUCAUAAGGAUUCGACGUAAUCAUGGAGUGCCGGCUGUCGACUACCUGACGCCCUCCCCCUCCUCCUUUAUCCGGGCUUGGGACCGGCAAUGUAAGAUAAACUUACACAGGCAGAGUUUGGCUUUUAGAGUAUCCACUUGACAAUUUUUGUUUCAUUUAUGUUGUGUAUACGGUGGAUCUCCCUACGGGGCUCAAGAAAGUAAGCUAAGGAGAGGGGUGGAUAUUGUUAUUGGAACGCCUAGCCGUAUACAGGUAUUGACUAUUUCUCAUUAUAGCUGAGUUCUUGUGUCAGUUCGAUACUAUGCAAUAUACUUAUGAAGCUAAAUAAAUUUUUGGAAAUAUGUAGGAUCAUAUAGAGAGGAGCAAUAUUGACUCGAGUACCGUGAAAGUUAGGAUCCUUGACGAAGCUGAUGAAAUGCUGUGGAUGGGCUUUGUUGAUGAUAUUGAACUCAUUCUAGGUAUGUCUUUUUGGUAAUCCCAACAUCUGUUUUCCAUACCAUGUUUGCCUAUUUGCGUUACAGCUGCAUAUCUUCUAUAAAGUAUUUUGUAUCCAUGUUUGUGGUUAGUGCAAACGACGAGGCACUUUUUUAAUUUUGUCAUGUCCAUCUGAAGCUUGGAAUCAUUUUAUCUUUGUGUUUUCAAAGAAUUCUCUUGCUAUUUGACUCUGGUCAAAUCAAUGUUAUUCUUAUAUUGCACUGUCGGCAUCUUUGGUUGACAGGGGUAACUGGAGUUUCAAUUUUUUACAACGUUACUGUAAUUGUGCAAAAUUUUUGUGUGUACUGCACAACUUCUCAGUAACUUCUGUUCUUUGGAUUUUCAUGUGAGGUGAAGGAUGUUAGAAAAGUUCAAACGCUUCUCUUCAGUGCAACCUUGCCAAGUUGGCUGAAAGGUGUAAGUAUCUUAACUGAGAUCUUGAAUUUAGAUGUUCUUCUGAAUUCAGUUAAACAUAAAUGGAUUAUGUUGCAAUGUUAGACCUUUCCUUCCAUUCUUGACACAUGAAUGAAAUAUUUUUUUUUCUUUUUCCCAGAUUUCUUUUAGGUUUCUCAAACCAGAUAAGAAAACUGUAGAUCUUGUUGGUAAUGAAAAAAUGAAGGCCAGCACCAAUGUUGGGCAUAUUGUUCUUUCUUGCUCCAGUUCAGCAAGAUUGCAACUUAUUCCUGAUAUCAUAGAUUGUUAUAGCAGGUUGGUUGUUUUCUAGCGAGCAAUAACUAUGCUUUCUGUUUUUAGUUUUGGGUAUAAUUUGUCUGGAAAUCAUUUUUCAUGUACUUGAUAUGUUUGUUUCUGACUCGGUGGAGGCCGCACAAUCAUUUUCACCGAGACAAAGGAAGCUGCUUCUGGACUUGUUGAGGUGUUGCCUGAAGCCUGACGUGAGGUAAGUUGUUUAACUAUGCACUUUUUACCGCUGUUUUGUACAAUAUUGAAAUAUGAUAUUUCAGGUCCUUUUGCUUUCCAUAGUGAUAUUUCUUUUUAAAAAAAGCUUAGAUUUUUUUGUUUUUCUAAUGGCAGAAUUUGUUGUUUCCCUUCCUGUGGUCUUGUAUUUUCAGGUCACACUUGCUGGUUUCAGGUCUGGCAAGUUUUUGACAUUAGUAGCCAUAAAUGUGGCAGCGCACGGACCUGGACAUCAAUGAUGUUCAAUUAAUUAUCCAGGUUUGUCAGUGUGCUUAUUCGGAACCUUUGUAAUAUUUGUCAGUUUAUAUACUUACUUUUAUUGUUUAUGGUUCAGUGUGAACCCCCACGUGAUGUAGAAGAUUAUAUCCAUCGAUCUGGACUCUCGGGGAGAGCAGGUAAAUCUUGAAAAAAUGUGGUAUUUCUUGUUUAUUUUUAUUUUAUUAGUUAAUGUCUUUGAUGUUAUGUGGUACUUAGAGGUGUGUCCAUAUUUUCAGGCAAUUCUGGAGUUGCUGUCAUGCUUUAUGAUCCCAGAAUGUCAAAUUUUUCUAAAAUCGAGUUAGAGUCGGGGGUGAAAUUUGAAUACAUAUCUGCUCCUCAGCCACUUAAUAUGGCCAAGGCAGUAGUAGGUCAUGAUGCAACCAAAAUCUCUGAUAGGUAUGCUUGACAGUGCAAUGCUUGUUACAUUUUGAUGCAAUCAUGUUCAUAUAUUAAUACAUUUUUCAUUUCAGUGUAAUUCCUGCUUUCAAGCCGGUUGCCAAAGAGCUACUUAAUACCUCUGGCCUAUCUGCAGUAGAUCUACUGGCAAAAGCACUUGCUAAAGCUGCUGUAAGAUUUGCUAUUUCUUCCGUACUAGAUGUCCUUUUUAAGUUAAUUAAUGUAAAUGUUUGUUUAUCAGUUUAUGAGUUGCUUAUAGUUGCUUAUAUUGUAUGGUGUGCAGGGUUACACCGAGAUAAAGAAGUCACAGUACUUCUUGAGGCUGGAAAGCCCAUUUAUUCACCGUCGUAAGCAAUUAUCACUAGUUUCCUUGUGUUCGAAACCAAUAUGUCUUAUGUUCCUUUGUUUUAUUUUCACAGGUGGAUACAAGCACUAGCUAAUAGUGGGAACAAUAUUGAUUGUGUUCUGAAGGAGUCACAUUGUGCUUUGUCAUUCCAAGAAAUUAUGAGCUGUUUAAAUAUAGAUAUCCCGUAAUUAUACCUUUUAUCGGUUUAGUUUGUGUUCUUGUUUUAGAGUUAGCAUUUUGAUUUGUUGAUCAUGUUUGACCCUUAAUUUCCUCCAACCUUGUCUCAGUUUUGCUUCUGGGGUCUUGAGGAGAUACUUGCCCGAGGAGAAGGUGGAGUCAGUGAAGGGUAUGGCACUAACAGCUGAUGGAAAUGGUGCAGUCUUUUAUGUGGCAGCUGAAGAUUUGGAUUUGUUUCUUGCUGGUAUUCUUCUUUUUAUAUCUCUAUAUCAUCAUGUAUUACAUUCUCAUCAAGCAUGAUAGUUCAUUAAGAUUCUACCAGAAACUGAUGUUAUUCAGUUCUUUCCUUUUAGACAGGGAAUUUAUCAUUCAUUUUGUUGUAUUGAUGUCUUGAAGUCUGAUUGUUGUGGUCGUAUUAUGUUGGGUGCAGGUCAGGAAAAUGCAGCUAAUGUGAGUGUAACGGUGUUGAAAUCACUGCCUGAUUUACAAGAAAAAGAAUCAAGGAAUACAAGAUUUGGCGGGGGUCAUGAAGGAGGUUUUUGAAAUUAUAGGUAUUCCAACAACCGAUCUGCUGGGGGUGGUGGGAGAGGUCGCGGCAACAGAUGGUGACACGCCGGCUCCUUUCAAGUAAGCUGUUUUGAGCAACAAAUAAUAUCAAACGGUUGCAUUCACAAUGGUUUCAACCGGUGGAGGUACUAAAAGCCAGUUGAUCUGAGCGGAGACAGGAGUAUAUUUUGACGAUGAAGAAAAUAUUCGGUAGAUAGAGGGCCUCGUUUGGCUCGUUAUAAAGAUACCAUUUUUUUUCUGCGUAUAGCGUUUUCCGUCGGACUUGGAUUGUCUGCCCUCCCAUUUCAGUGCCCUCCUCGUGCUCUCAUGUUUGUGUGGUCACGUUUAAGCAACGUCAGCAUUUUAUAUUACUAUUUCUUUUUGUUUUAUUAUUUUUAUAAGAAAAUAAUAUAAAAUGUUGACGUGGCUUAACCGUAACCACACAAAACAGGAGGGCACGGGCAGGAGGGCACGGAGAGGGCACCAAAAUGGGAGGGCAGACAAUCCAAGUCCUUUUGCGUCAACCCCUUUCUUUAUUUUAUUGUUCAAUUUUGUUCAGUUUUGUUUUUCUGUUUUCUUUAUGCCCUUAAUAGUGGAAGAGCACUUAUUUGGAAUGUAAGAACACCAUCUAAUUUUUGUAAUUUUUCUAUUUACUAGUGAGAAGGACAAGUGUUUGUUUCUUUUCUUCUAAUGCUAUUUGUGCUGUUAGUUUACUUUAGAGUGCCGAUAAUAAAUUUUCUUAAUAAUGCUGAUAUAAUUGUGCAUGCAUAAAUGCCGUUACAAAAUUGUAAUUCGGUGACAAUUUCUGCAUUGUUUUAUAUAUUUGUCAAUGAUUCAUGUUAUAUUAUGUUUAUAUACUAUUAAAUAACUAUUGAGUCUUAUGUUAAAAUUCUGACAAGGCAAUCUUCUAAACUAAAUGAAUUUGAAAUAGAAUACAAAGAAAAUUGGCUACACUCAAAUACAAGAGACGAUUGAACCGCCAAAAUCAAAUGGCAUAACGUACACGUGCAGUGCUACACAAGCAAACUAUGGGAUGUACUAUUUAUAUACCUCUUUUUACUUCUCACACGUGUACUAUCUACACACCUCUUUUUACUUCUCACACACCUCUUGUUAAUUUAUGUCCCUUGAUCUUUUUCAAUUCAUCUGAUCCGAAAGUCGAAAAUUAGAAGGGUAUGAGAGAAAUAAAAUAGGUAAAUAUCACACCCCCAAACUAUAUUAAGAGACUUAACGUCGUCGUUUUGGCACUCUCUCACCGCAAUUUUUUUUAGAAACACGGCAAUUCCUUCUUGUAUCUCUUUCAUGCGGCAACAUAGACCGUCCUAGCUUCUUUUCCAAGUUCCUAGUUCACGCUCAUCCCAAAGCUUAAACCCACAAAAUCCGCCGAUCCAAAACCCCAUUUCUCUCCAAAAUUUCAAAUCUUUGUAAAAAAAACCAUUCGUCUUUCUCGUUUGUAUGAUACACCCAAUUCGUGAUGGGAUCGUACAGAAAGAGCAAAGCUCGCACUCGACGCCUUCCGCGGCUUUACGGCGAGGAUUGCCCCCAAAGCCGCAGGCAGAGAACCCAUCUCUCGCGUUUUUUCAACUGGGUCUUCCGCUCCGGUCUUCAGCUCAGCUAAGUUUUCUGGGUUUUCUUCCAGUUCUUCAAUUUUACACAAAUCAAUUCCACAACUUGGUAGAAUCACAAGAACAACACAUGACAAAAGCUCCUUUCUUUAUUGCACUAAGAGAUAUUACUACGUCGACCGAAUCCGGGUUCACCACUUCAAGCCGAGAGGCCCCCGGAAGUGGUUUGAGAAUCCUAGGAACGUUUUGAUUGUGGGUCUUGUAGGUUCUGAGUUUUUUAUCUCUGUAUUUUGGGAAUUUGGAGACGAUUCCGUACACGAAGCGAACCCAUUUUAUAAUUUUGUCCAACGCCUUGGAGAAGAGGUUGGGGGAGUCCCAAUUCCAGCAAAUCAAAGAGAGUUUCAAAGGGGAUAUUUUGCCCGCCAUAUACCCGGAUAGCGUACGGGUUCGGUUGAUUGCCAAGGAUAUAAUUGAGGCUUUGCAGAGAGGGUUGAGCCAUGAGGUGACCUGGACUGAUGUGGACUAUGCGUCUGGUAAAGUGGAGCCGGCGCAUGAAGGUGGUGGGAAGGAUACUUUGAUGGCACUGCAUGACGCUCCGGAGAAGGGGAAGUGGUCCCGUGAGGAUGAGAUUCUUGAUGAUCAGUGGAUUGAGGAGAGUAGGAAGACGAGUAGGGAGAGAGGUUUGAAAGCUGCCACUUCGUAUUUGGAUCAAUUGAAUUGGGAGGUUUUGGUAGUGGAUCGGCCUGUUGUCAAUGCAUUUUGCUUGUUGGGUGGGAAGAUUGUCGUCUUCACGGGGUUGCUCAAGCAUUUUAGAAGCGAUGCCGAGAUUGCGACGAUCAUUGGUCAUGAGGUAAGAAGAUUUUCAUUGUUUGGUAUUGGUUAGUUCUUUAGUGUUGUGAAAGCAGUUUUUGUGUUUAAUUGUAAUUUGAUUUGUUUGGUUAAUAGUUGUAGAAUUGUGGGAAGAUAAGACUAAAAAGUUGAUCUUUUUUUGAUGUGCAUAAAAUAUAGGUUGGCCAUGGUGUGGCUCGACAUUCUGCAGAGACUAUUACAAAGAACUUGUGGUUUGCAAUCCUGCAACUGGUACUUUAUCAAUUCUAUACGGCUGAUGUUGUCAACACAAUGUCCAAUCUUUUCUUGAGGCUUCCUUUCUCCGGAAGGUACAUUACAGUUCUUUAUAAUUUAGUUUCUAGCCCUUUUUAGUUAUAAUGUUGUGAUUUUUCUGAACAUUUUUUGUUAGUGCUCUCUUGUUCUGAGGCUUAAUGAGGAUGCAUGCGUGUUCUGGUUGCAAAGAUACAAUGGUAUGGGUUAGUAACGGAGCCACAUAUUGCCCAGGGGGCAUGUUUCCCCUCUCAAGUUUUCAAUGGGCAAUUGGAAAGAAGGGAAAUGUAUUUUUACAAAAACCCUUGACACUCCCUAUCACAAAAAAAAAAAAAAAAAAAAAAAAAGAAGAAGGUAUUGUGGUGAUCAUAGUUUAGAGCUUUUGUUUGUUGAUGCUUCCUCGGAAAAGAGGAUAGUGACCUCCAAUGUUACCUUUAUAUGCUCUGUGAUACCGUUGGAUUGGUUUUGUUGGUACUUGCUGGUAGCUUACUCGCAUUAUCAGUUGUAGUGAAUCUAGUGAUUCAUGUUUGUUUUUCUACCCUUUCAUGUUUCACGUGUAAAGUAGUAGUAGUAGUCUUAGGGGGAUGUUGUAAAAUAGUUGGAUAGGUUGAGUGUUUUUGGACUAACCGAAUGGUAAUCAAUUAGCUUUGGUACCAGCUGAUUGCUUGACAAAAUGCUUGUUGUGUUUGGCUCAUAUACUUAUGAGUUGGCAACAAUUUUGUAAGUGUAAGUUUGUGAAUGCUACAAGGAAAUGGCAGCAGCCAUUUGUGACUGUGUUUUGCUUUCGGUUGUGGCAUGGAAGUAUUCGUUGAAGAGAAGACAUGGUGACUGCCACAAGCAAAGUUGGAAGCAAGAGCAAGUCUUGACUUUGUGGGAUUACAUGCAAUUGUGCAUUCUUUCUUUUCUAUGCAUUAAAUGGCAGAUGGAGAAAAAGGUUGCACUCUAUAGGCUAGGUACCGCAAUGGGUUUUUGGCAUAAUUGCUGGUGUUUGCCCAUAAGAGAAGGCAGUAGUCUUGCAUUGGGAUAUGCUUGCCGAGUGAGAGGGCAGCAUCCGAGAAGCAUCCAAAGAGAUGGUGAGAGCAUUUGGCUCUCCCAUGGGCACGGUUUAGAGAAAUCAAGAGAGCUAGAGUGAAAGAUCUUCUAGUGAAAGAACUCUUGGGUUAGAGCGAGGCUCCUAUGAGUGGGUGUACAAGGAAUUUGGCGUUGGGUUGUGUCGAUUUAACUCACGUGUAAUUUGUACUAUUAUUCUCAUAGUGAAGAGCAAUAUCUCUCUGGGAAUGUAGGCAGGUUUUUGCUGAACCUCGUAAAUUUCUCGGUGUCUUUAUUUCUUGUAUUUUUAUUAUGUUUAACUGUUGUGAUUUGGUGAUGUUGUAACCUGAAUCUCGGUUCCGCACGCACCUAACGGGCCAAAGCACAACAAUGCUCUCUCUUAAUCAGGAUGGAAAUUGAAGCGGAUCACAUUGGGCUUCUGUUGGUUGCUUUAGCUGGAUAUGAUCCCAGAGUGUGUCCAUCUGUGUACGAGAAGGAGCAAGGUUACUAGUGGUGUCACUGCACUCAGAGAUUAUCUUUCAACCCAUCCAUUUGGGAAAAAGAGAGCUGAAUUGCUGGCUCAAGCAAAGAUCAUGGAAGAAGCACUUGCUAUAUACCGGGAUGUAAAAGCAGGACACGGGGGUUGAGGGCUUUCUUUGGGACAGUUAGUAAUCACCAUGCAACUACUGACACAGUUCCACUUUUUCAUUUUUUAUUUCUUCCGAAGAUGAUUCCUGUACUAGUAUGUAACUCUAGCAUGUCCGAGUACAAGUUAUUGCAGGAGAAGUUGUAAAAAAAGGGAGAGAUUAUACGGCUAAUAAUAUAGUAUGGUAAUUUGACCCUCGUUGGUUGAGAUGAAUUCUCAUGUCACUGGUUGUCUACAAUCACAUGCUCUCUUUUUGUCAUCCUUAUGAUUCAGUCAUGCGUCGUUUGUAUAUAAAUGAUACGACUUAAGGUUUCUUUUCUUCAUCUUCUCCAUAAGUGCCAUGGAUUUUCUAUCCACUACUUUACCCCCAUAGCAUUAAGUUUGUCUUAUAAAUAUAAGACACAUUUUGAAAGGUACAACAACAAGAAGACAUUAGGAUCACAAAUAUAAUGAAUCGAAUUAAUAUAAAAUAGCGAUGAACUAAUUAUAUUAAACUUAUCUAUAGAAUGCGAAAGGCACGACUUUUGCAGAUGAGAAGAGGGUCUUCUACUCUUAGCACUCAAAAAGUGUUCUCGGCCAAGUGAAUAAGGUUUUGGUAUUGUGUAUGAGAAUGAUCGUUGUGAGAGCAGAGACAUGCCUUUUAUAUUGACUAGGGUUUCUCUCCAUCCAUCCUAUUAUAGGAAGGAGAAAUUUACCAAAGCAUAAUCUAAUCAUUCAAUGUCCCACUAUAAUAAGUCUUAAUAAAUAUGGAUCACGUAAUAUGUUAAUUAGAGGGUUAAGACUCUAUUAACUUAACAAUUUUUUUAACGGAAGUAUAAAAUUGAAAUACAAUAAUAAGUAACGCAUGAGAUUAAAAUGUUUUAAAAAAAUAUUGCAUAAAAUUGAAAUGUGAAAACCUAGAGGAUAAAAUGUAAUUUAUCCUUAAAAAUUACAAAACCAAGUGCUUUGAGGAUAUACCAAUAUCAUCCUCUAAGCAUUCCAACAUUUUUAAUUGACAUAGGAUGAGACCAAUGUGAAGUCUGAACCGUUGAGGUUCCACCAUUCCAAUGGUAUAGAAAGUUGAGGCUCCUCGUGCGCUUGCAUCAAUAAAUAUUGAAGAAAACUAAGAUUUUAUCGUAAAAUUAAUUGACAAUAAGAUGAAUAAUUUAACCUCUUAUAAACUUUUUGCUAGACUUGUUCCUCGCUAAUGCGGGACAAAUUGUUCUCACAUUUUCAACUCUUGACACGCCAUUUCACGUGUGACUAAUUUUCAAGCUUACAUAUCGACAACAAAUUGGGUGAUGUGUGAGCACGUGUAACCCUUGAGACUUUUACACAAAAGACAACCUGCUCCGAUACUAUAUAAAAAAAUAAAUAAGAAUUUAUUUCCAUUGAUAUUGAAUUACAACAAAACACUUCUUAUAUAGCAGUUGUCCUAUAAACAGCUCUCUUUGUUUUCUUUGUGAUUUUAUCACGCAUUUGUAUAUAAAUGAUACGAUCUAGGAUUUCUUUUCUUUAUCUUCUCCAUGAGUGCCAAGGAUUUUCUUUCCACGACUCUACCUCCCAUGGCAUUAAGCAUAGCUUUGAUUUUAAGCUUUAAUCAUGAUUAAAUCGUAUGCUGGAAGAGUGAGGAGUUUUUAUCGAUAAUAGUCAAAAUUUAACACCAAAUUUCAUAAAUGUCAUAUUUUAUAAAAUCUUUAAAAAUAACAGAAAUUCACUUAAAUAGACUUAAAGUACCCUCAAAAUUAAAACCAAAUAAACAUGAACUAAAUUCAAUGAAUUAAACUCUCAAAAUUAAAACCAAAUAAACAUAAACCAAAGAAUUUUAAUUCAGUUUGCAUUAUUCUUUGGGCUGUUUGGCUGGAGAGAAAUUCUAGAGUGUGGAAUGGCAGGACCGGUCACCCACUUCUUGUUGUUCAGCGGGCUACUGCAUGGUUACAGGAAUUUAUGGCAACUGUCUCUCGCUCGUCGUCGCCGCUGCAACUGUUGCAGCAUAAGUAGAAGACUCCUAGAGAGGGUUGGGUUAAGAUGAACGUGGAUGGAGCUACAAGGUUAGAAGAGAAUAGUCUGAGAGGAGUGGGCGUAAUUAUUAGGGAUUGGCAAGGUGCUUUUGUUGCUGCUGGUGCAUGGAACAAGGUAGGAUUUAGGUCUAUUGCCCAGAUUGAAAUGGCGGCGACACUUGAAGGUAUUAGUCUUGCAAGGAGAAUGGGUUUCGCUUUAGUUGAAUUAGAGAGUGAUUGAUCUCAAACAAUCAACUUACUCAACCAGUUCUCUGUGGAACUCACGACAUUGGGUUUGAUUGUAGAGGAUGUUUACUUUUUGUAGCGUCCUUACCUUCAAGAUCCUUCUCUGGCGGCCUCACACUUUGAACAACAGUGCCGACGAGAUCUAUUCAACUGUUUGGUUUUGGAUCUUGAGGGUAUUUAGGUUUAUUCACGUGCGUUUUCUGCUAUAUUUGAAAGUUUAUUAAAACAAUGACAUUUAUAAAAUUGGGUGUUAAAUUUUGGCUAUUAAUGAUAAGGGUAAAUACCCAAGAGAGAGAGUGAGGAAAAAGAGAUACCAUCAUUCCUUCCACUAAACUACUUUUCAUUUAAAUAUGGAUAAAUUACAUAGUAACCCCUCAGGUUUGAAGUUUAUUACAACCUCAUACAAUAUCUUUAAAACAUUUCACUUUCAUACCUCAAGUACUAUUUUAUUUCAAAAUAAUAUCCGUUACAUUUUCUAUCCAUUGAUCCGUUAAGUGUUGACGUGGUUGCCACAUUUAUGCCACAUAGCUGCCAAAUAUGUGCCACGUGGUAAAAAAAAUUUGAAACCCGCAACCCCCCCUCUGCAUUUCUCUGCUGCUUCCCGUCUUCUCCCUCCCUCGCUGAUCAAAUCCAACGAUCCAAACCCCCAACUUUUCUCUCCGCACCCCAAACCCCACUCUUCCCCCCCCCCAAAACCCUCAAUCCACACCCACAAAUUCCUAAAUAGACAAUCGCCGGCCUCCCCGCACAGUCAACGACCCUCGCCGGUUCUUUUUUCUGCGGUUCCCGCCUUACUGGCCCGCUGUGCGAUUCCCGCCUCAACUGGCUCCAAUGCGGCCCCUGCUCCUAUUACUACCAGCAAUCUGACCCAGUUUUCAACCCGGCCGGAUCUUGCAGGAGUCGCAGAGCUUGGAGGGAGGAGAGGGAGGGGAUGAAGGUCGGGGAAGAUGGGUUGCCGAUGAGUUCGCAAUGGCGUGGGGGGGGUUGCGGGGGCGUCGGCCGUGGAAAAAGAAGGGAGGGAGGGUUGUUUGGGGGUUGCGGGGGUGGGGGGAUGGGGUGUUAGGGUUGCAGGGAAAGGGAAGGGCUUGGGAAAAAGAUAGGUUUUUUUUUUGAGAAGAUUCAAUUUUUUUUUUAAAUUAAAAAAUUAUUUUUUGCCACGUGGCAUAUAGGUGGCAACCACGUGGUACAAAUGUGGCAGCCACGUCAGCACUUAACGGAUCAAUGGAUGGAAAAUGUAACGAAUGUACUAUAUUAAAAUAAAAUAGUAAGUGAGGUAUGAAAGUGAAAUAUUUUAAAGAUGUUGUAUGGGGUUGUAAUAGACCUCAAACUUGAGGGGCUACUUUGUAAUUUACCCUUUAAAUAUAUUAAAUCAAGGAUAAUGUUAGGGAGUUCAAAAUUUUAAAACUAAAUGAUGUGUCACAAAUAAGAAACAAGCCUAAAUGAUGUGUCACAAAUAAGAAACAAGCAUGUUAAUCGACACUUAAUUAAUAAUCCAAUCAUCUACAGCCACAUCAUUUGAUUUGCAAACUUGGUUUUAAAAAAUACUUUUCGUUUAAACAUUGGGUAAAUUACAGUUUACACCCUCAAGUUUGGGUAAUAUUGCAACAUCUUCAACAUCUUUAAAACAUUUCAAUCUCAUACAUUACUUAUUAUUUUAUUUCAAUAUCAUACAUUACGUUAAAUUUUCUAUUAGUUUACCAGUUAAAUAAUGGCGUGGAAAUUAUAGGGCUCACAUGCAUCUUAUCAUCCAAUCAUGCUUCGCCAUGUGGCCAUUAAGUUAAAAAAAAAUUGUAUGACAAGGAAAAUGAUUUUCAAUAUGCUUCCUUCUUAAUAUUUUUCUUAAAAAAAAUUAAAAAUUAAAAACAAACUAAAAACAAAUAUGUGCCUUUUGAAACAUAUUACCCAGAAAACAAAAAUAGCUAGGGUUUUGUCUGCAAGUCGUUCCUCCGUUCCCGAUCUCCCGAAUAUGCCGUCACACAAGUCUUUCAUGAUCAACAAGAAGCUGAGGAAAUUGGUAUUCCCUUUGUAGUUUAAUUGUAUUUCAAGUAUUGGGUUGGACCAAUUUUUGGAAAAAAGGGUGAACCAAUCAAGUUGGAAACUUCCCUGAUAAACCGCGAUCUUCAACGCCAGCAGCUCCGAUAGCCAUGUCUACGCCUCCUACUUCUAUCAUAACCGCCACCAGCCUCACCGACUUGUGGUGGUCUAGAACCGCGCACACCAUCGUCAUCACAUACCGUCCGUACAAGCUGAGGGCGCUGACGGUCAAAAACGUCAUCAAGACGACCAAGAUGAUGAACAUCAGACCCUCUGUCACCCAAAAAAAACCCAGUUUCGUCAACGACCGAAGAUCUCAAAAAAGUGUAGACUCGCAGGAUGAACCACAUCAUCGCUUAGAGAGAUUUGGAUUUGGAUUUGGAUUUGGCAGCAAAAAGAUGAUGGGUUUUGGGUUGGUUUGGGGAGAUUUUUGCAGAGAGGGAUUUAGAUUUGGAUUUGCUGGGUUUUGUUUCAAGCCAUGGUGCGUGGAAUUGUAGGGAUUUGCAAUGUUUGGUCCAUGGCGAGGAAGGGAUGAAAGGUGCAGGAGGGAGGAAGGUGCGUGGAGAGGAAGGGAUGAAAAGUGCAAGGAAUGAGGGAGGCAGGGGAUGAAGAUUAUAGGGUGUGGGGCCCACUAUUCUUCUUUCUUAGAAUUAUAUUUUUAUUUUUUUCUUUCCUAGAAUUACAUUUCCAAAAAAUAUAUAAAUAUUUUGUCAUAUGUGGCAUAUUAUGACUGCCAUGUCAGCUAAGGGGUGGGACCUGUAAUUGACACAUCACCACUUAACGAUUAAACUAACAAAAAAAUUAACGGAUGUAUGACAUUGAAAUAAAAUAAUAAGUGAUGUAUGAGAUUGCAAUAGUACGUAAACAUAAGGGUGUAAAUUGUAAUUUACCCAUAAAUAUAUUAAAGGGUAAAUAUCAGUUUACUACCUUCAAGUUUCGUGGUUUUCAACAAUUGGUACAUGAAGCUUUUUCGUCCCAAAGUCAUACCUAAAGUGUUAAUUUUGGGAUAGUCUCAUACAUCCGUUAGUUUGACAGUUAAAUCAGCCGUUAAAUAAUGACGUGGUGCCCACAUGGACAUGACUGAGAGCAACGUGUCAAUAUGGGGCCCACAUAAAUAUUAAAAAUUUUAAAAAUUAAAAAAAUUAAAAAAAUUAAAAAAAUUAAAAACUUUAAAACUUUAAAAAAUAAAAAAAUAAAAAAAUCUGGGUGACCUCACCCCUCAUGCACCCAUCCUCCCUCCUUCUCCCUCCCUUCUCUUCCUGUGUCUCUAGCCCUUUCUGAAAACCAAAAACCUAAAUCAAAAUCCAAAACUUCCGAAUUUGAUUCAAUAAAAAAAGAAGAAGACAUCUCUCUCAAUGUAAACAAUCAUGUUAUCAGUCAACCAUUAAUAUCUCAUUUCAUCAUUUUCUUUGAUGAGUGAUAUAUCAUAUUCAUUUCAUCAUUUUCUUUGAUGAGUGAUAUAUCAUAUGUGGCAUCUAAUUAUCCUGUUAAUCGGAUUUAAAAACUUAGCUAGGAAAACUCGAACAAAUAGAUCACCAAAACAUAAGUAAUCACACUUUAAUUAUAACUUUAAAUUAUAUUGACAAGGAACAAAAAUAGUGGGAUUUCAAUAUAGUUAAAAUUUUAGAUUUUGUGUUGUUGGAAUACAUGUGACAUUAGUCUUUUAUUUCAACGCUUCUACUCAUGCCACAUGUAUUAUACUAACACGAAAAGAAAAUUUCACUAUUUUUAUUUCUUGUUAAUAUAAUUAAAAGUUGUAAUUAUACUUUGAUUAAUUAAAAAUUGUGGAACCUAGAAGGGUCUUGCAGUGUGGUACAAAAUAACAUGAUUUAAAUGAAAGUAGUGGGUUUGCCAAACGAAAUGGACGGUCAAGAUAAAGAAAAUGAAACACUAACCAUUCAAGUUUUAACAUAAUCGGGGUGCGGGACAAGUGUGGUCCCUGCUGUUUUGUUUUAUUUAUUUUUUUGUCAUUAGUUAAAUUUGGGGGUGUGGGGGCGGGGGGGGGGGAUUCGAACCUUGGAUGAGGUGGGAGUUUUCUUGGCUCUAAUGCCACUGCACUAGGCCCCCAUCCUCGAAAACGGUCCCUUUUACUUUGGCUGUCUACGCACUGUUUCACUUAAUUCUACCUUUCCACAACUACGCCAUUUGCCUGGGAUUUAAACAAAGAAACCAGAAACGUAGCGGCGCCGCGCAGAGUACCAAAACUAGCGCCGGCAAAGCAGAGCGGCAGCAGCUAGCAGAGGGGCGAAAAUCUGGAUCUUAGGCAUGAAUUCCGACGACCGGAGGGGCGGCCGCACCUGCUCGCGCCUCUGUGGCUUCGCCACUUCGUGCGGUACGGAUCCUGAUCCGGGUCGGAUGUCAUUGGACGAGCCUGGGCUUCUUGGGACCGGUAUUUGGGUCCGAGAGGCCCCCACCGAGGCUGACUCCGAUGGUUUCGGUUAUGGAAGAGAGCUGGGAGAGGAGUCCAGGCGGCUCAGCUCAGACCAAAGACUAUUACAACUCGCAGCGGCGGUGGAGCUUCGAACGGUCGAGUUUCGAUCUGUCCGCAACGGCGGAGGUUGAUGAGAUGAAGUUGGGAUCAAAUGCUAGAGUCUCCCCUGCCACUUCAGAGUUGUUCUAUGGGGCCAAGCUGCUGAUUACAGAGAAAGAAUUGAUGAGUUCGAUGGGUUCGAAUUCGAAGUUGAAUUCUUCUGAGGAUGAUGAGCGUGCGGAGGAGGGCGGCGGCGUUGGGAUUGGCACUGAACCUGUUUGUAAAAAUGCGGCUUCGGAAUCAACCAAUGGGGAAUGGGUGAGUGCAGACGAGAGAAGGAGUGAUGGGGCCCAGAAUUUUUUUUGAUUUUUUGAUUUUUUAAAGUUUUUAAUUUUUUAAUAUUCAUGGGCCUUAUAUUGACACUUGACGUCCAAUUAUGUUUACGUAAACGCCACAUCAUCAGUUAAUAACUGAUUUAACAAUCAGACUAAUAAAUGUAUAAAAUUAUCUCAAAAUUAACACUAUGACUGUUGGACGAAAAAAACUUCAUGUAGCAAAUGUUGAAAAUCACGAAAAUAAACUGAUAUUUACCCUUAAAUAUAUUAAAUCGAAGAAAAACGCUUUUCUGUUUACCCAAAAAAAAAGAAAAAUGUUUUCUUUUUCUGUUUUUUGGCGGCCAUCCGUAUGCAGACCAAGUCCAGGGUUUUGAAGAGCAGAACUGUAAAAACUUAAGAACACUCAAGGUUUCUCUUCAAUUGCAUUACCCAAUCAGUGAUGGGCUGCAUGUAUUUAUACUGCAUUCCAGAUUACAUCAGGGAAUUGAAAUCCCUAUUUACAAGGCUAUUUGAAAUUCAAAAAUACAACAGAAAAAUCAAACUUUGAUGUACACGGAAAGAAAUAUUUGACUUGAUCACGAACUCUUGAAACCGCACACAGACUAUGACUUGGUCUAACAAGAACAACAUCUUUUCAACUUUUCGCAUUUUCUUGGGUCACCGAAAUUUCCUUGAAGAAGGUGUGAAACCCAUAAAGCAUAAUUUCCUUUUUUCGCUUUUGCCCCUUUGCAUUGAGUCAUUGACUUGGUAUCGAUCAGACCAUUUAUCGGUGAUCCAGUUUGUAGAUCUACUUGUGUUCUUGCAUUCCUCUUAGUCCGAGCUGCUCGAUCAUCGCUGACCCGGUGCGAUCGAUUAAUGGCUUCUUCUUCUUCUUCUUCUGGCCUUCGUUGGAAAUACGAUGUGUUCAUCAAUUUCAGAGGGGAAGACACUCGCAGGGGCUUCGUCAGCCAUCUAUACAGAGCUCUGCGUCAGAAACCACUCAACACCUUCAUUGAUACCGAAGAACUCAGAAAAGGCGACCGCCUUUCCGAGCUCCUGACAGCGAUUCGAGAGUCAAGGCUUUCAAUUGUAGUUUUCUCUCAAAACUAUGCUUCUUCCACUUGGUGCUUGAAGGAACUCGUCGAAAUUUUGGAAUACAACGAUAACAAGAACCAAAUUGUGGUCCCCAUUUUCUACGAAGUCGAUCCAUCCGAUAUUCGUAAACUCAAAGGAAGUUUCGCUGAAGCUUUUGAUCGGCAUGAAGGCCAUUCUAACGCCAACAUGGAGGAGGUGCGGAGCUGGAGGUCCGCCCUUACUCGAGCCACCAAUUUAUCCGGCUGGGAUUCGCGAAACUAUGAGUAAAUUCUAAUUUGCUUUACUUUCCUAUUAAUUUUUGUAACGUUUAGGCGUCACUUUUUGUUUUAAGUUUUAAUUUUUAAUUUUUAGUUAUUUGAAAUUAAUAGAUGAAAACUUGUGAUGGGGCUACAAUGGUAUGGAAUACUCAAUACAAGUUUUAUGCAAAACGAUUGUAAAGACCCAUUAGAUCUCUAUAUGCAAGAUCUAACUCAUAAUUUUUUAUACUAUUAUAUACCAUGGAAGAAAAAUUGAAAAACUCAUUUAAUAACUACUUUUAAAGAAACUAAGAAUUCAUGCCCAAAAUUUUAAAAUUCAAAAUUUAGAUUUAAAAAAAAAAUGAAAACAAAAUAACUAUCAAAACGACCCAUUAAUUAUUAUUUGGUGGUGCUAUUAUAAUAUUUUUAAAAUUUGACAGGGAUGAUGCAAAGCUUAUUGAGGAAAUUGUAGAAGAUGUUUAUAGGAAAUUGAUCCUCAUCUCAUCAACUUCAAGCAAAGAUAAUCCUUUGAUUGAAAUGGAUUCUCACAUGCAUGAAAUGCAUUUAUUAUUACAUCCUCCUGGAGUUGAAACGAAUAAUGUUCGUGUUGUUGGAAUAUGGGGUAUGGGUGGUUUAGGCAAAACAACCAUCGCUAGAGCUGUUUAUGAUGAAAUCGCUUGUCAGUUUGAAGCUUGUUGCUUUCUUGAAAAUGUCAAGGAAGGUUUCAAGAAGCAUGGCCAACUAGAUGUGCAAACACAACUUCUAUCUAGUAUCUCGAGCAACAAGGUAGGGAGUUCGGACAUAUCAAAUAAAGGUUUCCAGGUGAUGUCAAAAAGCCUUGGUCAAAGAAAAGUUCUUGUUGUUGUUGACGAUGUGGACAAAUUAGCUCAAAUUGAAGCCUUACUCGGAAAACGGCAUUCUUUUGGUGAUGGAAGUAGAAUCAUUAUAACAACUAGGGAUGUACAAUUACUAAGUGGAGCUGAUGCGAUAUAUAGGCCCAAGAUUUUUAGUGAUCGUGGAGCUCUGGAACUCUUUAGGCAGUACGCCUUUAGAACAAACCAACCCACCAGAGAUUAUGAUGAUCUUUCGAGGCUUUUCACACAAUAUGCUCAAGGUCUGCCUUUAGUACUCUCAGUCUUGGGAGCUUUUCUUGAUAACAAAACUGUACACGAGUGGGAAGAUGUGUUAGAAAAAAUAAGAAAAAUCCCGCAAAGGGGAAUUUAUGAUGUGCUUAAAACAAGCUUCGAGACUUGUGCACUUGGUGCGAUGGCAAGUGCCUUCGUCCAUGAGCGGUAGGUCUCGGGUUCGAGACUUGGGAGCAGCCUCUCCAUAAAAUGAGGGUAAGGCUAGCCGACAUUCACCUCUCCCAGACCAUGCGUAAAGCGGGAGCCUUGUGCACUGGGUACGACCUUUUAAAACAAGCUUCGAUGGACUAGAUGACACAGAGAAGGACAUCUUUCUAGAUAUUGCAUGUUUCUUUAAAGGGAUGAAGAAAGACUAUGCAACCGAAAUUCUGGACGGUUGUGGUUUCCAUCCUCAUACAAGAAUAAGGGUUCUAAUCGAUCAAGCACUCAUAACUGUCUCAGGGGAGGGGGAACUGGCGAUGCAUGAUUCACUAGAGGAAAUGGGCCGAGAAAUCGUCCGCCAAGAAUCUAUCAGAGAGCCUGGGAGACGAAGUAGAUUGUGGAGCUAUGAAGAUGUUCAUCAUGUGCUAACUCAAAAUUCGGUUAGAAAUAUUUUUCUUAUGCAAUUUUUGGUAGAAAGCUUCAACUUUUGAUCAAAAUCUAUUUCUUAGGCCCGGUUUACUACCCAUUUUUGUUUUCAAUUUGUAAUUUUUAGUUUUCAUUUUUUUAAUAAUUAAAAAUUGAAAACAAUUACCAAAGUUGAAAACUAAAAAGAAAUGAUUAUCAAACUGCUCCUUAAGAAACAAUCAUUAAUUUCAUAAUGUAAACUAAGGUUCUCUGUUUUCUUUUCUUUACUUUGAUUCGCACAGGCUACAAAAGCAGUUGAAGGCAUAAUCCUGGAUUUGUCGUGCUCAGAUUGGGUAUGCUUAAAUGCUGAAGCUUUUGUUAGUAUGACUCAACUAAGACUUCUCAAGAUCAGUCACUCCAUUUGUGAACAUGAUUACUGCAAACACCACCUGAUUGGGCACUUCAAGUUACUUGAGUUGAGGUAUCUCUCCUGGCUUGGAUGCCCUCUUAAGUCUUUGCAAUCUACCUUUCAAUUCAAAAAUCUUGUUGCACUUGAUAUGCAAUAUAGUCUCAUUGACCGACUUUGGGAAGGAACCCAGGUACGUACAAUCAUUUACAUGUAUAUGUUUCUUUUAAAUGUUUGGGUUUUAAGAUGUCUCAUUAAGUAAUGUAUGUUUUCCUGAUUGUUUUAACAGAAGCUAGAAAAGUUGAAGUUCAUCGAUUUAAGUUAUUGUCAAUACCUUAAGGAAACCCCUGACUUCACAGAGAUGCCCAAUCUUGAGAACCUAAUUCUUCGAGAUUGUAUAAGUUUAGUUGAGGUUCACCUGUCUAUUUCAACCCUUACAAAACUUGUGUUAUUGAAUCUUUUUGGGUGCAAAAAACUUAAGAUUCUAGCCAACAUCAUGCGUAUGAAAUCUCUCAAAACCCUUGAUCUGUCUGGCUGCUCGAGUCUUGAGAUGUUUCCAGAGAUUUCAGAAGUUAUGGAGAAACUAUCAUGGCUUAGUUUGUCCGGGUCAAAAAUUAAAGAAUUGCCCUCGUCAAUUAAUAAUCUCACGGGGUUGAGUGAUUUGGCCGUAGUAGAUUGCAAGGAACUUAAGAGUCUUCCAAGCAACAUUCAUAUGAAAUGUCUCAAAACCCUUAAUCUUUAUGGCUGCUUGAGUCUUGAGAUACUUCUAGAGAUUUCAGAAGUUAUGGAGGAACUAUCAUUGCUUGAUUUGUCCAGAUCAAAAAUUAAAGAACUGCCUUCGUCAAUUAAUAAUCUCACGGGGUUGAGUGAUUUGGUCUUAAUAGAUUGCAAGGAACUUAAGAGUCUUCCAAGCAGCAUUCGUAUGAAAUCUCUCAAAACCCUUAAUCUGUCUGGCUGCUCGAGUCUUGAGAUGUUUCCAGAGAUUUCAGAAGUUGUGGAGAAACUAUCAUGGCUUAAUUUGUCCGAGUCAAAAAUUAAAGAACUGCCCUCGUCAAUUAGUAAUCUCACGGGGUUGAAUCAUUUGGUCCUAGUAGAUUGCAAGGAGCUUCAGAGUCUUCCAAGCAGCAUUCGUAUGAAAUCUCUCAACACCCUUAAUCUUUCUGGCUGCUCGAGUCUUGAGAUGUUUCCAGAGAUUUCAGAAGUUGUGGAGAAACUAUCAUGGCUUAAUUUGUCUGAGUCAAAAAUUAAAGAACUGCCCUCAUCAGUUAGUAAUCUCACGGGGUUGAAUCAUUUGGUCCUAGUAGAUUGCAAGGAGCUUCAGAGUCUUCCAAGCAGCAUUCGUAUGAAAUCUCUCAACACCCUUAAUCUUUCUGGUUGCUUGAGUCUUGAGAUAUUCCCAGAGAUUUCAGAAGUUAUGGAGGAACUAUCAUGGCUUGAUUUGUCCAGGUCAAAAAUUAAAGAACUGCCCUCGUCAAUUAAUAAUCUCACGGGGUUGAAUCAUUUGGUUCUAGUAGAUUGCAAGGAACUUAAGAGUCUUCCAAGCAGCAUUCGUAUGAAAUCUCUCAAUACCCUUAAUCUUUCUGGCUGCUCGAGUCUUGAGAUGUUUCCAGAGAUUUCAGAAGUUAUGGAGAAACUAUCAUGGCUUAAUUUGUCCGGGUCAAAAAUUAAAGAACUGCCCUCGUCAAUUAAUAAUCUCACGGGGUUGAAUCAUUUGGUCCUAGUAGAUUGCAAGGAACUUAAGAGUCUUCCAAGCAGCAUUUGUAUGAAAUCUCUCAAAACCCUUAAUCUUUCCGGCUACUUGAGUCUUGAGAUAUUUCCAGAGAUUUCAGAAGUUAUGGAGGAACUAUCAUGGCUUGAUUUGUCCAGGUAAAAAAUUAAAGAACUGCCCUCGUCAAUUAGUAAUCUCACGGGGUUGAAUCAUUUGGUCCUAGUAGAUGGCAAGGAACUUAAGAGUCUUCCAAGCAGCAUUCGUAUGAAAUCUCUCAAUACCCUUAAUCUUUCUGGCUGCUCGAGUCUUGAGAUGUUUCCAGAGAUUUCAGAAGUUAUGGAGAAACUAUCAUGGCUUAAUUUGUCCGGGUCAAAAAUUAAAGAACUGCCCUCGUCAAUUAAUAAUCUCACGGGGUUGAAUCAUUUGGUCCUAGUAGAUUGCAAGGAACUUAAGAGUCUUCCAAGCAGCAUUUGUAUGAAAUCUCUCAACACCCUUAAUCUUUCCGGUUGCUUGAGUCUUGAGAUAUUCCCAGAGAUUUCAGAAGUUAUGGAGGAACUAUCAUGGCUUGAUUUGUCCAGGUCAAAAAUUAAAGAACUGCCCUCGUCAAUUAAUAAUCUCACGGGGUUGAAUCAUUUGGUCCUAGUAGAUGGCAAGGAACUUAACAGUCUUCCAAGCAGCAUUCGUAUGAAAUCUCUCAAUACCCUUAAUCUUUCUGGCUGCUCGAGUCUUGAGAUGUUUCCAGAGAUUUCAGAAGUUAUGGAGAAACUAUCAUGGCUUAAUUUGUCCGGGUCAAAAAUUAAAGAACUGCCCUCGUCAAUUAAUAAUCUCACGGGGUUGAAUCAUUUGGUCCUAGUAGAUUGCAAGGAACUUAAGAGUCUUCCAAGCAGCAUUUGUAUGAAAUCUCUCAAAACCCUUAAUCUUUCCGGCUGCUUGAGUCUUGAGAUAUUUCCAGAGAUUUCAGAAGUUAUGGAGGAACUAUCAUGGCUUGAUUUGUCCAGGUAAAAAAUUAAAGAAUUGCCCUCGUCAAUUAGUAAUCUCACAGGGUUGAGUGAUUUGGUCCUAGUAGAUUGCAAGGAACUUAAGAGUCUUCCAAGCAGCAUUGGGUUUUGGGUAAAACCCAAAACAGAGCCGUUGUGAAAGUUUGACGCGUGUACAACCCCCAAUUUCCAAGUAAUCAAAAUUCAAACCCAAUUUGUUAUUCGGAAUUAAAUUUCAGAAUUGGGAGAUUAUAUUACCUGAAAAAAGAAAUAAUUUUCAGGGGUUUUGGGUACACUGUGCUGAUAAACACAUGGAUACGAAGCUCUGUUUUGAAGCAAUCAGUCGGUCACUACGCCACAUGCGGCGGCCUUCAAUUGCUUAUUGUGAUUAUGUCGCGAGGGAGAGGUACAUAUCUCUACAUGUGGAAUACAUUUGUUACCUGUCUUUUCGUUCGGGUUUGGCGGGUUUCAAUUGCUUAUGUGCUGCUUUUCUUUCUUAUACUUCAGAUUUUUGCUUGUGCAGAAACUGUGAAGCUAUUGCUAUCUAUGUCAAUUCCCGUUGCUAACUUGCCAAUGCCACCGGUGCUCCUCCAAUUUUGGGGAAAGGUACUUUGCAUUUCCUUUUAUCUUAAUGUUUCUAUAUCUGAAUUUGUGUACAUGACUAUAUUAGUCUAGAUUAGAUUGCUUUUUUAGCGUUAGUGGGGUACAAUGACGGGUUUUUCAAUCUAGUCGUAUGUUUCAUCAGUACAAUCUGCAUUCAUCAGCAUAAUUUGUUAACAAAGCUUGACCGACUCUUCUUGACUCAUCCCCAAAUACUCAAAGUCCCCUCUGCGACCAAUGUCUGUCUCUCACAGUCACUCACAAUUCCACCGAAUGAAUAAGUUGCCACGACUCAAUCCACUGCAAGCACACCUCAACACCCCAAACGCAUCCUCACCAUGAACUCCAAAGUUUCACUUUUACUAUUUUGGAAUUGAAGUGCAGGUCACUUCUUUGUAGUUGUUCUUUUAUCUACUAUUGUUUUGAAAUGAAUGAAGAGAGGAGGUUGAUGCUGUAUAUUUGAAGCAAUUCAACUUGCCCUGAUCCCAGCUUCUUGUGUAUGGAAGGAACUUCGGAUUGCAGCGUUGUUGCCGGGAAGAUUGUGAUUUGUGACAGUGGUAUUAGGCCCAGAGUGCAGGAGGGACAUGAGGUGAAAGAUGCAGGAGCCAUUGGUAUGAUUUUGGCAAACACAACUGCUAAUGCUGAACAAAUGUCUCUAUUUUGACUCUUCAUACAACUGUCACUAAUGUUGGCUCUGCGGUUUCGAAUUACCACUCCAUAGUUUCGCAGUUCAAAGUUGCUUAUGUGAAAGUCGAGCCUCAGACGUUUAACUUCACCAGAGUAAACCAGAAGCUAUCUUGUAAGAUCACCUUACCAUGAAAUCCCAGCAGGCGGUUCCGGAAUUCGAAGGGUUGGUGUGUGGAAGGAUGGAGUGCAAAGGGUGAGAAGCUCUGUUGUUGUAGUUUGGCUACCUCCACUGUGAAUCAUGCACUGGAGUUUUUUUUUUUUUUUUUUUUUUUUUUUUUGUUGCCCUUUUUGGCAUGAUUUAAUUUCAAUAUAUGUUGUUUAUAUUAAUUAUUAAUGCUUUUUAUUCCGUCCGAGCAUUUCAGUCCUUGCAGUACAUGAGGCUAGUCAAUCAUCGUUUACAUAGUACUUUCUGCGAUCGAUCCCGUGCAUGUUAAUGGCUGCUGCUGCUGCUUUUUCUUCUUCGUCUUCAUCCGACAGUCAUUGAAAUACGAUGUCUUCCUGAAUUUAAGAGGACUCGAGGCUGCUGCUUCUUCGUCGGCCAUCUCAAGUCUCAACAAAGCUCUGGAUCAGAAAGCAGUCAACACCUUCAUCGACGCCAAAGAGCUUCAAAAGGCAACGACCUUUAGGAGCUCCUGGUAGCUAUUUGCGACUCAGGCUUUCGAUCCCGAAAACCAUGCUUCUUCGACGUGGUGCUUGAAAGAACUUGUCCAGAUAAUGGAAUGCAUGGAUGCACACAAGCAGAUAGUGGUUCCUGUUUUAUACGGAGUCGAUCCAUCUGAUAUUCGAAAACAGGAAGUUUUGCAGAAGCUUUUGCUAAACGUGAACGUCAUUAUAACGCUGGCGUGAAGGAGGUGCAGGGCUGGAUGUCCGCUAUUGUUAGAGCCAUCAUUUAUUCGGUUGGGAUUUGCAAAAUUACAAGUAAGUUUAAUUUUUUUCAGCACUCCAUGAUCACGUCGAAUCCUUAUGAAAAUGAAUCCAGAACAAAAUCGCGCUAAAGCUAGGGCGUCACCCGUAAGUGGCACGCUGUGUGGCCCGAGCACAGUGAUAAGUGAGCAAGGGUCGCUGUAUCUCCAUCGGCACCCGGAUGCAGUGUUAAAUGAGCAAGGGGGCCAUAGAAACUUCUUUUCGAACGACUCCACUCAAAGUUGUUUGGGAGCAUAUGCUCCUAUCAACUUUACCCGGGACACACAAAAGAAGUACUUUGAUCCUAUUAGACGGGGGGGGGAAGGGUGAAGAAGCUAGGACAGAAGGGUAGAGUUCAAGAGAGCAAAAUGCGUUUAGGAACGUGGAAUAUAGGAACCUUAACGGGAAAAUCUAUGGAAGUAGUGGAAGUUAUGGUGAGGAGAAGGAUAAAUAUUAUGUGCCUACAAGAAACUAAGUGGGUUGGUAGUAAGGCAAAGGAUCUAGAAAACUCAGGGUUUAAACUUUGGUAUUCGGGCACAAAUAGAACGAGAAACGGUGUUGGCAUCAUCGUGGACAAGACCUUGGUACAAGAUGUUGUAGAUGUCAAGAGGGUAGGAGAUAGAAUCAUGGCAAUCAAGAUUGUAAUAGGACAAAAACUUAUCAAUGUGAUUAGUGCGUACGCACCUCAAGUAGGGUUGGAUACGAGUUCGAAGGAGAAAUUUUGGGAAGAUCUUGGAGACUUGGUGCAAGGAAUUGCUCAGACGGAGAAGUUAUUUAUAGGAGGAGAUUUAAAUGGACACGUGGGCAGGGAGACAGGCAACUAUGGAGGUUUUCAUGGUGGCCAUGGUUUUGGGGAGAGAAACGAGGAUGGGGAAGCUAUCUUGGAUUUUGCAAUGGCAUAUGAUCUCUUCUUAGCCAACACCUUCUUUAAGAAGAGAGAAGAACAUGUGAUCACCUACAAGAGUGGGUCGUCAAAAACACAAAUAGAUUUUCUUCUAAUGAGGAAAGGGGAUCGUAUAACUUGUAAGGAUUGCAAAGUUAUACCAGGAGAGAGCGUGGCUAAUCAACAUCGCUUGUUGGUGAUGGAUGUACAUAUCAAAAGAGUAAGACAAAAGAACAAGACUUGGAAGUGCCCAAGGACUAGAUGGUGGAAUCUAAAAGAAGAAAAACAAGCCAUUUUCAAAGAGAAGGUAAUCACCCAAUGUGUGUGGGAUAGAGAGGGGGAAGCUAGCCAAAUGUGGGAUUCCAUGGCUAGUUGUAUCCGAAAAGUAGCAAAAAGAGGUAUUAGGAGAGUCCAAGGGCUUUGCCCCACACCAAAAGGAAUCUUGGUGGUGGAAUGAGGAGGUACAAACAAAGGUGAAGGCUAAGAAGGAAUGUUGUAAAGCCUUAUACAAGGAGAGGACCGAUGAAAAUGGUGAAAGGUAUAGAAAAGCGAAGCAAGAGGCGAAGAAAGCUGUCAGAGAAGCUAAGUUAGCGGCUUACGACGAUAUGUAUAAACGACUAGAUACCAAAGAAGGAGAGUUGGAUAUCUAUAAACUAUCUAGAGCAAGGGAAAAGAAGACAAGGGACCUAAACCAAGUGAGGUGCAUCAAGGAUGAGGAUGGAAAGGUUCUUGCUACAGAGAACGCGGUUAAAGACAGAUGGAGAGGUUAUUUUCAUAAUCUUUUCAAUGAAGGACAUGAAAUGAGUGCUUCUUUAGGGGAGUUGAGUAACUCAGAAGAGUGUAGAAACUACUCUUUUUAUCGUCGAAUCCGGAAGGAAGAAGUGGUUGUAGCUUUGAAGAAGAUGAAGCAUAAAAAAGCAAUAGGCCCAGACGAUAUACCAAUCGAAGUGUGGAAACUUUUGGGAGAGACAGGUAUAACAUGGCUCACUGACCUUUUCAAUAGGAUUUUGAAAACGAAGAAGAUGCCAAAUGAGUGGCGAACGAGCAUUUUGGUGCCUAUCUACAAGAAUAAGGGCGACGUACAAAAUUGCAUGAACUAUAGGGGUAUUAAGCUAAUGAGUCAUACAAUGAAGCUCUGGGAGAGAGUCAUUGAGCAUAGAUUGAGGCAAGAGACACGGGUUUCGGACAACCAAUUCGGGUUCAUGCCAGGGCGCUCAACCAUGGAGGCAAUCUAUCUCUUACGAAGAUUGAUGGAAAGAUAUAGAGAUGGGAAAAAGGAUUUACACAUGGUCUUUAUAGAUUUGGAAAAAGCGUAUGAUAGGGUCCCAAGAGACAUUCUUUGGAGGAUUUUAGAGAAGAAAGGAGUACGAGUAGCAUAUAUCCAAGCUAUAAAGGAUAUGUAUGAAGGAGCAAAGACUGCCGUAAGAACUCAUGAAGGACAAACCGAAAGCUUUCCCAUAACUGUAGGAUUACAUCAAGGCUCAUCCUUAAGUCCUUACCUUUUUGCGUUGGUAAUGGAUGAGUUAACAGGACAUAUUCAAGAUGAUAUUCCUUGGUGUAUGCUUUUCGCAGACGAUAUAGUGUUGAUAGAUGAAACUCAGGAAGGGGUAAAUGCAAAGCUUAACCUUUGGAGAGAAGUGUUGGAAUCUAAAGGUCUUCGCCUAAGCCGAUCAAAGACAGAAUAUAUGGAGUGCAAGUUCAGUGCAAAUGGAGGCCAAAACGAGUUAGGGGUGAGGAUCGGAGAUCAAGAAAUACCAAAGAGCGACCGUUUUUCGUUACCUAGGAUCUAUCUUGCAAAAGAACGGAGAAUUAGAUGGAGAUCUCAACCAUAGAAUACAAGCUGGAUGGAUGAAGUGGAAGAGUGCAUCCGGCGUGUUGUGUGACCGCCGUAUGCCACUGAAGCUCAAGGGAAAAUUUUAUAGGACGGCAAUAAGGCCGGCGAUGCUGUAUGGCACAGAAUGUUGGGCGGUGAAACAUCAACACGUACACAAAAUGGGUGUAGCGGAGAUGAGGAUGCUUCGUUGGAUGUGUGGGCACACGAGAAAGGAUAAGAUUAGGAAUGAGGAUAUCCGGGGUAAAGUAGGAGUAGCCGAAAUUGAAGGAAAGAUGAGAGAAAAUCGGUUACGGUGGUUUGGACAUGUGCAAAGAAGGCCUACUGACGCUCCGAUUAGAAGAUGCGACUAUGGGACAGAGGUUCAGGGCCGAAGGGGUAGAGGAAGACCUAGGAAAACUUUGGAAGAGACUCUAAGAAAAGACUUAGAGUACUUGGAUCUAACGAAGGACAUGACACAGAUGAUCGAGCACAAUGGCGUUCUAAGAUUCAUAUAGCCGAUCCCACUCAGUGACUUGGAUUUUCCAAGUCUCCAACCGAGAAGUUUUCCUCACUCGGGAAAUUAAGGGAACACUACCCCAACCUACAUGCUCCACUCAGAAAGCUUCAACAUACAAGCUUCAACAAAAGAAAAUUCAAAGAACUUAGCGAAGAAGGCUUUGGUGUAUUUAACACAAUACGUUGAAAUGAAGGAAAGCUUAUUUAUUGAUAUCCCCGAUAAGCUACAAAUAUGUACAUAUACAUGAGUCAAAAUAAACACACAAGAGGGAGCCUUCACAAAGGUUGCUUAGGAGAAGUCUCAGCAGUCGGUAGAGCCCCAGAAAGAGAAGGCACCGGAGGGGGAUCAUUUGGAGCCUCAGUACUGGACAGAACCCUAGAAGGAGGAGGCAUCAGAGGUUGAUCAUUUGGAGCUUCAUUACGCGGUACAGCCCUAGAAGACGAAGGCAAUAAAUGCCUUUGGAACAAACCCACAAAUCUCUGAUGAUCAAGUAAAACCUGACCAUCAGUUUCCUUCAUCUGGUCAAGCUUCCUCUUCAUGUUUGUAGCAUAGUCAUGUGCGAGCCGGUGCAACUGUUUAUUCUCAUGCUUGAGCCCUCUAAUCUCCUGUUUGAGACUCAUCACUUCAGCCGCCAAUGAUUCAACUUGGCGGGUUCGAGCAAAUAGGCGUUGGGCCAUAUUAGACACAGAACCUGCACACUGAACACUGAGAGCCAGCGAAUCCUUAACAGCUAACUCAUCAGACCGUUUGGAAAGUAGUCUGUUAUCUUUGGGAGUGAGAAGGUUCCUGGCCACCACCGCAGCGGUCAUAUCAUUCUUCAUCAUAGAAUCCCCAACGGUAAGAGGACUAGUAGGGGAGACGAAGGAUGGGCGCCAUAUGUUGUCUGGAGAAGGCGGGGCUGCCUCUUCAACAAGGUUCAAGUCAAAAUCGACGGUCGGGAGGGGCCAGACAUUUUCAAAGGUGUUGAAGAGAGAAGAGGUCGGACAAAUCAAGAUCUUAGAAGUGCAAGAAUGAAGCUUCUACUGGUGGAGAUUCAAGUGUGCUUUGGAACUUAAUGCCAGCCCCUAUAAAAAUCUGCACUCGACGGAGCUUCAGAAAUCGAAGAGGCGCCUGCUCAGAAAUCGAAGAGGCGUUUGCUUUCUCAAAAGCUGGGCUGCUUAGAGAUCACGAGGGUUGAUCUCAGAAAUCGAAGAGGCGUUUGCUUUCUCAAAAGUUGGGCUGCUCAAAGACCACGAAGGUCGAUCUCAGAAAUCGAAGAGGCGCUCGCUUUCUCAAAAGCUGGGCUCCCCAGAGACCACGAGGGCCGAUCUCAGAAAUCGAAGAGGCACCUACUUUUCCAGCCUUUUCCAGCCUUGUCAGCACCUGUCACACGCACACUCAGCUUUGCGGAAAUUAUGGGCAUUCUGUCAAAGACUUCUGGGGAAGUAGAAAACACAUGAAUCUUACUGUUCAAUCACCCACUUCCCACACGCAACAAUAGCUCAUGGGUACCACAGAUAACUUUGCCAAAGUUCUCUGCCAAAGUUGAGCACGUGAAGCUUGCAGCUCCCACUACAUCGCUCUGACCAAGAAGGGUAAAAGAAUAGCAAAGAAACAGAACUAACAAAGUUUAGACCCAUAAAUUUUGAAGGUCUAGCUACCAUAUUAUUACCCACAAGGGUAAAGGAACAGUACCACUGCUGGAUAAUUGGAAAGUCCCUGUGUGUCAACCUCUGUGCUUCGUGGCAAGGUAGACUAGCAAACAUGCCCAACCUUUACUCACAUUCGAGAAAACACUCCCAAUAAGAUUGCUUGCUCCAAAAUCGAAGAGGCACCGCCCUCCGAAUCUCGAGAGCCAGACUCCCAACAUGAUCACUUUCUCAAAAAUCGAAGAGACACUGCUCCCCGAAUCUCGAGAGCCAGACCCCCAGCAUGAUUGCUUUCUCAAAAAUCGAUGAGGCAUCGUUCUCCGAAUCAAUCGAUGAGGCAUCGUUCUCCGAAUCAAUCGAAGAGGCGCUCGCUUUCUCAAAAGAUGUGUUGCUCAGAGACCACGAGGGCCGAUCUCAGAAAUCGAAGAGGCACCUACUUUUCUAGCCUUGUUAGCACCUGUCACACGCACACUCAGCUUUGCAGAAAUUAUGGGCAUUCUGUCGAAGACUUCUGGUGAAGUAGAAAGCACAUGAAUCUUACUGUUUAAUCACCCACUUCCCACACGCAACAAUAGCUCAUGGGUACCACAAAUAACUUUGCCAAAGUUCUCUGCCAAAGUUGAGCACGUGAAGCUUGCAGCUCCCACUACAUCGCUCUGACCAAGAAAGGUAAAAGAAUAGCAAAGAAACAGCACUAACAAAAGUUUAGACACAUAAAUUUUGAAGGUCUAGCUACCAUAUUAUUACCCACAAGGGUAAAGGAACAGUACCACUGCUGGAUAAUUGGAAAGUCCCUGUGUGUCAACCUCUGUGCUUCGUGGCAAGGUAGACUAGCAAACAUGCCCAACCUUUACUCACAUUCGAGAAAACACUCCCAACAAGAUUGCUUGCUCCAAAAUCGAAGAGGCACCGUCCUCCGAAUCUCGAGAGCCAGACUCCCAACAUGACUACUUUCUCAAAAUCGAAGAGAGGGUAAAGGAACAGUACCAUUGCUGGAUAAUUGGAAAGUCCCUGUGUGUCAACCUUUGUGCUUCGUGGCAAGGUAGACUAGCAAACAUGCCCAACCUUUACUCACAUUCGAGACAACACUCCCAACAAGAUUGCUUGCUCCAAAAUCGAAGAGGCACCGCCCUCCGAAUCUCGAGAGCCAGACUCCCAACAUGAUUACUCCCUCAAAAAUCGAAGAGACACUGCUCUCCGAAUCUCGAGAGUCAGACCCCCAGCAUGAUUGCUUUCUCAAAAAUCGAAGAGGCAUCGUUCUCCAAAUCUCGAGAGCCAGAUACCACAGACCACUUUUUCAAAGUGCUCUGACAGAGUUAAAACAUGUGAAACUAGCAGCUCCCACUACCGUGCUAUGACCAAGCAGGGUAAAGGAAUAGCAUUACUACUUGUUGUUAGGGAGACUCCUAUAUAUGUCGACCUCCAUCCCCAACGGACAGGCAGACUUGCAAAAAUGCUCAACCCUUCAUCAUAUCUGAGAGGGCACUCCCAACGAAGCCUUUCGAAAUAUUCAGCUUUCUUUCCCCCCGAUAAUACCUCUGCAAACAAGCUAUACUAGAGCAAGAAUAUCUCAUAUCAUCAGGGUUAAAAGCAAGAGUAUCCCAUAUCAUGCUUUUUCCCUGUCUUUUCUUUUGGCCUUGUUUUUACCUGCAAGACAAGGAGAAAGAGAGCAAUCAGUCAGCACUUGGAAUCAAGCUUCCAGCCAGGAACUGACUGCCUGGAACCCCUGACCUGAUUACUUACCUGGCAUUGCUCUCGAGUACUCAUCUUCAACAUCUUAUGUUUCCAGGGAAGAUUCCGCAUCUGCUUGAGGAACAGAUAGGGCAAGUGCGAAGGAUACAAGGAAGCAUGUGGAGACAAGCGUAACAGCACACGUGCCGAUACAUCCAUUACUCUGUCAAAAGCAAAAGUAUCCCAUAUCAGCAGGGUGGAACGUACUCUAGAUUUGAUGGACUUGUUUUGACCCUCAAAUUCUUCAGUCGGCCUUAUACUCUGGAGGAAACCAGAAAACCCUCCAGCUCAGUUCAAGAAUAAGCCUGUGGAAAGUUACUUCUUCAAAAGCAAAAGUAUCUCAUAUCAUCUCUUCUCAUUUUUCUUCUCUUUAUCCUUCAUGCUGCUGCAAGAUGGGGAGAAGGUGAACAAUCAGUCGGAGCUCUGAUUGCUUACCUUGUCUGUCACCUCUUUCAGCAGACCCCCUAGCUCGGCGACUUGGGGGACUCCUACUACAUGGUUUGUAUCGCGCUUGACCAAGCCUGAAACUACAAGUAAGCUUCAAGUGAAAUUGAUACAUUACCUUGUGCAUCUCCACCAGUUAAAGACACCACCCCUGGAUGGAGGAAGAGUACUUCCAGAGAAGAUGCCACAUCUACCUAUGAGACAGAUAAGGCAAGUCAAGACGACACCACACUCCGAUACUUAGAAGUUUCGUGAUUACGAGAUCAUUCUCCCACAAUAUUUCCUAAUGUCAUUUGUACUAAAUCAUUCACUUGUACUCACUAAAGGAGAGCUUGAAACUAUGUACUUGUGUAAACCCUUCACAAUUAAUGAGAACUCUUCUAUUCCGUGGACGUAGCCAAUCUGGGUGAACCACGUACAUCUUGUGUUUGCUUUCCUAUCUCUAUCCAUUUAUAUACUUAUCCACACUAAUGACCGGAGCAAUCUAGCAAAGAUCACAAAAAGCGACCGUUUUCGUUACCUAGGAUCUAUCUUGCAAGAGAACGGAGAAUUAGAUGGAGAUCUCAACCAUAGAAUACGAGCUGGAUGGAAAGAGUGCAUCCGGUGUGUUGUGUGACCGUCGUAGGCCACUGAAGCUCAAGGGAAAAUUUUAUAGGACGGCAAUAAGGCCAGCGAUGUUGUAUGGCACAGAAUGUUGGGUGGUGAAGCAUCAACACGUACACAAAAUGGGUGUAGCGGAGAUGAGGAUGCUUCGUGGGAUGUGUGGGCACACGAGAAAGGAUAAGAUUGGGAAUGAGGAUAUCCGAGGUAAAGUAGGAGUAGCCGAAAUUGUAGGAAAGAUGAGAGAAAAUCGGCUCCAGUGAUUUGGACAUGUGCAAAGAAGGCCGACUGACGCUCCGGUUCGAAGAUGUGACUACGGGGCAGAGGUUCAGGGCCGAAGGGGUAGAGGAAGACCUAGGAAAACUUUGGAAGAGACUCUAAGAAAAGACUUAGAGUACUUGGAUCUAACGGAGGACAUUACACAAAACCGAGCGCAAUGGCGUUCUAAGAUUCAUAUAGCCGACCCCACUUAGUGGGAAAAGGCUUUGUUGUUGUUGUUGUUGUUGUUGUUGUUGCACUUGUUGCUAAAGUAUUUUUACCGUAGAAAUAUCAUAACUUGAAAGUGUUCUUUUUCUUGAUCAAGGUUAGCUGGAUAUUGUUAAUUACCUACCUAUAUGUAUCGAACAAAUCCACGAUUUUGGUCACGGCUAACAUCCUUAAAUUUAAAUGGCUAAACGUUAACCAAUUUGGCCAUAUAUAUGCUCAAGAACAUGAACAAUUCAGAUUAUGACAUUUGUGCGGUUAAAGUAUGUUAAUUGCAACUUGCAAGCAAGUGAACAUGCAUUCCUUUGACUAUUUUGGGCUUGUUAUAAAACUCAGGUUUGAUAAUUCUAUAACUUCACAGGGAUGAUGCCAAUUUGAAGCUUUGACUCUUUUGUGAUGAAAUCGCUUGUCAAUUUGAAGCUUGCUGCUUUCUCUAAAAUGUCAAGGAAGGCUUCUCGGAUAAUGGUGAUGUACAUCUCUUCAGAUAACCACUCCUUUGCUAGGCAGCGUUUGGAAUGGCCGAGAGCGGACCUUUUUGGGAGCGAUGACCCCAACAGUUUGGAAGAUAUGUUGAGAAAAGGUUUUAGCACCGGUAUAUCCAUGCAGGAACUGCUUCUUUCUAGAAUCUUGAAGGGAAAAUGCGGAGUUUUCAUUGAUCUUGAUGAUGUUGAAAAAUUAUCCCAAAUUGAGGCCUAACUUGGAAAGCAGCAUUCAUUUGGUGGUGGAAAUCAGGUCAUUGUUGUUGAAUUUGUGGCCGAAUUACAUUGGGCCUUUGCGUUUGAUAAGCCCAGUGGCCCAAAAUUAGUCAGGUGUUUAAUGGCCCAUGUGAAAGCCCACAAUUGGGGCAUGUGAUUAACUUUGUGCUUUGUAUAGAGAGGAAAUUAAUAAUUGUAUUUCCUUCUCUAUUUGUUUCUUUGGUGUGUGAGAGUUAUUGGGUGUAUUGGGGUUUUGGAAUGUGAGAUUGCUGAACAUUUUGUAACACUUCCAUUUCCAUUUGGUUGAUAGUGGAUUAUUGGUGAGCUCCUAUAGCUCCGAGGACGUACUCCAGUUACACUGACUGUUGAGGAACCUCGUUAAAUCCUGGUGUCUUUUCAAUUUUAUUCUUGCAUUUUAUUUGGUAUAAUUCCUACGAGUUAGCUUGAGUUGGUUUCCAAUUGGUUUGAUCUAUUCUUGCACAACAGUUAUAACAACUAGAAAUAUGCAAUUACUAAGUGGAGUUGAUGCUAUAAUUGUAUAUAAGCCCAAGAACUUAAGUGAGUCAGAAGCUCUUGAACUCUUCAAGCAGUAUGCCUUCAGAACAAACCAACCCACAAGAGAUUAUGAUUGCCUAUCGAGGCUUGCCAUACAACAUGCUCAUGGCGUGCCUUUAGCACUAAAAAUCUUGGGAGCAUUGCAUGUUUCUUCAAAGGGAUGGAGAAAGAAUAUGUCACUAAAAUUCUUGAUAGCUGAGGCUUUUAUCCCCAUAGUGGAUUAGGAGUUCUAGUUAACAGAAUUCUCAUCAAUAUCUCAGAUUACGAUAUGUUUGAGAUGCAUGAUUUACUGCAAAAAAUGGGGUUGGAAACAGUCCGCCAAGAAUUUAAUAGAGUCUGGAAGACGAAGUAGGUUAUGGAUUUAUGAAGAUGUUCAUUGUACAUUAACUCAAAAUACGGUGAGAUAUAUUCAUUACCUCUUUGUAUGCAAUAUUGAGUAUAGAAAGCUGAAAUAUGAUUGCACAGCUUUGGAAACAGUUUCAACACCAAAGCCUCAUAAUAUGAAUCCUUACUUCACAUUUGCUACAUUCCUACAGCUGGUACAAACAAUUCAGGGAUAUUGUGGAAACUUUCUCAUCAUCAGGUCUCCGUCUCUCUCUUAUGUACACAAGUAGAACACAAAUUAAGUAAGCCGUUGUUUGUAUUGUUGCAGCAGGGUAAUCAGCUCCAGCUUCUUUCCUUAAAUUUGUCUCUUCCAGGAAGUGAAAUUCAUAACAAGGUAUUGGGGUUCGCUAUAUGCGCUGUUAGUAAAUUCAGGGGUGCUCAUUAUUGUGCAUCUUAUCUCUGUUCGAUGUUUUUGCACCUUCAAAGGAGAUCGUGGUGAUUUCAAUUACAAUUUCUAUAUGGUCGAUAGGGGAUCCAGAGUCAGAUUCCUUGAAUUUUUUUUUAUUUCACAAGCAAUUUGUGAAGUUCUAGUAGUUUUGUAGCUAAAAUCAUAUACAUCAAAGAUUUCGGAGUAGUACCGUUACUACCGCAACAUCAAAUUAGAAGCCAAACAACUAUUAAUCUCUUGUUUUCUGCCGACAAUGCUAUUGGAUAUGGUACAUAUGUAAGAUACUUACACUUAACCGGCAAUAUUUAUGUUCACCCUAACUCACUCUUCAUGUAAAUACGGAGAUCGGGAUAUAUUUCCAGUUUACAAAGAAGUUGUUGGGUAGGCAAGUGUAGAUUCAACAUAGUACUUUGACCCUUCCUUCGCAUUUUCUUAGGUCAAAACCAAAGUACGCAAAUUUCUUUUACACUGAAAUUUCUUGAAGGAAGAUGCAAAAAUACAUAAAUAAAUUUUCCUUUUUGGCGUGAAUUGAUUCCAUAUGUGUUUUAUUAAUGUUUUUGAAUAAACAAAUUUUCAAUGUAAAGUAAUGCAUUUUUCGUGUGCUAAUCAAUCAUCUGAUGAAAUAUAUAUCAGAUAUCAAGUUGUUAUCAAAUUGCAUAUUAAAUGGCAUGACAUGGUUUGUGCAUUAGAGUUGUCAGGAUUUCCAUCUUGCCUGCAGGUGUUGGAAAUCACUAUGAAAGUACCUGGUAUGGUGCAUAGAUCAGUGUCAAAAACAUAUUAAUUCAUCUUGCUCACAAGUGUUGAAUUAAUUUAUUUUAUGAAGUUUUGGGAUAUUUUACUUGGACAUGUGCCUAUUUGGUAUUUUCAGUUGUGUCUGUUGGUUACAAACAUUGUUUGUAUUGUUAUUGGUCUAAUGAAAGUGAUGUAUGAUUGUUUUGGAGAUGUAUUCACACCUACAGGUUAUGGUGAUUUCAUUAGAUGAAGGAUAUCUGCAUUGGCAGAUUUAAGGCUUCAAAGAAGCAUAAAGUGUAACUUGUGAGUUACAAUAAGGUGAACCUGAGAUGAUAUAAAGUAAGACAUUCUGAUUAAUUUAAAGUUUAAUUUAAAGUUUAAUCUCUUGAUCAUAAUUUGUAUUUCAUGUGAAUAUGAGGAUCUUAGCAUGUGUGAUUAUGAAGGUUCUAGGUUGUGUCAACUCUACAACUUUAUUAGUUCCACGUUAAGAAAUGCAUUUGACAGAAGCUGCAUUAAGGACGAGAUUUAAUCACUGUUACAUGGCCACUAAAGUGACAUUAGUCUCCAAUCUCAAGUAUAAACAUGAAUAUUACAUUUUGUAGACCAAGUGGGAGAAUGUUGGAUUUAUCCAAUAUAAAUCAACCUUUAAGUGGUUUACUACAUGUAAUAGGAAUGUAAUAUUGGAGAAUAAUGUUAAUUGUGAUUUGAUCUCUUAAAGAUAUCAAUCCUAUAUAAGGUGUCUUAUAUUGGAAAUAGGAUUGAUGGAAUCUUUAAUUGAAUAUGAUUAUGAUACUUGACUUGGAGGCUAAUAAAAUAAGUUUAGGUUUCCUUUAUGGAUGGAAACCCUAGCUUUUAGCUUAUAUAAAAACACCGGUCUCUAUAAGCUCUAGAACACACAACAUAAUGCUUCCCAUAGAGUAGUUGUAUUCGGCUAGGAGUUUAUAGAAGAUCUUGAUGUUGCCAUGCUUUGCUACUUUUGUGUUCAACUUCCAUGGCCGCCGUUGGAAUCAGGUCAGUCAAUCCUUCAUUUGUGUUUUAAUUAUAUAACCUUAUAAGUUUGCCGUAUGGGUGGUUUAGGCAAAACAACCAUUGCUAUAGCUGUUUAUGAUGAAAUCGCUUGUCGUUUUGAAGCUUGUUGCUUUCUUGAAAAUAUCAAGGAAGGUUUCAUGAAGCAAGGCAAACUACAUAUGCAGGCAGAACUUCUAUCUAGUAUCUCGAACAACAAGGAGGGGAGUUCCGACAUUUCGAAGAAAGGUUUCCAGGUGAUAUUAAGUAGCCUAGGUCAGAGAAAAGUUCUUAUUGUUAUGGAUGAUGUGGACGCAUUAGAACAAAUUGAAGCUUUACUUGGAGGGCAACGGUUCUUUGGUGGUGGAAGUAGAAUCAUUAUAACAACUAGAGAUUCGCAAUUACUAAGCUUAGUUGAUGCUAUUAUACAUAUAAACCCAAGAUUUUGAGUGAGCCACGAGCUCUGGAACUCUUUAGGCGGUACGGCUUCAGAAAAAACCAACCCAUAAGAGAUUAUUAUAUUCUCUCGAGUCGUGCAAUAAAAUAUGCUGAAGCUCUGCCUUUAGCACUCAAAGUCAUAACAAAACUGUACGUGAGUGGGCAGAUGCAUUAGAGAAAUUAAAAGAUACCCCGCAAAGCGGGAUUAAUGAAGUGAUAAGAACAAGCUUUGAUGGACUAGAUCAUAAAGAGAAGAAGAUCUUUCUAGAUAUUGCAUGUUUCUUUAAAGGAAUAAAAAAAGACUAUGCAACAGAAAUUCUGGAUACAAUCCUCAUGCUGGGAUAAGAGUUCUAAGGGAUCGAGCACUCAUAACUGUCUCAUGGGAGGGGGAACUUGAGAUGCAUGAUUUACUAGCGGAAAUGGGUUGGGAAAUAGUUCGCCAAGAAUCUAUCGAAGAGCGUGGGAGACGAAGUAGGUUGUGGAGUUAUGAAGAUGUCCAUCAUGUGUUAACUCAAAAUAAGGUGAGAAAUCAUUUUCUUAUGCAAUGCUUAGUAGAGAACUUCAACUUUUGACCAAAAUCUAUUUCUUAGGGCUAUUUGAUAAACAUUUUUGUUUUCAAUGUUUAUUUUUCAUUUUUUUUAAUAAGGGGGUUUUUAACUUUAAUCAUUCAAGAAGAUUGAAAUUUAAAAUAAACCUGGUGCUAGAUUACAUAUUGAUUAUAAUCCAUUGAUGUGUCCUCAAUUCAAAAUAAUUAACGUGCAUUUUAUUUAAUGUAUAUAAAUUUAUUAAUAUACAAAUAUUCAUUUAUUUUUUGACCAAAAAAGAGUUUUUUAAUUUUUAAUUUAUUAAUUUUAUUUAACAUUCUUCGACUCAAUUAAUGUACCGAAAUGUAUUAUAUUGAACUAAUGUUAGUACCGAAAUGUAUUAUAUUAAAUUAAUGUACCUAAAUAUGUGUACCGAAAUGUAUGCAUCAAAAUGUAUUAUAUUGAAUUAAUGUACCUAAAUGUUUGUAUCGAAAUGUAUGUACCUAAAUGUAUGCAUCGAAAUCUAUUAUAAUGAAUUUAAUGUACCUAAAUGAAGAAAACAAAAUACAUCGAAAUAUAUUGUAGAACAAAAAUUAGUUUCUCUAAAUGUUUACAACAAAAUAUAUUACGAUAAAUAAAAUGAAAAUGAAAUAAAAUUAAUAAAUUAAAAAUUAGGAAGAAAAAAUGAAAUAAUUAAAAAAUCAAAAUAUAAUUAAUAAAUGAGAUUAUUAAUGUAUCAAGGGACUAAAAUUAGAUUUUGAUCUUACUCAUGAUUUUAAUCUAAAGGUUAUCUUUGCCAAGGAUUAAAAUGAAGUUUUCUAUUUUAAUAAUUGAAAAUUGAAAACAAUUACCAAACAAGUUGUGUGUUUUCAAUUUUUAGAUUUCUAAAAAAGAUAAUCAAAACAAAGUUGAAAACUGAAAACGAAAUGAUUAUUGAAUGGCUCCUUAAGAAACAAGCAUUAACUUCAUAAUCCAAACUAAGGCUCUCUGUUUUUACCUUCAUUUUUAUCUGCACAGGCUACAGAAGCAGUAGAAAGCAUAAUCCUGAAUUUGUGGAACUCAGAUGAGGUAUGCUUAAAUGCUGAAGGUUCUGUUAUUAUGACUCAACUAAGACUUCUCAAGAUCACACAAAAUCGUUACUGCAAACAACACCUGAUUGGGCACUUAAAGUUUCUUUCUCGUGAGUUGAGGUGUCUCAGCUGGAUAGGUUCCCCUAGGCCUGGCAAUUCCUGACACGACCCGAUAACCCGACACGACACGACACGAAAUUAACAGGUGUUCGGGUCGACACGAUAACGAAACGGGUCGUUAUCGGGUAACCCGAUAAGCACCUGUUAAGAUAACGGGUUUGUUCGGGUAUACACGUGGGUAACACGAUACACGAUAAACAGAAUAUUAAUUUAAUAAUUUAUAACCCUAAAAAAAUACUAUAAUAAUUAUAUAUAUAUUAAUUUAACAAUUUUAUACCCCUAAAAACUAUAAUAAUUAUAUAUAUAUAUAUUAAAUUAACUAUAAUAAUUAUAAUAUAUAUAUACUACAAUAAUUAUACCCAAAAUAUUAACUAUAAUAAUUAUAUAUAUAUGUAUAUAUAUAUAUUAAAUUUUAUACCCCUAAAAACUAUAAUAAUUAUACAUACAAAAUAAAUAGAUUUAAAUCUACUUAAUAAAUAAAUAUAUAUAUACACACACACACCAUUGAACUUCAUGGGAUACGAAUUAUACGAAACUAAUUUCAACGAUCCAACCGUCAAACAUGUUUGUAUAUACUUCGAGAUCGCAUACGCCAAAAGUUGAAAAAAACAAACAUUCAGAGAGCAAGUAACGGGACAAAACUUUUCGACGGUUAUAAACGAAAAAUCACGAUUUAACGGUCAUUUUAACUCUGAUUUUGAUGAUUUUUUACAACCACACUCCUUGACCCUAUAUGAAUACAAUGAUUGAAUUCGAUCUUCAAUUUAAAAUAUUUUGGAUACACAAAAUUUUAUACUUAAUAAAAGUAUGAAUAAACUCUUAAGUAUUAGUGAAUCUAUUGUUUUGAUGGGAUACUCAUUCUACAAAACUAGUUUCAAUGAUCCAACCGUCAAACAUGUUUGUAUAUACUUCGAGAUCGCAUACGCCAAAAAUUGCAAAAAAACAAACAUUCAGAGAUCAAGUAACGGGACAAAACUUUUCGACGGUUAUAAACGAAAAAUCACGAUUUAACGGUUAUUUUAACUCCGAUUUUGAUGAUUUUUUACAACUACACUCCUUGACCCUAUAUGAAUACAAGUAAUGAAUUCGAUCUUCAAUUUAAAAUAUUUACACUAGUGGAUACCACAAAAAUCUUAUGUUAUACUUAAUAAAAGUAUGAAUAAACUAUUAAGUAUUAGUGAAUCUAUUGUUUUGAUGGGAUACUCAUUCUACGAAACUAGUUUCAAAGAUCCAACCGUCAAACAUGUUUGUAUAUACUUCGAGAUCGCAUACGUCAAAAAUUACAAAAAAAACAAACAUUCAGAGAUCAAUUAACGGGACAAAACUUUUCGACGGUUAUAAAAAGAAAAAUCACGAUUUAACGGUCAUUUUAACUCUGAUUUUGAUGAUUUUUUGCAGCUACACUCCUUGACCUUAUAUGAAUACAAUGAUUGAAUUCGAUCUUCAAUUUAAAAUAUUUACACUAGUGGAUACCACAAAAUCUUAUAUUAUACUUAAUAAAAGUAUGAAUAAACUAUUAAGUAUUAGUGAAUCUAUUGUUUUGAUGGGAUACUCAUUCUACGAAACUAGUUUCAAUGAUCCAACCGUCAAACAUGUUUAUAUAUACUUCGAGAUCGCAUACGCCAAAAAUUGCAAAAAAAAAACAUUCAGAGAUCAAGUAACGGGACAAAACAUUUCGACGGUUAUAAACGAAAAAUCACGAUUUAACGGUCAUUUUAACUCCGAUUUUGAUGAUUUUUUACAACUACACUCCUUGACCCUAUAUGAAUACAAUGAUUGAAUUCGAUCUUCAAUUUAAAAUAUUUACACUAGUGGAUACCACAAAAUCUUAUGUUAUACUUAAUAAAAGUAUGAAUAAACUCUUAAGUAUUAGUGAAUCUAUUGUUUUGAUGGGAUACUCAUUCUACGAAACUAGUUUCAAUGAUCCAACCGUCAAACAUGUUUUUAUAUAUUUCGAGAUCGCAUACGCCAAAAAUUGCAAAAAACAAACAUUCAGAGAGCAAGUAACGGGACAAAACUUUUCGACGGUUAUAAACGAAAAAUCACGAUUUAACGGUUAAUUUAACUCCGAUUUUGAUGAUUUUUUUACAACUACACUCCUUGACCUUAUAUGAAUACAAUGAUUGAAUUCGAUCUUCAAUUUAAAAUAUUUACACUAGUGGAUACCACAAAAUCUUAUGUUUAUACUUAAUAAAAGUAUGAAUAAACUCUUAAGUAUUAGUGAAUCUAUUGUUUUGAUGGGAUACUCAUUCUACGAAACUAGUUUCAAUGAUCCAACCGUCAAACAUGUUUGUAUAUAUUUCGAGAUCGCAUACGCCAAAAAUUGCAAAAAAAAAACAUUCAGAGAGCAAGUAACGGGACAAAACUUUUCGACGGUUAUAAACGAAAAAUCACGAUUUAACGGUUAAUUUUAACUCCGAUUUUGAUGAUUUUUUACAACUACACUCCUUGACCUUAUAUGAAUACAAUGAUUGAAUUCGAUCUUCAAUUUAAAAUAUUUACACUAGUGGAUACCACAAAAUCUUAUGUUAUACUUAAUAAAAGUAUGAAUAAACUAUUAAGUAUUAGUGAAUCUAUUGUUUUGAUGGGAUACUCAUUCUACGAAACUAGUUUCAAAGAUCCAACCGUCAAACAUGUUUUGUAUAUACUUCGAGAUCGCAUACGUCAAAAAUUACAAAAAACAAACAUUCAGAGAUCAAUUAACGGGACAAAACUUUUCGACGGUUAUAAAAAGAAAAAUCACGAUUUAACGGUCAUUUUAACUCCUGAUUUUGAUGAUUUUUUUGCAAGCUACACUCCUUGACCUUAUAUGAAUACAAUGAUUGAAUUCGAUCUUCAAUUUAAAAUAUUUACACUAGUGGAUACCACAAAAUCUUAUAUUAUACUUAAUAAAAGUAUGAAUAAACUAUUAAGUAUUAGUGAAUCUAUUGUUUUGAUGGGAUACUCAUUCUACGAAACUAGUUUCAAAAGAUCCAACCGUCAAACAUGUUUGUAUAUACUUCGAGAUCGCAUACGUCAAAAAUUACAAAAAACAAACAUUCAGAGAUCAAGUAACGGGACAAAACUUUUCGACGGUUAUAAACGAAAAAUCACGAUUUAACGGUCAUUUUAACUCCGAUUUUGAUGUUUUUUUACAACCACACUCCUUGACCCCUAUAUGAAUACAAUGAUUGAAUUCGAUCUUCAAUUUAAAAUAUUUACACUAGUGGAUACCACAAAAUCUUAUAUUAUACUUAAUAAAAGUAUGAAUAAACUAUUAAGUAUUAGUGAAUCUAUUGUUUUGAUGGGAUACUCAUUCUACGAAACUAGUUUCAAUGAUCCAACCGUCAAACAUGUUUUGUAUAUACUUCGAGAUCGCAUACGCCAAAAAUUGCAAAAAAACAAACAUUCAGAGAUCAAGUAACGGGACAAAACUUUUCGACGGUUAUAAACAAAAAAUCACGAUUUAACGGUCAUUUUAACUCCGAUUUUGAUGAUUUUUUACAACUACACUCCUUGACCCUAUAUGAAUACAAUGAUUGAAUUCGAUCUUCAAUUUAAAAUAUUUACACUAGUGGAUACCACAAAAUCUUAUGUUAUACUUAAUAAAAGUAUGAAUAAACUAUUAAGUAUUAGUGAAUCUAUUGUUUUGAUGGGAUACUCAUUCUACGAAACUAGUUUCAAAGAUCCAACCGUCAAACAUGUUUGUAUAUACUUCAAGAUCGCAUACGUCAAAAAUUACAAAAAAAAAACAUUCAGAGAUCAAGUAACGGGACAAAACUUUUCGACGGUUAUAAACGAAAAAUCACGAUUUAACGGUCAUUUUAACUCCGAUUUUGAUGUUUUUUUACAACCACACUCCUUGACCCUAUAUGAAUACAAUGAUUGAAUUCGAUCUUCAAUUUAAAAUAUUUACACUAGUGGAUACCACAAAAUCUUAUAUUAUACUUAAUAAAAGUAUGAAUAAACUAUUAAGUAUUAGUGAAUCUAUUGUUUUGAUGGGAUACUCAUUCUACGAAACUAGUUUCAAUGAUCCAACCGUCAAACAUGUUUAUAUAUACUUCGAGAUUGCAUACGCCAAAAAUUGCAAAAAACAAACAUUCAGAGAUCAAGUAACGGGACAAAACUUUUCGACGGUUAUAAACGAAAAAUCACGAUUUAACGGUCAUUUUAACUCCGAUUUUGAUGAUUUUUUACAACUACACUCCUUGACCCUAUAUGAAUACAAUGAUUGAAUUCGAUCUUCAAUUUAAAAUAUUUACACUAGUGGAAACCACAAAAUCUUAUGUUAUACUUAAUAAAAGUAUGAAUAAACUCUUAAGUAUUAGUGAAUCUAUUGUUUUGAUGGGAUACUCAUUCUACGAAACUAGUUUCAAUGAUCCAACCGUCAAACAUGUUUGUAUAUAUUUCGAGAUCGCAUACGCCAAAAAUUGCAAAAAAACAAACAUUCAGAGAGCACGUAACGGGACAAAACUUUUCGACGGUUAUAAACGAAAAAUCACGAUUUAACGGUUAAUUUAACUCCGAUUUUGAUGAUUUUUUUACAACUACACUCCUUGACCUUAUAUGAAUACAAUGAUUGAAUUCGAUCUUCAAUUUAAAAUAUUUACACUAGUGGAUACCACAAAAUCUUAUGUUUAUACUUAAUAAAAGUAUGGUAUAGUACUAUUGUUUUAUUUUUUUUCAUAAUUAUUUUGGUAAACUUCUCAUAAUUUGAAUGAUUUUUAAUGUUUGGUUUUUCUAUGCUUAGUUUAUGCAGAAGAUAGUUAUGACGUGGAAAACCUUACUGAAAACAUCAUCAACAUAACUCUUGAAGGCAAUAGAUCAAGCCAAAGUUCCAAUGCAAUUUCAUGAUGAUCGAUGUAAAUCGAGGAUUUUGUAAAUUGAGGUUUAAACUUUUGAGAAAGAUUUUACAACCUUGAAAACAAAAACUGUUUCAUUUUGCAUAUCCUUGCACAUUUAAAAUUUGUAAUAGAUUAGUAGUGUAUGUAUUAUUUUUUUAUUAGGCUCUUAUUUUCGAGUGUAAAUGUAGUACUUAAACGAUAAAUGUGUUUUAAUGUUAUUGGAUAUAGCCCAUACAUGCAAUGUUUAUACUUAACCGGAAAUAUUUUCGUUGACCCUAACUCUCUCUUCACGUGAAAUAAGGAGAUCGGGAUAUAUUUCCGAUUUACAAAAAAGUUGUUGGGUAGACAAGUGUUUAUGCAGAUUCCUUUCACACUGAAAUUUCUUCCAGACCUGAAAACACAUAAAGCAUAAUUCUCUUUUCCCUACUGCCGUAGCCCAUUCCAUUAUUCCACUAUCUCAAAUCUGAACUCUUUGACCGAGACAGUUCUCUUUUUGAAGGAGAUGUGGAAACAUAUAAAGUAGAUCAAUAAAAGCAUGGAAUAUUUGAAGGAAAGUUAAGAAUACUAAAUUUAUAGUUAAAAUUUAGAAAAUUUUAAUGAAAAGUUUCCGGUAUUAUUUAAUUUAACGAAAAAUCAUAUUUUUACACUAAAAAGUCAAUUAUGAUACUAUUUAUUUUAUCUUUUAUUUUGUCCUUAUCAUUAAAACUCAAAGUUUUCAAACAUUUUUCAUUAAUUUUCCUUGAAAUUUAUACAUUAAAUGAUGUAUUAUCAAUGAGUAUGCUCUUCAAAAAAUAAUAAUCUAAUAUUCAAUUUUCAUGUUAUUUAAUUUACAAAAUUUUAUUUAUAAAUUAAAUCUUUCUAAUAUUACUCUCCGCUCACCUAUGCCUCUUCUUUGAAAAACUCAAUAUUGAAUAUGGGUCCCUUCAUUAACACAACAAAAAUUUAACUCAAAGAUUUUCUCUCCCUCCGCCUUCUCUUACUCCCCAAACCCAUGAAUUCCCGUAUUUUCAUAAAGAUAAAGAUAGUACAAAGAUUUAUGAGAAUAUGGGAGAAGGUUUGGCAAUUAAAAGUUACAACAAUAAAAUUAUUAACAUAAAAAAAAAUCUAAAAGGAAGGAACAAUCAAUGCUAAAUCUAAAUGUGUUUGCUUCUCGAAUUCCACAUCAACAACACUCGUCAUCUCAUGCCAGCAGAAGCUGAUGGAGUAGACAUAGAAAAACUAAAAUUUGGGGGGAGGGGAGAGAGAGAAAAAUGUAGAGGGAGAUUUAGAUCUUUGGGAAUUUUUUUUUUUUUUGGGCUACAGAUUCAAACUUCAUAUUUUUAUAUCUGAUUACACAAUUCAGAUUUGGGGUUUAGAGAAUUUUUUCAUGAUUUUUUUACAACUUUGCAGCCAUGUUUACCAAUUUCAUGGUCGGAGAGAGGAGUGAAACGACUGAAAUUUGGGAAGCACUGCUGCAGGUUUCCAUCAGGCAGAGGGAAGACGAAGUGGGAGAGAAAGAGAGAAAAUAUCAAGUUUAAUUGUAAUUUUAAGUUAUUUUAUUGUGUUAGUGGCGGAAUCCAUCUGCAGUAUUGAUUUUUCAGAGUAGAGGCAUACUUGGGUGGAAAGUCCGCUCCCGUAGCAUUUCCCAUAUUUGAAUAUGUUUUAUUCUGUUAUUUAUGCGGUCCAAAGGAAUCAUGUUUUACAUAUUCCCCAUCUUGUUAUUAAAUUGCUUCUUCAUGUGUCACAUUCCUUGGAAUUGAAUUUCGAUGCACUAUAAAUAAAGAGAAAAAAAAUUUGUUUAAUAGGGGCUGGCUUUACCAUUGAAAAUGACUAUAAAGUAUGAAUUAAAGAACACGUCUUUACCAAAACUAUUCCUUUUUUCAUAUUUCUUAUUUAAUAGUUGUCCCGCUUUUAGUCUAGUGGUAGUUAUUUUCAUCCUCGACUUUAGAAGAGAAUCCAAGUUGGAACGUGGCAUCUCUAUUUGUUAUAAAGAAAUAGAUGUGUGUUUUUCUUUUCUUUUUUUAAUCUAUGAAGCAAAUGUGUGGUUGUUGCCAUGUUACUUCUCAUAUGCUUCCACAUUUCAACAUAAAAUAAUGCAUUAUUGAUAGUUGAAUAGUCAUUGUUAUAAUCUAUUGGAUAAUCUUUGUCAUUUAUGUUCGUUUCUUUCCUCUUUUCCUCUCUCUUUCACUACACAUUCCUAGGCGGCGGUAUGUCGUUUCUCAAGUCCAUAUGCCAACAUUAUUAUAUUAUAAACUUCUGUUUUUGUGGACUGAAGGAGCUUGACUUGGGAUUAGGUAUUUCAGUAUCAUCCAUUUGGCAACACAACCACUGCCAUUUUUUCAUACAUAUAUAAUCUCUAUACACACUUUUUGUUAUACUGAGUGUAUCUUAUAUUGAAGUCACCAUUUACGGUGGGGAUAUUGAUAUCAUAGACAAGAACCACUAGGACUUGAGUUGACGGAAGCAGUGGCGAAGUUAGGAAUUAUCUUGGAAGGGACGAAAUUUAAAAGAGUAAAUGUUCCAAGAAAUUGUAGACAACAAAAUCCUUUUAGAUAGUAGAGAAUAUUAAUGUCAUUCAUAAUUUAUUAAUACAAACAAGUUGCAAUUGUUGUUGGCGAAAUUUCAUGCCUUGAAAACGUCGCAUAAUAAGCUAAUUAACAAUAAAAGCAAAAACAUCUCUCUCAAUGUAAACAACCAAACCAUCACUUGAUCAUUGAGCUCCCAUUUUGUUAUGCAGUGGUGUUUUGAAAAAUAUUCAUAGCAGAAAACACCAUUUCAACCUAACCAGUUGCAAUUGGUAAUACAAAAGCCAAUGUAAGAAUGUAUAGGGUGAGAAGCCCUAUUGUUGUAGUGUGGCUGCCACCACUGUAUUUUUUUUUUUGGCGUGAAGUAAUAUCAAUGUUUGUUUUUAUUAAUGCUUUGGAAUAAACACAUUUUCUGUAAUAUUUGGUCUCCUUUGCUUGCUGCUGCGAUGUUCAAAUCCGGUUUCAGCCUUAGACCAGUUCCACCGGGGAAUUGAUAGGCCAGCACCCAGCCAAAAAACUAGCCCGGCACCUAGGCUAUCCACUCCAGCCCAGCAUUUUGACUGGCAGCUAGCCCAAGCCAGGCAAGAGAUCGGCCUAAAAUCGACAGACCCACAUGCUGGGCCAUCUGACGUCAACCGGGUCAUCAACUUCCUGCACGAUCAACGCGUCGCAAAGAGAUCUUGGUGUAGAGCUCCUCAAGGCUGAGGUUGAUUCUAGGUUCUUGGUGCAGAGCUCCUCGGGGCUAAGGUUGAUUCCAGGGCGGAGGGAGAUCAAAGACGACAGAAGAAGAAGCUCUGCAACCAUCGCCAAGAAAACCAGAACCGGGUAUGAGGAGGGGGCUUCUCUUCUGCAACAGUGAUGAUGUCCCAUCAAAGAUUCAAUGGCCUUUGUCAAUGGAAGUUGAUGUUUUUGUAGAGAAACAAAGUGGAUGGAAUUUGAAAUUUGAAACCUAAUUGACAUAUAAACAAGGACUUUUGUAUAUUAGGGAAGAAAAAGGAGUCCAGAGAGACCCUUUUGAGAAAAGUGGGAAGAAGAAUUAAAAAUUAAAUUAUUAUUUUAUAAUAAAAAUUAAUAAUAUUUUAAUAAAAUUGACUAGGUUAUUUAGUUUUAGGGAUGGAGAUGCAUUUGGCCUAUUACUGUUUAUUGGGGUCUAUCAUUGUUCAUUGAGUGGAGAAAUGCGCUGGGUGCUGGCGCAUUUGUGUUAGGGGUAGAACUGCUCUUAGAACACGAGCCAAACAACGAUGUGUAGUGGAAAUGUAGAUUAUGCAAAUUCAAUCUAGUCAAUAUUUUUUUAUUUCAUACGCAAUUUGUGAAGUUCUAGUAGUUUUGUAGCCAAAAGCAUAUACAUCAAAGAUUUCAGAGUAAUAUCGUUACUACCACGACAUCAGAUUAGAAGCCAAACAAUUAUUAAUCUCUUACUUGCCGCUCACGAUGUCGUUAGAUAUGACAUAUAUGUGAGAUGCUUACAUUUAAUCGGGAAUAUUUCCGGUUUACUAAGAAGUUGUUGGGUAGGCAAGUGCAGAUUCAAAAUACUACUUUGACCCUUCACAUUUUCUUAAUGGUACAAUGGUCCCUUAACUUUAAUCGAAUUUGAGCAAUGGUCCCUUAACUAAAAAUCCAUUACUAUUGGUCUCUCAACUCAUCAAAAUGUGUAGUUAUGAUUAUUUUCAUCAAUUUUGUUAGAAUUUUGUCAAAAUAAGUUAUGUUGGAAGGACCAUUGCUACAAUUGGGGUCCCUCAACUCAUCAAAACAUAUAGGUAUGGUCAUUUUUGUCAACUUCGUCAGAAUUUUGUUAAAAUGAGUUAUGUUGGAAUGACCAUUGCUACAAUUGGGUUAAAGUUGAGGGACCAUUGAUUAAAUUCGGUUAAAGUUAAUGGACCAUUUAUUCAGUUGGAUUAAAGUUGGGGGAACAAUGAUAAUAUAUUUUUAGUUGAAGGACUAUAACUGCAUGUUUUGAUGAAUUGAUGGACCAAUAAUAAUGAAUUUUUAGUUGAGGAACCAUUGCUUCAAUUAAGUUAAAGUUAAUGGACCAUUGCUACAAUUUACACAUUGCUAAGUUAGUAUUUUUUUAAUUAAAAACUAAAUAAAUAUGUGUCAAGACUCUAUUAAAUAUAUUAAAUCAAAAGGCACAAAGAAAUUACUUUUCAUUUAAAAAUAUUAAAUCAAAGAAAAAGGCUUUUUCUUUUUAUCGUUUUUGGCACCCACUCAUAUGCAGACCCGGCCCAGCAGAAACCUCGCCCAACGUAGAGAGUGUAGAUCACUCAACAUACUACUUUGACCCCUUUUUUGGCAUUUUCUUGGGUAAAAAAAAAUUAAAAAAUGCACACUCCUUUCACACCGAAAUUUCCUUGAAGGUGUAUAAAGCAUAAUUCCCUUUUCCCUUUUGCAUUGACUCAUUGACUUGGUAUCGAUCAGACCAUUUUCUGGUGAUCCAGUUUGUAGAUCUAUUGAGUAUUUCUUUUCUUACAUUCCUCUUAGUCUUAAGCUGCUCGAUCAUCGCUGACCAGGUGUGAUUGAUUAAUGGCUUCUUCCUUCUCCCUCCUCCUCCUCCUCCUCCUCCUUCUUCUUCUUCUUCUUCUUCUUUUUCUUCUUCUUUUCAGAGGGGAAGACACUCGCAGGGGCUUUGUCAGCCAUCUCUACAAAGCUCUGCGUCAGAAACCAAUCAACACCUCUUCUUCUUCUUCGUCGUCUUCUUCUUCUUCUUCUUCUUCUUCUUCUUCUUCUUCUUCUUCUGGCCUUGGUUUGAAAUACGAUGUGUUCAUCAAUUUCAGAGGGGAAGACACUCGCAGGAGCUUCGUCAGCCAUCUUUACAAAGCUCUGCUUCAGAAACCAGUCAACACCUUCAUUGAUUCCGAAGAGCUCAGAAAAGGCGACCGCCUUUCCUCCGAGCUCCUGACAGCGAUUCGAGAGUCACAGCUUUCGAUUGUAGUUUUCUCUCAAAACUAUGCUUCUUCCACUUGGUGCUUGAAAGAACUCGUGGAAAUCCUGGAAUGCAGCGAUAACAAGAACCAAAUUGUGGUCCCCAUUUUCUACGAAGUCGAUCCAUCCGAUAUUCGUAAACUCAAGGGAAGUUUUGCAGAAGCUUUUGCUAAACAUGAACGCCAUUCUAACGUUGACGUGAAGGAGGUGCAGAGCUGGAGGUCUGCUCUUGCCAGAGCCACCGAUUUAUCCGGUUGGAAUUCACUAAAUUAUAAGUAAGUUAAUUUCUACACACUCCCACGCACUUGCUAUUAACGUAUUUUUACUGUACAAAUAUCAUAACUAGAAAAUGUUUAUCCGGCUGGGAUUCACGAAACUAUGUGUAAUCACUAAUUUGUUUUAGUUUCCCGUUAAUUUUUGUAAUCAUAUGAUGAACAUUUUACUUUUAGUUUUUAGUUUUCAUUUUUUAUUUUUCAUUUUUUAAACUAACAGAAGAAAAUUUGUGAUCGGCUACAAUGGUACAAAAUACUCAGUACAAAACGGUUGUAAAGACCCUUUAGAUCUAAUUGUUGAUUUUUAGGACUACUAUAUACCAUGAGAGAAAAAUUGAAAAACUUGUUUAAUAACUACCUGCAGUGAAACUAAAAACUGAAGGCCAAAAAUUUGAAAACUCAAAAUCUGGACUUAAAAUGUUAAACCCCUCCCCAAAUUUCUCUGUAUUUGUACAAUGUCCCUCAAAAUUUAUUGAAUUUUUACAUUUUGGUCCCUCAUUUCUUACCCUAUCCGUAUCAACUUUUUGGAUUCCCUCAAUCCUCUCAUCCUAUCACUGCUUUUGAAGGAAUCCAAAAAGUGGAUCUGGAUAGGGUAAGAAAUGAGGGACCAAAAUGCAAAACAAUUCAAUAAACUUUGAGGGGCAUUGUACAAAUACAGAGAAAUUUGGGGAGGGGUUUAACAAUAAAAAUUAAAUGAAAACAAAAUUGUUCACAAAACGACCCAUUAAUUUUUAUUUGGCGUUGUCAUUAUAUUGUUUUUUAAAUUUGACAGGGAUGAUGCAGAGCUUAUUGAGAAAAUUGUAGAAGAUGUUUUUCGGAAAGUGAUCCACAUCUCAUCAACAUCAAGCAAAGAUAAUGGCUUGGUUGGAAUGGAUUAUCAUAUGCAUGAAAUGCAUUUACGAUUACAUCUUGAUCCUCCUGGGGUGGAAUUGGAUGAUGUUCGCGUUGUUGGAAUAUGGGGUAUGGGUGGUUUAGGCAAAACAACCAUCGCUAGAGCUGUUUAUAAUGAAAUCUCUCGUCGAUUUGAAGCUUGUUGCUUUCUUGAAAAUGUCAAGGAAGAUUUCAUGAAGCACGGCAAACUACAUAUGCAGACAGUACUUAUAUCUAGUGUCUCGAACAACAAAGUGGGGAGUUCCGACAUUUCGAAGAAUGGUUUCCAGGUGAUGUUAAAUAGCCUAGGUCAGAGAAAAGUUCUUAUUGUUCUGGAUGAUGUGGACACAUUAGAACAAAUUGAAGCUUUACUUGGAGGGCAACAUUCCUUUGGUGGUGGAAGUAGAAUCAUUAUAACAACUAGAGAUUCGCAAUUACUAAGCUUAGCUGAUGCUAUAUAUAAACCCAAGAUUUUGAGUGAGCCACGAGCUCUGGAACUCUUUAGGCGGUACGCCUUCAAAAAAAACCAACCCACUAGAGAUUAUUAUAUUCUCUCGAGUCGUGCCGUAAAAUAUGCUCAAGGUCUGCCUUUAGCACUCAAGGUCUUGGGAGCUUUUCUUUAUAACAAAACUGUACGUGAGUGGGAAGAUGUCUUCGAGAAAUUAAAGGACGUCCCGCAAAGCGGGAUUAAUGAUGUGCUUAGAACAAGCUUCAAUGGACUAGAUCAUAAAGAGAAGAAGAUCUUUCUAGACAUUGCAUGUUUCUUUAAAGGAAUGAAAAAAGACUAUGCAACCGAAAUUCUGGAUAGCUGUGAUUACAAUCCUCAUGCUGGGAUAAGAGUUCUAAUGGAUCGAGCUCUCAUAACUAUCUCAGUGAAUGGGGAACUGGAUAUGCAUGAUUUACUAGAGGAAAUGGGUCGGGAAAUAGUUCGCCAAGAAUCUAUCGAAGAGCCUGGAAGACGAAGUAGGUUGUGGAGUUAUGAAGAUGUCCAUCAUGUGCUAACUCAAAAUAAGGUGAGAAAUCUUUUUCGUAUACAAUGCUUAGAGCUUCAACUUUUGACCAAACUCUAUUUCUUAGGCCCACUGAAAAUUAAAAUUGGAAACUAAAAUGGUUACCAAACGAGUUAUGUGUUUUCAAUUUUCAUAUUUCUUAAAAAAAAUAAUCAAAACAAAAGUUAAAAACUGAAAAUGAAAUGAUUAUCAAACGGCUCCGUAAAAAAUAACCAUUAACUUCACAUUCUAAAAAGCUCACUAUUUUUCCCUUCACUUUCAUUUGCACAGGCUACAAAAGUAGUUGAAAGCAUAAUCCUGGAUUUAUCGAACUCAGAUGAGGUAUGCUUAAAUGCUGAAGCAUUUGUUAGUAUGACCCAACUAAGACUUCUCAAAAUCAGUCACGAGAAGUACAAUUACUGCAAACAGCACCUGAUUGGGCACUUCAAGUUUCUUUCUCGUGAGUUGAGGUGUCUCUCCUGGCUUCGAUUCCCCCUUAAGUCUUUGCCAUCCAACUUUCAAUUCAAAAAUCUUGUUGACCUUGACAUGCAAUACAGUCUCAUUGAGCAACUUUGGGAAGGAAUCCAGGUAUGUACAAUCAUCAUUUACAUGUAUAUGUUUCCUUUAAAUGUUAGGUUAUGAGAUGUCUUAUUAAGUAAUACAUGUUUUCCUGAAUGUUUUAACAGACGCUGGAAAAGUUGAAAUUCAUCAAUUUAAGUUAUUGUCAAUACCUUAAGGAGACCCCAGACUUCACAAAGGUGCCAAAUCUUGAGAGGCUAAUCCUUCAAAAUUGUAUAAGUUUAGUUGAGGUUCACCCAUCUAUUUGGACUCUUACAAAACUUGUUUUAUUGAAUUUGAAUGGGUGCAAAGAACUUAAGAUUCUAGCCAGCAACAUUCAUAUGCGCUCUCUUAAAACCCUUGAUCUUUCUGGUUGCUCAAAGCUUGACAAGUUUCCUGAGAUUUUAGAAGUUAUGGAGGAACUAUCACAUCUUAAUUUAUCCGGGUCAAAAAUUAAAAAAUUGCCCUCGUCUAUCGAUAAUCUCACGGGGUUGAACUAUUUGAACCUAAAAGAUUGCAAGGAACUUAAGAGUCUUCCAAGCAGCAUUCAUAUGAAAUCUCUCAAACACCUUAAUCUUUUUGGCUGCUCGAGUCUUGAGAUGUUUCCAGAGAUUUCAAAAGUUAUGGAGAAACUAUCAUGGCUUGAUUUGUCUGGGUUAAAAAUUAAAGAACUGCCCUCGUCGAUUAAUAAUCUCAUGGGGUUGAGUUCUUUGUACCUAAAAGAUUGCAAGGAACUUAAGAGUCUUCCAAGCAGCAUUCGUAUGAAAUCUCUCAAAACCUUUAAUCUUGAUGGUUGCUCGAGUCUGGAGAUGUUUCCAGAGAUUUCAGAAGUGAUUGAGGGGUUAAAAGCUCUUAAUUUAUCUGGGUCAAAAAUUAAAGAACUGCCCUCGUCGAUUAAUAAUCUCACGGGGUUGAGAUAUUUGGACCUAAAAGAUUGCAAGGAACUUAAGAGUCUUCCAAGCAGCAUUCCUAUGAAAUCUCUCAAAACCUUUUAUCUUUGUGGCUGCUCGAGUCUUGAGAUGUUUCCAGAGAUUUCAGAAGUGAUGGAGAAACUAUCAUUGCUUGAUUUGUCCGGGUCAAAAAUUAAAGAACUACGCUUGUCGAUUAAUAAUCUCACGGAGUUGAGAUAUUUGGACCUAAAAGAUUGCAAGGAACUUAAGAGUCUUCCCAACAUCAUUCGUAUGAAAUCUCUCAACACCCUUGAUCUUUGUGGCUGCUCGAGUCUUAAGAUGUUUCCAGAGAUUUCAGAAGUUAUGGAGAAACUAUCACGACUUAGUGUGUCCGAGUCAAAAAUUAAAGAACUACCCUCGUCGAUUAAUAAUCUCACGGGGUUGAAGUAUUUGGACCUAAAAGAUUGCAAGGAACUUAAGAGUCUUCCAAGCAGCAUUCAUAUGAAAUCUCUCAAAACCCUUAAUCUUUGUGGUUGCUCGAGUCUUGAGAUCUUUCCAGAGAUUUCAGAAGUGAUGAAGAAACUAUCAUGGCUUGAUUUGUCUGGGUCAAAAAUUAAAGAAUUGCCCUCGUCGAUUAAUAAUCUCACGGGAUUGAAGUAUUUGGACCUAAAAGAUUGCAAGGAACUUAAGAGUCUUCCAAGCAACAUUCAUAUAAAAUCUCUCAAAACCCUUGAUCUUUGUGGCUGCUCGAGUCUUGAGAUCUUUCCAGAGAUUUCUGAAGUGAUGGAGAAACUAUCAUUGCUUGAUUUGUCUGGGUCAAAAAUUAAAGAACUAUGCUUGUCGAUUAAUAAUCUCACGGGGUUGAGAUAUUUGGACCUAAAAGAUUGCAAGGAACUUAAGAGUCUUCCAAGCAGCUUUCCUAUGAAAUCUCUCAAAACCCUUGAUCUUUGUGGCUGCUCGAGUCUUGAAAUGUUUCCAGAGAUUUCAGAAGUGAAGGACAACAAAGACGACGGCGGCGAUGCCAAGAAUAAGCCGCUGGAGAAAUCCAAUUACGAAAAAACCAAAGAGGUGCGUACUUCCAACGGCGCACUGGUGCACUGGUUCCCCUUUCGCUAACGUGCGCCUGCCUCAAUAUUUUCAAUUAUUUAAUUUUUAAUUAAAUGGGUUUGUAUAUUUGUGUGUGCAGCAUCCGGUGAGGAUGGCGGUUCUGAAGCUGAACCUCCACUGCCAGGGAUGCAUCCAUAAGAUCCACAGGAUUGUCACCAAGACGAAAGGUGAGCUUAUCAUCUCCCACUAAUUGGCAACUUUUCGCAGUAAAACGCCGCCGUUUUUGUGAUUUUGGUUUGGUUUUUAACGUGGGUGACGUGGCAGGGUUCACCUACAUGAGCAUCGACAAGGAGAAUGAGCUGCUGAUGGUGAAGGGCUCGAUGAACAUGAAGGUUCUGGCCGAGAGCUUGAAGGAGAAGCUGAGGAGGUCCGUCGAAUAGAAAUACAUGCUUUUUGUGAUCCAAAUCAUGCUGUCGAUAUAACAGAAAUUGAUAUUGACGUUGAGUUCACUUAUUCGGUUAACUGGAACUGAGUUGAAAGUAGAAGACGGAUUAGCGGCGAAGGAAACUUAGCCGUGUAAUUCCCACAAAAAAUGGUAGGAUUGGGAAGGAUAAGUUUCCUCGUCGCUAAUCCAUCUGAUGGGUUAUCCAAUCCAAUCUAAUCCUGUCCACCAAACGAGUGUAAUCGCAAAGAACCAAAUGCUGAUUUGAAUUUGCAUAUUGCAGAAAGGCAAUGGCCAAAUGGACAGAACAUGUCAGGAGAGUAAUCUCUGAGAAUGGGAUUGAAGGACCCCAUGAAGAUGGUCACAGCUGGAGAAAAUAUGGGCAGAAAGACAUCCUAGGAGCCAAAUAUCCAAGGUAAAAUUAAGGAUCUUGUUUUACUUUAAUCAGUUAAUCGUAUCCUGCUGCAAUCAUUUGCAGUAACAGUCACUUGUCCCACGUGUUAAAAAGCAAUAUAAAAUACAUUACCUUUAAUACGCACGUGCACAAAAGCUGAAGAUUUUGAUAGAGAAAAGUUUCAUCCUUGAGAAGCUGCAAACACAGCAGUAUUCUUCUGUAAGAUGGAAAGUUUCAGUGUGUUAUGAACAAUUCUGAUGACCAACUUGUUUAAAAUCCGCAGAAGCUAUUACAGAUGCACGUACCUGUUCACGCAAAAAUGUAGGGCCAGAAAGAAAGUGCAAAGAUCAGAUGAAGACCCCACCGUCUUCGAAAUCACAUACGAAGGGAAGCAUACAUGUUCUCAUGGCGGCAGUUCAGUUCCACCGCCACCAUCACCAGAAAAGCAAGAACGAAAACGACACAAUCAUAACAAUACUUAUCAACAACAGCAGUCUCAAGGAAACCAAAUGAGCUUCCCAACUAAUCUGAGAGUCAAUACUGAGAACUUAGACGACAGAGAGAACACAGCAUCUCCAUUCUCUUUUACCUCAUCUCCAUUCGGAAGUAUCAGCGUUGACGCCUUCCUAUCUUCGAUGCUUGAUGAUAAAAGUCUUUUUGCCAGUCCACCAGAAAAGUCAUUGGUUCUCAUUCAUUAAUUCUAUUAUCAUCAUUGUGCUUUUGAUGGGAUUGCUUGCUUUGCUCAUAGUGCGACGCCUCAAGAACAAUAUGAAAAAGUAAAACAUUAUUCACAAUCUUGUCCAACUACAUUAUGUUUUAACUUGGUCAGCCUAGUGUAAUUAAUCUUCUCGUAGGUUCUCAAACAGUGGCGAAGAAGAAGACGAGGAGGUUGGCUGGAAAUACAUUCAUGGUGAUGUUUUCAGAUAUCCCCCAAACAUGUCAUUGUUUUGUGCUGUCUUGGGCGUGGGUACCCAACUGCUUGCCAUGUAAGCUAAUUUAUCAUUCUUCAGUCACUUCUCUUCUUGUUUCAUAGCUUUAUGUUCUGUAGAUAGCAUGGUGACAGAUAUUUUACUCUUUUUACCUUGAAGGGAACACCUAUAGAACAGAGGGACAUCAUAGCCUCUGUAAAUGUUGAACACCUACACAUAAUUUCAUAUACGUAUAACAUUGCAACUCAAUGACAAUGAACUUGCAGACUAUAUGUAUCGAACUUGGCUCCUAUAGACCAGUAAUACUCUAAUUUAUUGAAUUUUGAACUUGGCUCCUCCAUCGGUGUAUGAAUCUGGAGUAGAAUAUUGUGAUCAUUCAGUCCUGUUUAAAAAAAAAAAUGCAGACUGUAUGAGUGUCAACUUUUAACGUUUGUUUUAGUUUUAACUUUGACUUUUUUUUGUAUCUUCAGGCUGUUUGUCUUAUUUUUGCUAGCAUUUUUUGGUGUCCUAUAAUCCGUAUAAUCGUGGAGCUUUGUUCACUGCUCUUGUCUUUAUAUGUACUACUUCAAUCAUCGGUGGGUGCUGCUGCUUUCCACAAUCAAUUUUCAGUGACAGGAUGGGUAAUUUUCUUCGUCAUAUUCUUCUAGGAUUAGUCUUUCUAUUAGAGAGCUUUCUACCUCGAUUGAAUGAUUUCAGGGGCUUGAGUAUUUAAAUCUGAGAAACUGCAAAAGCCUUGUACAUCUUCCCAACACUCUGUAAUUUGGAACACCUUGUAGCUCUCAAUCUUUGCGGAUGCACAAAUCUUUCUCAUUUACCUGUCAACUUUGAGGAUUUAGUGCGCUUGUGGGAUAAUGCAGUGGAUUUUGAUAGUGGGGAUACUGGCUUUUUCACACGUGUACUAUGCUCCUAAACAUCAUCGGCAUCCACUACAGAGAUCCGUAGUGAAGGUUUGACACAUGUACAACACCUUCCAAACAUCAUUGGCAUCCACGACGGCUACACGCCAUAUCAGAGCUCCGUUUUGCCUGGGUCCCUCGCUGCCCCAACCCCCCAAUUUCUAGGUAAUCAAAAUUCAAACCCAAUUUUUGAUCCAGAAUUAAAUUUCAAAUUCUGGGAAAUUUUAUCUGAAAAAGAAAUAAUUUUCGGGGGUUUUAGGUACACUCUGCUGAUAAACACAUGGAUACGAAGCUUGGUUUUGAAGUAAUCAAUCGGUCACUAUGCCACGUGCAGUGGCUUUGUUGAAUUGGCAUGGCCUGACGGCUAGUGCACAAACUGUGAAGAUACUGCUAUGUCAAUUCCUGUUGCUAACUUGCUAAUGCCACCGGUGCUCCUCCAAUUUGUGUGAAAAGUACUUUGCAUUUCCUUUUAUCUCAACAUUUCUAUAUCUGAAUUUGUGUACAUGACUAUAUUAGUCUAGAUUAGAUUGCUUUUUUUGCGUUAGUGGGGUAUAAUGACGGGUUUUUCAAUCUAGUCGUAUGUAUCAUCAGCACAAUCUGCAUUCAUCAGUAGCUUCGGUAGUUAUAAAAUUUUGAACACCUUUUCCUGUGAAGGAAAUCAAAGAGAAAUGAAGCCUUUCUCGCUGAGUGAAACCAUGGUAUUCAAUACAGCAAACAAGACCUGCUACACAGCCUUUCUAGCUUGUUGGUUUUCUCCAGUUAUUGGUAGAGGACAUUUGUUAACAAAGCUUGACCGACUCUCCUUGACUCAUCCCCAAAUACUCAAAGUCCCCUCAGCGACCAAUGUCUGUCUCUCACAGUCACUCACAAUUCCACCGAAUGAAUAAGUUGCCACGACUCAAUCCACUGCAAGCACACCUCAACACCACAAACCCACCCUCACCAAGAACUCCAAAGUUUCACUUUUACUUUUUUGGAAUUGAAGUGCAGGUCACUUCUUUGGAGUUGUUCUUUUAUCUAUUAUUGUUUUGAAAUGAAUGAAGAGAGGAGGUUGAUGGUGUGUUUUGAACUGCCCUCGUCAAUUAAUAAUCUCACAGGAUUGUGUUAUUUGGACCUAAAAGAUUGCAAGGAAUUGAAAAGUCUUCCAAACAACAUUUGUCAUCUCAAGUCCCUUACAUAUGUCAGUCUUUCUGGUUGUACAAAGUUUGAGGUGUUUCCAAGCAUUGAAGAAAAUAUGGAAAGAUUAAGAGAGCUUCACUUGGAUGGAACUUGUAUCAGAGAGCUUUCCCCCUCGAUAGAACGGCUUCAGGGUCUUGUGAUAUUAAAUCUGAGAGACUGCAAAAGCCUUGUAGAUCUUCCCGACACUCUCUGUAAUUUGGAACGCCUUGGAGAUCUCAAUCUCUGUGGCUGCCCAAAUCUUUCUCAAUUACAUGUCAACUUUGAUGUUGGGCAUGCUGACAUCUUUCUCAUUAAUCACAAGCUCAUUGUGUGCUAUUUUAUCUUCUCCGUCAUCAUUUUGGUCGCCUCCCUUGGGGUAAUAAAAUUCUAGGUAAUCAAAAUUCAAACCCAAUUUUUGAUUCGGAAUUAUAUUUCGAAAUUUGGGAAAUUUUAUUAUCUGAACAAAGAAACAAUUUUCAGGGGUUUUGGUUGCAUCCCUCCAGGCUCAGCUAUAAUAUUCUCUCAUCGAUGUGACUAUGUCGCCAGGGAGAGGUAUGCAUCUCCACAUGUGGAAUACAUUUGAUUUUUUCUUGAGCAGAAACUGUGAAGAUAUUGAUAUGCCAAUUCCCGCUGCAAACUUGCUAAUGCCACCAGUGCUCCUCCAAUUUGGGUGAAAGGUAUUUUGCAUUUCCUUUAAUCUUAACUGCAAAUUACAGUGCAUGAGCCCUGUGAAUUUGUGUAAAUGAAGUCUUUCUUGCCAAGUGAAAUCACGGUAUUCAAUACAACGAACAAGAGCUGCUAUACAGCAUUUUAAGUUUUACAGAGCAUUGCAUGGUUGACAUCCAUCUCCCCCUAACAAAUACAAUCGAAAAGGAUCCUGAUGCAGUGUCAAAGUUUCGAAUUACUGUGCUGUUGAGGGCCAAGUUGAGGAGAAUGGGAUUGAAUCCUUGUUUGCUGUUCAGGCCAUGACAUUUGAUACCAUUUUGGAGGUUUGUAUUUGGUUGGUCGGGCUCGAACUGGACAGGCAAAUUUGAUUUACUCAAGAAGCGCAAAUUUUUACUCUGACAUCCCAAAUUGUUACCAAAAAGCACAAAAUUUUACUCAUUGUUUUGUGGUGUGUUGAAUUGGAUUGGAAUAUUUAGCUUAUUGAUGUGAUUCUUGUUCAGGUUUCUGAAUUGUAUGCUUAUUUGUUUUGCAAUAUUUCAGGGUAAACUCUAGCUUUUGUGUUGCCCGUUUUGGAGUCCGUAACAAAUGGGCCUGCAAAAGCAUUUAGAAAGACUGGUUAUGGUAGGCCUCCAACUGUUAUCGUGCUUUUACCCACCAGGGAACUUGCCAAACAGGUAAUUUUUAUUUACCCUGGAGUCUGAAUGAUAUGCUUGCAAUGGUUUGGCUUGUAGAGUACCCUUGACAAUUUUUGGUUCAUUCAGGUUUUCACCGAUUUUGAAGCUUAUGGCGGUGCUGUGGGGCUAGCAGCAUGUUGUGUAUACGGUGGAUCUCCCUACAGGUCUCAAGAAAGUAAGCUAAGGAGAGGGGUGGAUAUUGUUGUUGGAACGCCUGGCCGUAUAAAGGCAUUGACUAUUUCUCAUUGUAGCUGAGUUCUUGUGUCAGUUCGGUACUAUGCAAUAUACUUAUGAAGCUAAAUUAAAUUUGUGGGAAUAUGUAGGAUCAUAUAGAGAGGUCGCACUUGGUGCGAUGGCAAGUGCCUUCGCCCAUGAGCGGUAGGUCUCGGGUUCGAGACUUGGGAGCAGCCUCUCCAUAAAUGGGGGUAAGGCUAGCCGACAUUCACCUCUCCCAGACCCUGCGUAAAGCGGGAGCCUUGUGUACUGGGUACGACCUUUAUGUAGGAUCAUAUAGAGAGGGGGAAUAUCGACUUGAGUACCUUGAAAGUUAGGAUUCUUGACGAAGCUGAUGAAAUGCUGAGGAUGGGGUUUGUUGAUGAUGUUGAACUCAUUCUAGGUAUGUCUUUUGGGUAAUCCCAACAUCUGUUUUCCAUACCAUAUUUGCCUAUUUGCAUUACUGCUGCAUAUCUUCUAUAAAGUAUUUUGUAUCCAUGUUUCUGGUUAGUAGUGUCCAUUGAAACCUUUGUUAAUAAUGUCCAUCUGAAGCUUGGAAUCAUUUUAUCUUUGUGUUUUCAUUGAAUUCUCUUGCUAUUUGACUCCUGUCAAACCAAUGUUAUUCUUACAUUACGCUGUCAAGGUAUCUUUGGUUGACAGGGCUAUCUGGAGUUUUAAAUUUUGUACAAUGUUACUUUAAUUUUGCAAAAUUUCUGUCUAUGUUACAUUUUUGAAGUGUUAUGUUGUGUGUACUGUACAACCUCUCUUUAACUUCUAUUCUUUGGAUUUUCAGGCAAGGUGAAGGAUUUAAGUAAAUUUCAAACGCUUCUCUUCAGUGCAACCUUGCUGAGUUGGGUGAAAGGCGUAAGUAUCUUUAACUAAGAUCUUGGAUUUGGAUGUUCUUCUGUUCUUCUGAAUUCAGUUAAACAUAAAUGGACAUGUUGCAAUGUUUGACCUUUCCUUCUAUUCUUGACAAAUGAAUGAAAUUUUCUUUUUCUUUUUCCCAGAUUUCUUCUAGGUUUCUCAAACCAGAUAAGAAAACUGUAGAUCUGGUUGGUAAUGAAAAAAUGAAGGCCAGCACCAAUGUUAGCGUAUUGUUCUUCCUUGCUCCAGUCCAGCAAGAUCGCAACUUAUUCCUGAUAUCAUAUGUUGUUAUAUAGCAGGUUGGUCGUUUUCUAGUCAACAAUUACCAUAUGCUUUGUAUUUAUAGUUUCGGGUAUAAUUUAUAUGGAAAUCAUUUUUCAUGUACUUGAUAUGUUUGUUUCUGACUCAGUGGAGGCUACACUUUCAUUUUCACUGAGGCAAAGGAAGCUGCUUCUGGACUUGCCGAGGCGUUGCCUGGAGCCCGAGCUUUGCACGGGGGCAUACAGGAGGGCCAACGUGAGGUAAGUUGUUUGACUGUGCACUUUUUUCCCCUAUUUUGUACAACUUAACCCCCUGUUUUGUACAACUUUACUACAAUAUGUUAUUUCAGGCUCUUUUCCUUUCAUAGUGAUAUUUCUUUUUUAAAAAAGCUGGAUUUUUUUGUUUUUCUAAUGGCAGAAUUCGUUGUUUCCCUUCCUGUGUUCUUGUAUUGUCAGGUCACACUUGCCGGUUUCAGGUCUGGCAAGUAUAUGACUUUAGUAGCCACAAAUGUGGCAGCACGUGGACUGGAUACCAAUGAUGUUCAAUUAUCCAGGUUUGUCAGUGUGCAUAUUUGGAAGCUUUGUAAUAUUUGUCAAUCUAUAUACUGAUUUUAUUGUUUAUGGUUCAGUGUGAACCUCCACUUGAUGUAGAAGACUAUAUCCAUCGGUCUGGACGCACAGGGAGAGCAGGUUAAUCGUGAAUAAUGUGGCAUUUCUUGUUUAUUCGUAUUUUAUUAUUUAAUGUCUUUGAUGUUAUGUGGUACUUAGAGGUGUGUCCAUAUUUUCAGGCUAUUCGGGAGUUGCUUUCAUGCUUUAUGAUCCCAGAAGGUCAAAUUUUUCAAAAAUUGAGAGAGUCGGGGGUGAAAUUGAACAUUUCUGCUCCUUAGCCACUUGAUAUAUCUAAAGCAGUAGGUUAAGAUGCAGCAGAAAUGAUAACCAAAAUUUCUGAUAGGUAUGCUUGACAGUGCACAGCUUAUUACAUUUUGAUGCAAUCAAGUUCUUAUAUUAAUUAUCAAUACAUUUUUCUUUUCAGUGUAAUUCCUGCUUUCAAGUCUGUUGCCGAGGAGCUACUUAACACCUCUGGCCUAUCUGCAGUAGAUCUGCUGUCAAAAGCACUUGCUAAAGCUGCUGUGAGAUUUUCUUUUCUUCCCUACCUGAUGUGCUUUUUAAAUUAAUUAAUGUAAAUGUUUGUUUAUCAGUUUAUGAGUUGCUUAUUGAAUGAUGUGCAGGGCUACACCGAGAUAAAGAAGAGAUCACUUCUGAGCUCAAUGGAGAACCAUGUCACAGUUCUUCUCGAGGCUGGAAAGCCCAUUUAUUCGCCGUCGUAAGCAAUUAUCACUAUUUUCCUUGUGUUCUAAACCAUUAUGUUCCUUUGUUUUAUUUUCACGUAAGGAUAGCAAUAGCUAAUUAUGGGAACAAUAUCGAUUGUGUGUUGGAGUCACCAUGAGCUGUUUAAAUAUAGAUAUCUGUAAUUGUAAUGAUGUAAUUUGUGUUCUUGUUUUAGAGUUAGCGUUCUGAUUAGUGCGUACGCACCUCAAGUAGGGUUGGAUAAGAGUUCGAAGGAGAAAUUUUGGGAAGACCUUGGAGACUUGGUGCAAGGAAUUGCUCAGACGGAGAAGUUAUUUAUAGGAGGAGAUUUAAAUGGACACGUGGGCAGGGAGACAGGCAACUAUGGAGGUUUCCAUGGUGGCCAUGGUUUUGGGGAGAGAAACGAGGAUGGGGAAGCUAUCUUGGAUUUUCCAAUGGCAUAUGAUCUCUUCUUAGCCAACACCUUCUUUAAGAAGAGAGAAGAACAUGUGAUCACCUACAAGAGUGGGUCGUCAAAAACACAAAUAGAUUUUCUCCUAAUGAGGAAAGGAGAUCGUAUAACUUGUAAGGAUUGCAAAGUUAUACCAGGAGAGAGCGUGGCUAAUCAACAUCGCUUGUUGGUGAUGGAUGUACAUAUCAAAAGAGUGAGACAAAAGAACAAGACUUGGAAGUGCCCAAGGACUAGAUGGUGGAAUCUAAAAGAAGAAAAACAAGUCAUUUUCAAAGAGAAAGUAAUCACCCAGUGUGUGUGGGAUAGAGAGAGGGAAGCUAGCCAAAUGUGGGAUUCCAUGGCUAGUUGUAUUCGAAAAGUAGCAAAAGAGGUAUUAGGAGAGUCCAAAGGUUUUGCCCCACACCAAAAGGAAUCUUGGUGGUGGAAUGAGGAGGUACAAACAAAGGUGAAGGCUAAGAAGGAAUGUUGUAAAGCCUUAUACAAGGAUAGGACCGAUGAAAAUGGUGAAAGGUAUAGAAAAGCGAAGCAAGAAGCGAAGAAAGCUGUGAGAGAAGCUAAGUUAGCGGCUUAUGACGAUAUGUAUAAGCGACUAGAUACCAAAGAAGGAGAGUUGGAUAUCUAUAAAUUAGCUAGAGCAAGGGAAAAGAAGACAAAGGACCUAAACCAAGUGAGGUGCAUCAAGGAUGAGGAUGGAAAGGUUCUUGCUACAGAGAACGCGGUUAAAGACAGAUGGAAAGGUUAUUUUCAUAAUCUUUUCAAUGAAGGACAUGAAAGGAGUGCUUCUUUAGGGGAGUUGAGUAACUCAGAAGAGUGUAGAAACUACUCUCUUUUUAUCGUAGAAUCCGGAAGGAAGAAGUGGUUGUAGCUUUGAAGAAGAUGAAGCAUAGAAAAGCAGUAGGCCCAGACGAUAUACCAAUCGAAGUGUGGAAAGUUUUGGGAGAGACAGGUAUAACAUGGCUCACUGACCUUUUCAAUAGGAUUUUGAAAACGAAGAAGAUGCCAAAUGAGUGGCGAACGAGCACUUUGGUGCCUAUCUACAAGAAUAAGGGUGACGUACAAAAUUGCAUGAACUAUAGGGGUAUUAAGCUAAUGAGUCAUACAAUGAAGCUCUGGGAGAGAGUCAUUGAGCAUAGAUUGAGGCAAGAGACACGGGUUUCGGACAACCAAUUCGGGUUCAUGCCAGGGCGCUCAACCAUGGAGGCAAUCUAUCUCUUACGAAGAUUGAUGGAAAGAUAUAGAGAUGGGAAAAAGGAUUUACACAUGGUCUUUAUAGAUUUGGAAAAAGCGUAUGAUAGGGUCCCAAGAGACAUUCUUUGGAGGAUUUUAGAGAAGAAAGGAGUACGAGUAGCAUAUAUCCAAGCUAUAAAGGAUAUGUAUGAAGGAGCAAAGACUGCCGUAAGAACUCAUGAAGGACAAACCGAAAGCUUUCCCAUAACUGUAGGAUUACAUCAAGGCUCAUCCUUAAGUCCUUACCUUUUUGCGUUGGUAAUGGAUGAGUUAACAGGACAUAUUCAAGAUGAUAUUCCUUGGUGUAUGCUUUUCGCAGACGAUAUAGUGUUGAUAGAUGAAACUCAGGAAGGGGUAAAUGCAAAGCUUAACCUUUGGAGAGAGAAGUGUUGGAAUCUAAAGGUCUUCGCCUAAGCCGAUCAAAGACAGAAUAUAUGGAGUGCAAGUUCAGUGCAAAUGGAGGCCAAAACGAGUUAGGGGUGAGGAUCGGAGAUCAAGAAAUACCAAAGAGCGACCGUUUUCGUUACCUAGGAUCUAUCUUGCAAAAGAACGGAGAAUUAGAUGGAGAUCUCAACCAUAGAAUACAAGCUGGAUGGAUGAAGUGGAAGAGUGCAUCCGGCGUGUUGUGUGACCGCCGUAUGCCACUGAAGCUCAAGGGAAAAUUUUAUAGGACGGCAAUAAGGCCAGCGAUGCUGUAUGGCACAGAAUGUUGGGCGGUGAAGCAUCAACACACGUACACAAAAUGGGUGUAGCGGAGAUGAGGAUGCUUCGUUGGAUGUGUGUGGGCACACGAGAAAGGAUAAGAUUAAGAAUGAGGAUAUCCGGGGUAAAGUAGGAGUAGCCGAAAUUGAAGGCAAGAUGAGAGAAAAUCGGUUACGGUGGUUUGGACAUGUGCAACGAAGGCCUACUGACGCUCCGAUUAGAAGAUGCGACUAUGGGACAGAGGUUCAGGGCCGAAGGGGUAGAGGAAGACCUAGGAAAACUUUGGAAGAGACUCUAAGAAAAGACUUAGAGUACUUGGAUCUAACGAAGGACAUGACACAGGACCGAGCACAAUGGCGUUCUAAGAUUCAUAUAGCCGAUCCCACUCAGUGACUUGGAUUUUCCAAGUCUCCAAUCGAGAAGUUUUCCUCACUCGGGAAAUUAAGGGAACACUACCCCAACCUACAUGCUCCACUCAGAAAGCUUCAACAUACAAGCUUCAACAAAAGAAAAUUCAAAGAACUUAGCGAAGAAGGUUUUGGUGUAUUUAACACAAUACGUUGAAAUGAAGGAAAACUUAUUUAUUGAUAUCCUCGAUAAGCUACAAAUGUGUACAUAUACAUGAGUCAAAAUAAACAAACAAGAGGGAGCCUUCACAAGGGUUGCUUAGGAGAAGUCUCAGCAGUCGGUAGAGCCCCAGAAAGAGAAGGCACCGGAGGGGGAUCAUUCGGAACCUCAGUACUGGACAGAACCCUAGAAGGAGGAGGCAUCAGAGGUUGAUUAUUUGGAGCUUCAUUACGCGGUACAGCCCCAGAAGACGAAGGCAAUAAAUGCCUUUGGAACAAACCCACAAAUCUCUGAUGAUCAAGUAAAACCUGACCAUCAGUUUCCUUCAUCUGGUCAAGCUUCCUCUUCAUGUUUGUAGCAUAGUCAUGUGCGAGCCGGUGCAACUGUUUAUUCUCAUGCUUGAGCCCUCUAAUCUCCUGUUUGAGACUCAUCACCUCAGCCGCCAAUGAUUCAACUUGGCGGGUUCGAGCAAAUAGGCGUUGGGCCAUAUUAGACACAGACCUGCACAGAACCUGCACACUGAACACUGAGAGCCAGCGAAUCCUUAACAGCUAACUCAUCAGACCGUUUGGAAAGUAGUCUGUUAUCUUUGGGAGUGAGAAGGUUCCUGGCCACCACCGCAGCAGUCAUAUCAUUCUUCAUCACGGAAUCCCCAACGGUAAGAGGACCAGUAGGGGAGACGAAGGAUGGGCGCCAUAUGUUGUCUGGAGAAGGCGGGGCUGCCUCUUCAACAAGGUUCAAGUCAAAACGACGGUCGGAGGGGCCAGACAUUUUCAAAGGUGUUGAAGAGAGAGAAGAGGUUGGACAAAUCAAGAUCUUAGAAGUGCAAGAAUGGAGCUUCUACUGGUGGAGAUUUCAAGUGUGCUUUGGAACUUAAUGCCAGCCCCUAUAAAAAUCUGCACUCGACGGAUCUUCAGAAAUCGAAGAGGUGCCUGCUCAGAAAUCGAAGAGGCGUUUGCUUUCUCAAAAGCUGGGCUGCUUAGAGACCACGAGGGUUGAUCUCAGAAAUCGAAGAGGCGUUUGCUUUCUCAAAAGUUAGGCUGCUCAAAGACCACGAAGGCCGAUCUCAGAAAUCGAAGAGGCGCUCGCUUUCUCAAAAGCUGGGCUCCUCAGAGACCACGAGGGCCGAUCUCAGAAAUCGAAGAGGCACCUACUUUUCCAGCCUUGUCAGCACCUGUCACACGCACACUCAGCUUUGCGGAAAUUAUGGGCAUUCUGUCGAAGACUUCUGAGGAAGUAGAAAACACAUGAAUCUUACUGUUCAAUCACCCACUUCCCACACGCAACACUAGCUCAUGGGUACCACAGAUAACUUUGCCAAAGUUCUCUGCCAAAAUUGAGCACGUAAAGCUUGCAGCUCCCACUACAUCGCUCUGACCAAGAAAGGUAAAAGAAUAGCAAAGAAACAGCACUAACAAAGUUUAGACCCAUAAAUUUUGAAGGUCUAGCUACCAUAUUAUUACCCACAAGGGUAAAGGAACAGUACCACUGCUGGAUAAUUGGAAAGUCCCUGUGUGUCAACCUCUGUGCUUCGUGGCAAGGUAGACUAGUAAACAUGCCCAACCUUUACUCACACUCGAGAAAACACUACCAAUAAGAUUGCUUGCUCCAAAAUCGAAGAGGCACCGUCCUCCGAAUCUCGAGAGCCAGACUCCUAACAUGACUACUUUCUCAAAAAUCGAAGAGAGGGUAAAGGAACAGUACCAUUGCUGGAUAAUUGGAAAAUCCCUGUGUGUCAACCUCUGUGCUUCGUGGCAAGGUAGACUAGCAAACAUGCCCAACCUUUACUCACAUUCGAGAAAAACACUCCCAACAAGAUUGCUUGCUCUAAAAUCGAAGAGGCACCGCCCUCCGAAUCUCGAGAGCCAGACUCCCAACAUGAUUACUUUCUCAAAAAUCGAAGUGACACUGCUCUCCGAAUCUCGAGAGCCAGACCCCCAUCAUGAUUGCUUUCUUAAAAAUCGAAGAUGCAUCGUUCUCCGAAUCAAUCGAAGAGACGCUCGCUUUCUCAAAAGCUGGGCUGCUCAGAGACCACGAGGGCCGAUCUCAGAAAUCGAAGAGGCACCUACUUUUCUAGCCUUGUCAGCAUCUGUCAUCUGUCACACGCACACUCAGCUUUGCGGAAAUUAUGGGCAUUCUGUCGAAGACUUCUCGAGAGCACAUACCACUUUUUCAAAGUGCUCUGACAGAGUUAAAACAUGUGAAGCUGGCAGCUCCCACUACCGUGCUAUGACCAAGCAGGGUAAAGGAAUAGCAUUACUACUUGUUGUUAGGGAGACUCCUAUAUAUGUCGACCUCCAUCCCCAACGGACAGGCAGACCUGCAAAAAUGUUCAACCCUUCCUCAUAUUUGAGAGGGCACUCCCAACGAAGCCUUUCGAAAUAUUCAGCUUUCUUUCCCCCCGAUAAUACCUUUGCCUUUGCAAACAAACAAGCUAUACUAGAGCAAGAAUAUCUCAUAUCAUCAGGGUUAAAAGCAAGAGUAUCCCAUAUCAUGCUUUUUCCCUGUCUUUUCCUUUGGCCUUGUUGUUACCUGCAAGACAAGGAGAAAGAGAGCAAUCAGUCAGCACUUGGAAUCAAGCUUCCAGCCAGGAACUGACUGCCUGGAACCCCUUACCUGAUUACUUACCUGGCAUUGCUCUCGAGUACUCAUCUUCAACAUCUUAUGUUUCCAGGGAAGAUACCGCAUCUGCUUGAGGAACAGAUAGGGCAAGUGCGAAGGAUACAAGGAAGCAUGUGGAGACAAGCGUACACAGCACACGUGCCGAUACAUCCAUUACUCUGUCAAAAGCAAAAGUAUCCCAUAUCAGCAGGGUCGAACGUACUCUAGAUUUGAUGGACUUGUUUUGACCCUCAAAUUCUUCAGUCGGCUCUGGAGGAAACCAUAAAACCCUCCAGCUCAGUUCAAGAAUAAGCCUGUGGAAAGUUACUUCUUCAAAAGCAAAAGUAUCCCAUAUCAUCUCUUCUCAUCUUUCUUCUCUUUAUCCUUCAUGCUGCUGCAAGAUGGGGAGAAGGUGAACAAUCAGCCGGAGCUCUGAUUGCUUACCUUGUCUGUCACCUCUUUCAGCAGAUCCCCUAGCUCGGCGACUUGGGAGACUCCUACUACAUGGUUUGUAUCGCGCUUGACCAAGCCUGAAACUACAAGUAAGCUUCAAGUGAAAUUGAUACAUUACCUUGUGCAUCUCCACCAGUUAAAGAUACCACCCCUGGAUGGAGGAAGAGUACUUCCAGAGAAGAUGCCACAUCUACCUAUGAGACAGAUAAGGCAAGUCAAGACGAUACCACACUCCGAUACUUAGAAGUUUCGUGAUUACGAGAUCAUUCUCUCACAAUAUUUCCUAAUGUCAUUUGUACUAAAUCAUUCACUUGUACUUACUAAAGGAGAGCUUGAACCUAUGUACUUGUGUAAACCCUUCACAAUUAAUGAGAACUCUUCUAUUCCGUGGACGUAGCCAAUCUGGGUGAACCACGUACAUCUUGUGUUUGCUUUCCUAUCUCUAUUCAUUUAUAUACUUAUCCACACUAAUGACCGGAGCAAUCUAGCGAAGAUCACAAAAAGCGACCGUUUUUGCUGCCUAGGAUCUAUCUUGCAAGAGAACGGAGAAUUAGAUGGAGAUCUCAACCAUAGAAUACGACCUGGACGGAUGAAGUGUAAGAGUGCAUCCGGCGUGUUAUGUGACCGUCGUAGGCCACUGAAGCUCAAGGGAAAAUUUUAUAGGACGACAAUAAAGCCAACGAUGUUGUAUGGCACAGAAUGUUGGACGGUGAAGCAUCAACACGUACACAAAAUGGGUGUAGCGGAGAUGAGGAUGCUUCGUGGGAUGUGUGGGCACACGAGAAAGGAUAAGAUUGGGCAUGAGGAUAUCCGAGGUAAAGUAGGAGUAGCCGAAAUUGAAGGAAAGAUGAGAGAAAAUCAGUUCCGGUGAUUUGGACAUGGGCAAAGAAGGCCGACUGACGCUCCGGUUCGAAGAUGUGACUACGGGACAGAGGUUCAGGGCCGAAGGGGUAGAGGAAGACCUAGGAAAACUUUAGAAGAGACUCUAAGAAAAGACUUAGAGUACUUGGAUCGAACGGAGGACAUGACACAAAACCGAGCGCAAUGGCGUUCUAGGAUUCAUAUAGCCGACCCCACUUAGUGGGAAAAGGCUUUGUUGUUGUUGUUGUUGUUGUUGUUGUUGUUUGACUCUUAAUUUCCACCAACCUUGUCUCAGUUUUGCUUUUGGGGUCUUGAAUAUAUUCUUGCUUGAGGAGAAGGUUGAGUCAGUGAAGGGUAUGGCACUAACAGCUGAUGGAAAUGGUGCAGUUUUUGAUUUGGCAGCCGAAGAUUUGGAUUUGUUUCUUGCUGGUAAUAUUUUUUUCAUAUCUCUGUAUGAUCGUGUAUUACAUUCUCAUCAAGCACGAUAGUUUACUAAGAUUCUACCAGAAACUUAUGUUAUUCAGUUCUUUCCUUUUAGACAUGGAACGUAUCAUUCAUUUUGUUGUAUUGAUGUCUUGAAGUCUGAUUAUUUUGGUCGUAUCAUGUGGGGUGCAGGUCAGGAAAAUGCAGGUGCAGCUAAUGUGAGCAUAACGGUGUUGAAAUCACUGCCUGAUUUACAAGAACAAGAAUCAAGGAAUACAAGAUUUGGUGGUGGAGGAAGGUUUGGCCGUGGUAGUGGUGGAGGUUUUCGAAGUGAUAGGUAUUCCAACAACCGAUCCUGUGGUGGUGGGAGAGGUCGCGGCAACAGAUGUUGAAGCGCAUAUAGGCCUGCUCCUUUCGAGUAAGCUGUUGUUGUGAGCAACAAAUAAUCUCAAAAAUCUGCAUUCACAAUGGUUUCAACUGGCGGAGGUACUAAAAGCCAGUUGAUCUUAGUGAAGGCAGGAGUAUUUUUUGACAAUGAAGAAAAUAUUCAGUACAUUGAGGGCCUCGAUUGGCUCGUUAUAACGAUAUCAUUUUUUUUCUCUAUUUUAUUGUUCAAAUUUGUUCAGUUUUGUUUUUCUGUUCUCUUUAUGCCCUUAAUAGUGUAAGAACACUUUUUUGGAGUGUAAGAACACCAUCUAAUUUUUGUAAUUUUUCUAUUUACUAGCGAGAAAGACAAGUGUUUGUCUCUUUUAUUCUAAUGUUGUUUGUGCUGUAAGUUUACUUUAGAGUUCCGAUACUAAUUUUUCUUAAUUACGCUGUUAUAAUCGUGCAUGCAUAAAAGCUAUUACAAAAUUGUAUCCUUUACAUGCAAUUCGCAUACGCUGAAUGUACAAUUAUAGAACUACAAGUCUACAACCAUCAUCGGAAGGUUGUCGUAUAGGAGUAUCGGAAUAGACUCUGUAAAUGCUUAUAGAUGGAUGAUGAUGUCUGAGGAGAAGGUUGCGUCAGUGAAGGGUAUGAUGUUAACAACUGAUGAUGGUGCAAUGUGACAUCGUACCAUUAACAAGAGACGUGACAUUUUAGUAUAUUUGUGUCAUAAAAAACUUUGUUUCGGCUAAAAUAUUUCUAAACCCUAAUUAUUAUCACACAACAAUUUAUGCAUUGUCUUAUAUGUUUGUAGGUGAUUCAUUUUAUGGUGUAUUUUUUGUACUAGUAAAUAACUAUACGGUCUUAGUUUAAGGAUUUGGAUCCUCUCCUGAGCCCAAGGAGAGGACCCUUUUGACCAAGCAAUGUGGGCCCAACGACUAUAAUUAAUAGGGAACUUUAAUGAAAAAGACAUAUCAAAACCUUUUACUAACAAAAAAUCAUAUAUUAACUUUAUUUAAUAAAAAUGGCUUAAACUUUAAUAAAAAAAAGGUUCAAAUUUUAAUGAAAAGAAUAAAAGUUUUACAUAAUAACAAAAAAAAAAAAUCAACAAAUACUGACGCACGAUCCCGCGCGUCAUAUCACACACAUACACACUCUCUCUCACUCAACCGUUCAACCUCUUUCUCUCUCCCUCUUUCAUAUUCUCAUCAAUUUUUCUCUCAUUUCACCGCACCCAUUCACAUCAACUUUUUCGCACCAUUUUUUUUCACCUCUUUCACCUCACUCCAUAAACUAUUUAUUUAUUUAUUUAUUUUUGUUUAUUUUACUAUUCUUUCAAUUUUUUUUAGAACAAACUAGUUAAUAAUAUUACAAGAUAAAAAAUAAAAUAAAAUUUUAUUAUUCAGUUUUAUGAACACUAAUACUAUCACUUUUCUUAAACAGAACAUCGACUACUUCUUAAACAAAACAUUGACUACUUCUUAAACCGAAGACGAUUUCUUAAACUAAACCCUGACUAUAUCUUAAACGGAACGCUAAUACUAUCACUACUUCUUAAACUGAACAUUGACUAUUUCGUAAACUGAACACUGACUAUUUCGUAAACUAAACAUUGACUGUUUCUUAAACCGAACACCUUGUAAACUAAACACUAAUUAUUUCUUAAACCUAACACUAAUGUUAUCACUAUUUCGUAAACUAAAUACACUAUUUAUUAAACCAAGUAAUAGUACUAUCACUAUUUCAUAAACUAAGCACUGACUAUUUCUUAAACCAAACACUAGUAUUGUCAUUAUUUCGUAAACUGGUAUUGACAACGCAAUUCUUUUUUUUUUCUUUUUUUUCUUUUUUUUAAGAAACACGGCAAUUCCUUCUUGUAUCUCUUUCUUGCGGCAAAAUAGACAGUCCUAGCUUCUUCUCCAAGUUCCUAGUUCAUGCUCAUCCCAAAGCUUAAACCCACAAAACCCGCCGAUCCAAAACCCCAUUUCUCUCCAAAAUUUCAAAUCUUUGUAAAAAAAACCAUUCGUCUUUCUCGUUUGUUUGAUACACCCAAUUCAUGAUGGGAUCGUACAGAAAGAGCAAGGCUCGCACUCGACGCCUUCCGCGGCUUUACGGUGAGGAUUGCCCCCAAAGCCGCAGGCAGAGAACCCAUCUCUCGCGUUUUUUCAACUCGGUCUUCCGCUCCGGUUUCCAGCUCAGCUAAGUUUUCCGGGUUUUCUUCCAGUUCUUCAAUUUUACACAAAUCAAUUCCACAACUUGGUAGAAUCACAAGAACAACAUAGCACAAAAGCUCCUUUCUUUAUUGCACUAAGAGAUAUUACUACGUCGACCGAAUCCGGGUUCACCACUUCAAGCUGAGAGGCCCUCGGAAGUGGUUUGAGAAUCCUAGGAAUGUUUUGAUUGUGGGUCUUGUAAGUUCUGAGUUUUUUUUAUCUCUGUAUUUUGGGAAUUGGGAGGCGAUUCCGUACACGAAGCGAACCCAUUUUAUAAUUUUGUCCAAUGCCUUGGAGAAGAGGUUAGGGGAGACCCAAUUCCAGCAAAUGAAAGAGAGUUUCAAAGGGGAUAUUUUGCCCGCCAUACACCCGGAUAGCGUGCGGGUUCGGUUGAUUUCCAAGGAUAUAAUUGAGGCUUUGCAGAGAGGGUUGAGCCAUGAGGUGACCUGGACUGAUGUGGACUAUGCGUCUGGUAAAGUGGAGCCGGCGCAUGAAGGUGGUGGGAAGGAUACUUUGAUGGCACUGCAUGACGCUCCGGAGCAGGGGAAGUGGUCCCGUGAGGAUGAAAUUCUUGAUGAUCAGUGGAUUGAGAAGAGUAGGACGACGAGUAGGGAGAGAGGUUUGAAAGCUGCCACUUUGUAAUUGGAUCAAUGGAAUUGGGAGGUUUUGGUAGUGGAUCGGCCUGUUGUCAACGCAUUUUGUUUGCCGGGUGGGAAGUGUUUAGAUCAAAACUUGACUUUGGGCCCAAGGAAGGGGCUGGCCCAAAAGGAUUCCCGAAGGGAAAGUCGGCUAGAGCCCAGCAAAUUGGCCGAAGCCCAGCCGAGACCCAGAAAAGCAGAAAAGGCCCUUUCUGACUUGGUGCAGCUCAUGAAGACCACUUGCUCACCUACCCAAGGGCCAAGUGGUAUAGACUGACCAGCUACACAACCCAUAAAGUAUUUUAUGGUGGCAUUACAUGUAAAAUAACUGAUGAGUCAUCUCCCUCAAACCGCAUUCGGGCAAGACUGCUGCUACAGGAGACCAAACUGGGUUGUCUAUAAAAGAAGAAAGAGAAACCAGGAAUAAGGACACUCAAACAAACAAACAAAGACACUCAAACAAACAAACAAAGACAUUCAAACAAACAAACAAAAGUACAAACUCUGGUCAAAGCCAGAUUUGCCUUCAAAACGAAGCUGUAGUCAGCCCCAGCCUUCACCCCUUUCGGGACAAGCCUUCAUCCCUCGCGAGAUAACCCUUCCUCCAAGCCUUUGUAAUAGCUCUGCUACUCUAGUCAACCUUGCUGUAGUAUUGAUUCACCUUUUGUAAUCUCUCUCCCUCUCUCUAAGUUUUCAGACCUUUAACAAAACUACAAAGAUAGGAGCCUGCAAGACGAGCAGCCUUGCCUGAUAAGGUUUAACCUUGCCUGACCUUCUUUGCUUUGUUUUUGUCUUUUCAUUCAUUAAGCCUAGCAAUAUGUUGUAUACUUCCAGUUAUAUGCAAGUUAUUUCUAGCAAGAUAACUAUUAAAAAGCUUUCUCAGUACUUGGAUCCGAUUUGAAUAUAUCUUCAGUAUUCAAACCAGAUCUAAGUCCUAAGCCCUCGAGCAUGCAAAUCUGAUCAGUUAAAAGUCCUUGGCCUCAAGGCAUAAAAAAGAACUUUAUGUGGACUUAACCCAUCCACGACAAUCAUUGAUAAACGAGAAGUCCGAAGUUACUUGGGGCGCAAGUAAUCGACCUAUCUUUUAGUUUUAUUUCAAUUAUAUUAUGAUUAUCAUAGAACGCUUAAGCAUGGAAUGGAUUCUGAUAAGAAGCCUCAAGGCCUACACCUAAGGCCCCACAAAGGCACCUAUUUGGGUUCAUUCCGUUCUGCGAUCUAGAACGUUUGAGUAUUAGAGAACGAACUCUAAUGGGGAGCCUCAAGGCCUACACCUAAGGCCCCACAAAGGCACCUAUUUGGGUUCGUCCUAUCUCUUGGACUCGGGUAAUCAGAAGUAUAAUAGUUAUAAGGCUCCUGCAAUUACGAGAACAAAUAUGAUGUGUUCGAACAUCGGUUUAGUUUGAUAGGAAGCCUCAAGGCCUAUACCUAAGGCCCCACAAAAGCACCUGUUAUAUCUAACACGGUUUCUCGGAUAUAUACAUAUUUACAACUAAAACCCAACAUCCAUUCUACAUCUACUCUGCUAAAGAUGGUAGUGGCACGCCUGAGCACCUAAAAGUUAAUCUUGAUUGCGAGCCUCAAGGCCUACACCUAAGGCCCCACAAAGGCACAUUUCAAAGUUAACUCUGUCCUUCUCUUUCAGCCUUGCCCGACGAGCCUUGCCCGACGAGUCUUACUCGAUAAAGACUUGCCCGACGAGACUUGCCUGGCAAAGCCCGACAGUGAAGCAGAAGCCCGAUAGCAGCCCUCAACCGGCGUCAAACCUCUCGGGGAGCUGUGCGCUCGUUGUUCAGGAAGCACUCCCCGACGGAGAUUCUUGACGCGAACAUAGUUUUGGCACGCCCGGUGGGAUACAUUUGAUCAGAAGAUAUAUGUCAAAAUGCCAGAAGAUUUGCAAGCUACGUUGUUACAGAUGUUGCAUAGAUUGGAGAAAACCUCUACAGGUUCCAGAAAAGAGACAUACUUGGUUCCUCCCGAGGGGAAGAGACUUAAAACCAGCCAGCCAGAAGUGGUGAAGAUGAACAAACCUGCAGUUCCCUUCUCAGAAGCCCCUAUAAAUAUGAUCAAUAUGGCAUGGGCUGAGAAGGGAAAAGGAAAAAUCACAAGGGAAGCGGAGGAAGAAAGACUGGCGGAAAAACCUACAGAAUGGGUGAUCAAAUUGCCCGAAUAUCCAAAAGCAGCCAUAAUCAAGGGGAUGGUUAUGUGUAGUAAAUGCCAAUGCGAGUGUAAACUCGAAAUUCCCCCAGCUGGAGUCCUCAUUGAUCGUGAACUGAUCAGGAUAAGAGAAGCUCACGAAAAGAUCAAGCAGGCUGCAAGAAAAGACAUUUCCCGAAACAUUUUUCAACGAUUAGGAGGUGAUUCCCAACCCAAAGCCUUAUCAGAAAUAUUCCGAAACCAUGAAGCUUCUGAAGAGGCAGGAGAUAUGGAGGCCGAAACAUUGAAGGAUGCAAAUCAUCCUCAAAAUGGCCAUAUGGAGAGGGAAAUCAAGAAAAUUGAUGGGAUAACAAAUCCUGUCAGUAAAGGAAAUCCUGCCCACCUCGGGCGAAAAUGGUACGUAGUCGGGAAUAAUGGACAGCCUACCAAACCGAUGGGAGCCUCCAUGAUCAGGAGAGUUCAAAGGCAGCAUAAAGCCUACAUGAAUUACCAGAAGACCCCCGCAACAUCUGAAGCCUCCCAGAAUAAAAAACUGGAGAAGACAUCAUCUGGGGGAAGUAAUCAGCUCCGUUGGAGAAGUAAGAAAGAGGUGGAGAAGGCCAGUAGCAAAAAAGAAGGCGAGGGGAAUCACGUACCGCAGAACCAGCACCCUGGGAAGUAUAGGAUCUUGAGGCGGGCUCAAGAAGAUCUAAUCAUGGUCUCAACGCCUGGAUGGAAGCCAAAGCCUGUUUGUUUAGGAACUGCUUCAUCUGAAAGGAAACCACCUUCUCUGCCAUUGGUAGAUCCUUUUGGUGAAGUCCCAAAGCAAACGCUGGAUGCGGGCAUAAAUCAACUGGAGAGGGCAUCAGAACCACUACUACCACCCGAUGCCAUGGCUUGGUUUGAUGAAUUCAUGGACCAGAUUGGGAGCAAGAAAGAAUAUUUGCUCGAGCCUAAUAAUUUUCAUAUCAACAUGGCAUAUGUAUUAUCUGCCAUGUUUGGUGCCCGACCCGAUCAACCCGCUACUAUGGAAGGUGAUUACUUGACAACUGAGUCAAUGAUGGCACAUGUUAAUGUAGAGGAAGUCAAAGAAGGAGAAUCGGGCAAGGCUGAAACUUCUGAAGCAUCCAAAAGUGGUCCUUUAAGGAUUUAUACCGAUGAAAUGGUGUUUAACCGCUCGAACAUCUCGAUGGCCAAUCAUCUGAAGCCCAUAUAUGUUACGGCUCAUUUGGAAAUGGUGCCUUUCAAGAGAGUUUUAAUAGAUGGCGGAGCAGCUGUUAAUGUGUUACCAGCCAAGCAAAUGAAGAAAAUGGGAAGAGGAACAGAGGAUCUUAUUCCGACAGACCUCACGGUAGCUUCUCAGGCGCUAUUACCAAGACCCAUGGGAUAUUACCUUUAGAAGUGGAUUUUGGGUCUAAGCAAAUCAUGCUGGCAUUCUUUGUGGUGGACUGCACCUCCACUUAUGGGGCCUUACUCGGAAGAGAUUGGAUCCACCAAAGUUUGGCUAUACCCUCCACUCUUCAUCAACAGGUAGCUGUUUACCAUGAGGCGGGCACAGAAGGACCAGGCUUUUGGGAGAUGGUGGAGGCCGAAUCACGGUCAUUUCUCCCCACAACCAACGUUGCGGAAACAAGUUUCUACAACCCCAACGUAGGAAUCUUGAAAUGUUCAGGAGCUGAUGAGAACGGCUGCCCUACUAAGGUGACGGCCCAAAAGCUUUUGGAACAAGGAAUGCUCAUCACGAGAGAGGAGUGGGAUAUACCUUGUAUCAUCCCAAAUCCCCUACACCAUCAAUGACUGGACAAAAGAAAAAAGAUCAGGUAAUGGCAGUCAGAUCCCUGAUUAAAAGACUGUUGGUGUAUGGGAAUGGAAGAAGGCAAGAAAGAGAGUUCUUGGACAAGGAAGAGCAGGAAUGGCAGGUGGGAGCUUCAACCAGCCAGCAUGAAAGCAAGGAAGAAUCUUGCAGAGAAGAACUGGAUAGGGCCAUUUAAAUGGCCGAGUGCAUAUACGAUCUAGACGGGCCAGACGACCUGCCCGAGAGCCCGGAGUUGGUCGAGUUUUUGUGUGCAGAACCGGAUAAGCCACCACCAGAAGUCCAAGAUCCUCUGGAAGUUAUUGAUCUAGGAACAGAGGAGGAUCCGAGACCAAUACAGAUCAGUGGUUUAUUGGGGGUUGAUGAUCGGGCAAAGAUUAUUUGCCUUUUGCAAGAAUUCAAAGACUGUUUUGCUUGGCAUUAUACUGAGAUGCCAAGAUUAGAUCCAGCCUUGGUGGAACAUAGAAUGCCCAUCAAGGAGGGAUAUAAACCGGUUAAGCAAGCACCACGAAGGAUGUCAAAGGAGAUAGAAGAAAAGGUCAAAGAAGAGAUUGAAAGGCUAGUAAAAGCUGGCUUUAUCAGACCAGCCAAAUAUGUAGAGUGGUUAGCCAACAUUGUGCCCGUUUUAAAAGCUAUAACAAAAGCAGUACGAUGUUGUGUUGAUUACACAAAUAUUAAUAGUGCUACGCCAAAAGACGAGUAUCCUAUGCCCAUGGCCGAUCUAUCCAUAGAUGUAGUAGCAAAGCACAAAGUCUUAUCUUUUAUGGAUGGGAAUGCCGGGUAUAAUCAGAUAAAGAUGGCUCCAGAAGAUAUACAUAAAACAGCUUUCAGGUGUCCUGGUCAUGUGGGGGCAUAUGAAUAUCUGGUCAUGCCAUUCGGGCUCAAGAAUGCUGGUGCAACCUACCAGAGGGCAAUGAAUGCCAUCUUUCACGAUCUGAUUGGCCAGAGCAUGGAAGUAUACAUCGAUGACAUCGUGGUAAAGUCUAAGACAGAAGAGCAGCAUCUGGAAGACCUCAGACAAGCAUUGACAAGGAUGAUGAUCCACAAAUUGAAGAUGAAUCCAAAGAAGUGCGCGUUUGGAGUAAGAGCGGGCAACUUCUUGGGAUUCCUGGUGCAUCAAAGAGGUGUAGAAGUGGACAAGAACAAGUCUCGGGCAAUAAUGGAGUCACCUUCACCCACCAACAAGGUACAACUCCAGAGGCUAUUGGGCAAAAUUAAUUUCUUAAGGAGAUUCAUUGCCAAUUUAGUGGGUAAGAUCCAGCCGCUGACUCCUUUAUUAAGAUUGAAAGAUAAAGAAAACUUCGAGUGGGGACCACCACACCAACAAGCCUUUGACAGCAUCAAGGCCUAUUUAACCUCUCCACCAGUGUUGGUGCCACUUCAAAGGGGAAAACCCUUAAAGUUGUAUAUUUCUGCCUCAGAGUAGUCAAUCGGGAGUUAGCUAGCUCAAAAUAAUGAAGGCGGGAAGGAGCAGGCAGUGUACUACCUCAGUAGGAUUCUAACCAAGGUAGAAACUAGAUAUUCCCCAGUGGAGAGAUUAUGAUUGGCUCUAUAUUUUACUGCCAACAAGCUAAGGCAUUACAUGUUACCUUGUCACGUGCACAUCAUCGCCAAAACAAAUGUGAUAAAGUACAUGUUUUCAAAGCCAAUGCUAACAUGGAGGAUUGGGAAGUGGAUUCUAGCAUUAUCAGAGUUCAGUUUCCAGUAUGUACCCCAGAGGGCCGUCAAAGGCCAAGCAAUUGCUGACUUCCUGGCCGAGCAUCAAGAAACUCAAGACGAGGUGAUCAAUAUCCCCAGAAGCUUGGAGGUCACUAGCAUUUGGAUCCCGCCGAGAAAAGAUAUCUCGGGCAAAGAAGAUUGGGUCCAACAGGAGAUAAGAAGAGUGACUGGUCUCUGGAUCACUCCGUGGAAGUUGUAUUUCGAUGAAUCUCAUACUCAGAAGGCUUCAGGAGCAGGGAUCGUGAUUGUAAACCCUCAAGGGGUCUAUCAUUAUUAUUCAUUCCUCCUAGACUACCAAGGAAAUACUAAUAAUCGGGCAUAGUAUGAGGCUUUGAUAAUUGGCCUGGAAAUUUUGAUGGAUCUGGGGGCAGUAGAGGUGGAGAUCUUUGGAAAUUCAAAGUUGGUAAUAAACCAGCUAAAUGGGGAGUUCAAGUGCAGACAUAUUACCAUGGCAGGAUAUUACUUGGCGGCUACGCAAUUACUGAGUUUCUGGGAUUCUGAGAUAUCAGUCAAUCAUGUUCCCAGGAGAUCCAACUUAGCAGCCAACGAGAUGGCACAACUAGCCUCAGGAGUGCCAAUACAGGAGAGAAGAUAUGGGGUAGAUGUCGAGCUCCAAAGAAGAAACCUCCCUUCUAUCUUAGAAAGGGGAUUCAGCCUGGAUGUAAUGGCUCUAGAAACCGAAAUAGAAGAUUGGAGGUCCCCUAUCAUUCAUCAUUUGAAGGAUCCCUCUUCGCCUACAAGCAAGAAGAAUAGACAGCAAGCAACCAAGUAUGUCUUGUGGGCGAAGAACAUGCUAAGGAAAACUCCAGAUGGAUUACUAUUGAAAUGCUUGGGCCAAGAAGGAUCCAUGAGGGUAAUGGCCGAAGUACAUGAAGGGGUAUGUGGAGCACACCAGGCAGGAACUAAGAUGAGGUGGUUGCUUAGAAGAUAUGGUUAUUUCUGGCCCGACAUGGAAAAAGAUUGCAAGUCUUAUGCCAAAGGUUAUAAAGAAUGUCAGAGGCACGAACCUCUCCAACAUGUGCCUUCAGUACCUUUGAAUUCAGUGGUCAAGCCUUGGCCGUUCAGAGAGUGGGCGAUGGACUUCAUCGGGCAAAUCUAUCCAGCUUCUAGUAAAGGGCAUACUUUCAUAAUUGUGGCAACGGAUUAUUUCACCAAGUUGGUGGAAGCAUCAGCAGUAAAAUCUAUAACUUCAGCCGCAGUCAAGAAUUUCAUCGAGACCAAGAUUCUGCACAGAUAUGAGGUGCCCGAGACUAUAGUAACAGAUCGUGGGCCAUCUUUUAUUUCGAAAGAAGUUGAGGAGUUUGCAAGCAAAUACAAAAUAAGGAUGAUCCAGUCCAGUCGUACUAUCCUCAAUCAAAUGGCCAGGCAGAGGCCAGCAACAAGAUCCUGGUCAACAUUAUCAAAAGAAUGGUGAUGGAUAAUCCAGAAAAGUGGCAUGAAAAUCUGGGGAACACUUUGUGGGCAUACAAAACUUCCAAGAGGGCAGGAACAGGGAUAACUCCUUAUGCUUUAACUUUCGGGCAAGAUGCAGUGCUCCCCAUGGAGAUCAAUGUUAGUUCGGUCAGAAUUCAAAACCAAUUUGGGUUACAUAGUGAAGAAUACAUCGAAGCCAUGUGUCAAGGAAUUGAAGACUUGGAUGUAGCCCGAAUUGAAGCCUUGAACCAGAUUCAAAAAGGAAAGAAAGCAGUUGCCCGAGCUUAUAACAAGAAGGUGAAGAUAAAGUCUUUCAAAGAAGGAGAUUUAGUAUGGAAAACAGUCAUCCCGCUAGGAGCUCAGCUCAGGGGCUUUGGAAAGUGGAGCCCGACAUGGGAAUGUCCUUUCAUUAUUAGUCGAGUUUUGGAUAAAGGAGGAUACUACCUAGCGGACCUCGAAGGAAAUGGGCAGAAACAUCCCAUUAAUGUUCAAUUCUUAAAAAAAUAUUGUCCUACAUUAUGGGAUGUUAGAGACUGUUACAUUGAAAAGGGGGCAAAGUAAAGCAGGCGUUGGGAGUUUCAUAUGCAGUGUUUGUUCAUCAACCAUUCAAAGAAGACAGAAAGACAAAAGUUGCUGAAAUAAUAUCUAUUUCAUGUCGACAAAUCGAUGAAAUUAACAAAAGAUUCAAUUCCUACACAUUACAUCUGAUUCUCUCUGAAUAUGGUGGUAUUUUCAGUUAGUUUUCCGAUAUCUUCAUGAAUGGAACCUAAUCAGGUGAUCGGGUUGUGCGGCCAACAUGUGCUUGGUAGAGGAUCCUCCGACAGGACCGUCACCAUGUGUGAUGGUGAAGCCUGACUUAUGACGGCAGCAAGCAGGAAAGCAAGCCUUCGUGAGGAAACCGCCUGACCAAGGGUGUUGGAGAUAGCGGGAUGUUCGACCAAGGGUGUUGGAGAUAGCAGUUAUUUGAUGAAACACCUUUUUUCUAACGAAAAUGGAGUUUUAGGAAACUCCACUCAAAGCCUGAGGAACCUAUUUCUCAGUUUUUAAAAGAAGACAAGAACGCUCUCGAGGAGGAUGGAUGAGAAGACCGAAGAGGAUUGGAUGGCUUGACAUAAGGGAUUCCAAGCCAGAAUUUAUAAGGCCACAGAGGACAUUUCAAAGGUCGUGGGAAGAUCAAGAGACUCCAGGUGCCAUUAAUUUCAUCCAGAAAAUACAAGUUCCAAGGGCAAGGAUGCAGCCGCAUGAAGCUUUUUAAUUAAUAUUGGCACCUGGAAUUCCAGGCUAAAUAUCAAUUGAAUGGGGCACUGUUUGGAUCAAAACUUGACUUUGGGCCCAAGGAAGGGGCUGGCCCAAAAGGAUUCCCGAAGGGAAAGUCGGCUAGAGCCCAGCAAAUUGGCCGAAGCCCAGCCGAGACCCAGAAAAGCAGAAAAGGCCCUUUCUGACUUGGUGCAGCUCAUGAAGACCACUUGCUCACCUACCCAAGGGCCAAGUGGUAUAGACUGACCAGCUACACAGCCCAUAAAGUACUUUAUGGUGGCAUUACAUGUAAAAUAACUGAUAAGUCAUCUCCCUCAAACCGCAUUCGGGCAAGGCUGCUGCUACAGGAGACCAAGCUGGGUUGUCUAUAAAAGAAGAAAGAGAAACCAGGAAUAAGGACACUCAAACAAACAAACAAAGACACUCAAACAAACAAACAAAGACACUCAAACAAAAAAACAAAAGCACAAACUCUGCUCAAAGCCAGAUUUGCCUUCAAAACGAAGUUGUAGUCAGCCCCAGCCUUCACCCCUCUCGGGACAAGCCUUCAUCCCUCGCGGGAUAACCCUUCCUCUAAGCCUUUGUAAUAGCUCUGUUACUCUAGUCAACCUUGUUGUAGUAUCGAUUCACCUUUUGUAAUCUCUCUCCUUCUCGCUAAGCUUUCAACCUUUAACAAAACUACAAAGAUAGGAGCUUGCAAGACGAGCAGCCUUGCCUGAUAAGGUUUAACCUUGCCCGACCUUCUUUGCUUUGUUUUUGUCUUUUCAUUCAUUAAGCCUAGCAAUAUGUUGUAUACUUCCAGUUAUAUGCAAGUUAUUUCUAGCAAGAUAACUAUUAAAAGCUUUCUCAGUACUUGGAUCCGAUUUGAAUAUAUCUUCAGUAUUCAAACCAGAUCUAAGUCCUAAGCCCUCGGGCAUGCAAAUCUGAUCAGUUAAAAGUCCUUGGCCUCAAGGCAUAAAAAAGAAUUUUAUGUAGACUUAACCCAUCCACGACAAUCCUUGAUAAACGAGAAGUCCGAAGUUACUUGGGGCGCAAGUGAUCGACCUAUCUUUUAGUUUUAUUUCUAUUAUAUUAUGAUUAUCAUAGAACGCUUAAGCAUGGAAUGGAUUCUGAUAGGAAACCUCAAGGCCUACACCUAAGGCCCCACAAAGGCACCUAUUUGGGUUCAUUCCGUUCCACGGUCUAGAACGUUUGAGUAUUAGAGAACGAACUCUAAUGGGGAGGCUCAAGGCCUCCACCUAAGGCCCCACAAAGACACCUAUUUGGGUUCGUCCUAUCUCUCGGACUCGGGUAAUUAGAAGUAUAAUAGUUAUAAGGCUCCUACAAUCACGAGAACAAAUAUGAUAUGUUCGAGCAUCGGUUUAGUUUGAUAGGAAGCCUCAAGGCCUAUACCUAAGGCCCCACAAAGGCACCUGUUAUUUCUAACACGGUUUCUCGGGUAUAUACAUAUUUACAACUAAAACCCAACAUCCAUUCUACAUCUACCAUGCUAAAGAUGGUAGUGGCACGCCUGAGCACCUAAAAGUUAAUCUUGAUUGCGAGCCUCAAGGCCUACACCUAAGGCCCCACAAAGGCACCUUUCAAAGUUAACUCUGUCAUUCUCUUUCAGUCUUGCCCGACGAGCCUUGCCCGACGAGUCUUGCCCGAUAAAGACUUGCCCGACGAGACUUGCCCGACAAAGCCCAACAGUGAAGCAGAAGCCCGACAACAGCCCUCAACCGGCGCCAAACCUCCCGGGGAGCUGUGCGCUCGUCGUCCAGGAAGCACUCCCCAACGGAGAUUCCUGACGCGAACAGGAAGAUUGUCGUCUUCACGGGGUUGCUCAAGCAUUUUAGAAGUGAUGCCAAGAUAGUGACGAUCAUUGGUCAUGAGGUAGGAAGAUUUCAUUGUUUGGUAUUAUUUAGUUCUUUAGUUUUGUGAAAGCAGUUUUUGUGUUCAAGUGUAAUUUGAUUCGUUUGGUUAAUAGUUGUAGAAUUGUGUGAAGAUAAGAUUAAAAAGUUGGUCUUUUUUCCUUGUGCAUUGAAACUAGGUUGGCCAUGCUGUGGCUCGACAUUCUGCAGAGACUAUUACAAAGAACUUGUGGUUUGCAAUUCUGCAGCUGGUACUUUAUCAAUUUGUUACGCGCCUGAUUUUGUCAACACAACGUCCAAUCUUUUCUUGAGGCUUCCUUUCUCCUGAAGGUACAUUACAGUUCUUUGUAAUUUAGUUUCUAGUCCUUUUUAGUCAUAAUGUUAUGAUUUUUCUGAACAUCUCUUGUUAGUGCUCUCUUGUUCUGAUGAUUAAUGAGGAUGCAUGCGUGUUCUGGUUGCAAAUAAGGAAUGGAGGUCUCUACAGGUUUGAUACAAUGGUCUGGAUUAGUGACGCAGCCACAUAGUGCCCAGGGGGCAUGUUUCUCCUCUCAAGUUUUCGAUGGGCAAUUGUAAAGAAGGGAAUUGUAUUUGACAAAGACCCUUGACACUCCCUAUCACAAAAAAAAUUUAGUAUUGUUGAGCAAGGUUACCGGUGGUGACUCUGCACUCAGAGAUUAUCUUUCAACCCAUCCAUCUGGGAAAAAGAGAGCUGAAUUGCUGGCUCAAGCUUAAGAUCAUGGAAGAAGCACUCACCAUGCAACCACUAACACAGUCCCACUUUACCUCCCAUAGCAUUAAGUUUGUCUUAUAAAUGUAAGACAUAAUUUGAAAACAAGAAGACAUUAGGAUCAUAAAUAUAAUGAAUAGAAUUAACAUAAAGUAGUUAUGAACUCAUUAUAUUGGACUUAUCUGUAGAAUGCGAAAGACAUGACUCUUGUAGAUGAUGAGAGAGUCUUCUACUCUUAUCACCCAAAAAUUGUUAUCGCCCAAAGGAAUAGGGUUUUGGUAUUGUGUAUGAGAAUGAUCGUUGUGAGAGCAGGGACAUGCCUUUUAUAUUGACUAGCGUUUCUCUCCAUCCGUCCUAUUAUAGGAAGGAGAAAUUUACCAAAGCAUAAUCCAAUCAAUCAAUGUCCCACAAGGGUUGGUUUGGUAUUACUGGGCUUUGAAAAAAAACUGCUUCUGCUGUGAUGUGAGAAUAAGCAGCAAAAUGUUUGGUAAACUUUUUUGUAAAAGUGUUUUUGGAAAGAAAAAAAAAAGCAGUAUUAUAGUGUUUGGUAAACUUUCAUGUAAAACAGCUGUGAUUAUGUGAAAUGAUUAAAAAAUGUAUAAUACUAGAUGUGUCAUUAAUUUAAUUUUCUUAACAAAUAAAGGUGAAUUACUAAAUAUACUUUAUUUAAAAAAAAUAUAUUUAUAAACUUUAUCUUAAACAUAUAAUCCAACGUUUAUGAAGAAAUCAUAAUCUAACUAUUAAAAAGAAAUCAUAAUCCAACAUUCAACAUAUAAUCCAACAUUUAUAAUAUCUAUUUACAACUAUCACUCUUUAUCUUUUCUUUUAUUAUAGAAUCAUAAUUUUUUAUUCUAUUUUCUUCUUCAAGUUCAGUUCUCCUCUUUUGCAAAACCGUGUUAUGCAUACUGCUGAUUAUUUUAAAGUACCCCAAUUCUGUUUUGUAUUAGAAAUUUGUAACGAGUUCCAUUUGUGCGUAUUUUCCUAUUCUUUUAGUUUGUGACUUAUUGAAUCUAUUGCAUACAAAGAAUUGAAAGGAUGAAGAGGCGCAUUCCCUUCGAGGGCGAGGAGGGAUUAAAUGAACUCGAGAGGGCUGCUGUAAUGCUUGAGUAAAAGAUAUAUGUUGGUGCCUCAAAUGAGGUACUUCAAGAACUCUUGGAGUUCAAAUCUUUUUAUGUUGCAUUGCAAUUUGCAUAUGUCAUUACUGACAUAGAUGUUUUAUUUUCAACUUUUUUGUAUUGUGGAUACUCGAUAGAGUUGUAACCUAGAUUGUGUCGGGAUCUCUUUUUCCAGUCGGAUUAUUUACGGAAAAUUUCUCUCAAGAUGCUCACCAUAGAGACUAAAUCUCAGACCGCAAUCUUCCUCGCAGGUCUUGAUGCAGGUAUGAACACCAACUUUUGUUUCAAGUUUAUACGCAUUAGAUUCUUUUCUGAGUAGUGAGUACUCAGUUAAUCCAGUUCUAAGGUUAACUUAUAGUUCACUUCUUUUGAAUGGGUUUGGUUGGUCAGCUUUGAUGGAUGACAAUAAUCAGAGACCUCCUGAAGGUGGAGAACCUUCAAUGGAGGCAGGUUACUGGAGAAGCCAAUUGCAGCUAGAUUCACGACGCAGAAUUAUCGCCAAGAUGUAAGUAUUGUUAGAAGAAGAAAGAGAACCUAGAAAUCUUGGAGUAUUAAUUCUUUGUACUCCUGGAGAGAUACUGAAAGUACAAUACAAGAGGUACCAAACCGUGUUAUAUAUCCGGCUUAUUGUCAGAUAUUUUGUGCCCCCUAGUUUUAUAUUUCACUACAAACAUAUAACUAGUUACAGUUGUACAUAUUUUCCAAUAUUUUCGUUUGGAACAAUUUGGUCGAGUCCUUUAUUCUGAUUCAAGUUUUUGUUUGUUAAUCAUGGUCAGUAACUGACUGAAUAUAUUGCUUAUUUGCAUAUACAGAACUGAUACUUUAAAGGGGCACUUUCCCUUCAGUGGGUUUGAGGGAUCACGUGAACUCGAGAUGAUUGCUGUUAGAUUCGAGCAAAAGAUAUAUGCUAUUGCCUCAAGCCAGGUACUUCCACAACUCAUGGAAUCCAAAUCUAUUUUUGUGGCCUUGCAAUAUUGCAGAUGUUAAUACUUACAUAGAUGCUUAUUUUUUAACUUUAUUUGUAAUGUGGAUACUCGAUAGAGUUGUAAUCUAGUUUGUGUGGGGAUCCCUUUUUCCUGUCGGAUUAUUUACGGAAAAUUUCUCUCAAGAUGCUCGCCAUGGAGGCCAAAAAUCAGACCGCAGCGUCCGCAACACCCCCUUGAACCUGAAACGGUAUCGUGUCUUUGCUUGACUUCCGUAGGUACCCAUUUUUUAAAAUUGGUCCCCUAGAAAAUGCAACUAAUAUGAAAAAAAAAAACAAAACUUCAGAUUUCAGAGUUUCAGAUUCAUGCCUUUAAGUAAGAAGACUUCAAUAUACAAAUCGAUGCCUAAUUCAUUAGUAACAUCGUAUUUUCAUUUCCCCGGUGUCUAUCUAGUGUAGUCUAAAAUCAAAUUUUUGGUAGUGUCUUAAUGUUUGAUAUUGUCCUUAAAUGUGUAUUUCGCAUUAAUAUUUGAGAAAGCAAGUAUUUGAUUCUAAUAAUCGAGAAGAACAAAUCAUUGCUCAAGUCUUGUGUGAUACUACUAAGCGACUACCCUAUGUUUAUUUAAGUUGGAUCCGGGGUUUGUGUGAGCAUUUGUGGGGAAGUUGCAGCCCUCUGCAGAAUGUCUGUUUACAUAACGCUAAACCUGCAAAAGUUACAGGACGGUUUGAGCAAGCAUCUCUCGAAGCAAAGCUUACUGCCGUCAAAAUCCAUAGCUACCGACAAAGAAAGUGUAGAAUCAGAAGUAGAGGGUACUACAACUGUUGUCUGAAGACUGAGCACCAAGCAGCAGGCUAACAAAACCAUUUCUGUGUGUUUGAGAGAGAGAGAGGAUACCGCAACAGUUGUCUAAACUCAAAACCGAAAGGACCCUUUUUAACCCUUUUUUGUGUGUUUGAGAGGAGAGAGAUAUGGCAGAAGAGACUAAGGGGUGGUUUGGGAAUGAGGUGUUUAAAAAAAAAACAUCCAUGAAAAAAAGCUGUGAGGGUUUUAGGUGUUUGGUAAACUAAACAAAAAAGCUUGCUUUGGAAGCUGCUGUGAGAAUAAGCUGAAAUCAAAGGAAAAGCUGAAGCAGCUAUUUGCAGCUUUGAAAAAUUGGCUUUUUUUCAAAGCACACGGAGCUACAGUGCUCAUUUAAUGAAAAGACCCACUAUCAGACUAUUUUUUUUUCAAAAGCACUCUUACAAAAAAAUAAGCCAAACACUCUGCUGAUUUAUUUCACAGCCGAUUAUUCUCACAGUACAGCCGCUUAUUCUCACAUCAGCUUUUUUUCAAAGCACAGCAAUACCAAACCAAUCCUAAGUACAGUUUUAGAUUUAAUUAACCAAAACAUCAUAUUAUAAAUCAAUGAGCAUGAUCAAACACUUUUUAAAUUUGGGGGAGUGGAGCUAAAAUAAAGGAGCAUGAUCAAACACUUCCACGAACACUAACUUGAGCGGCAUAGUGUUUUAAUGCAGGUCCUCCUCAUUGAUGACAAGCGAAAGAUGGUGUCUAAAGCUUCACAGCGUGUUCAAGAUUACUUAUUGAUGUCAAGAUUUCGAAUAUGGUCAGCGGUCCACUACUAGUCACAUUGAUAUUGUCUCAAAUUUAACCACCUUGUGCAAACAGGCAGUGAUUAUUAGGAGUAGAAACAUUCAUUUACAAGUAGUAUUUUAUUCUGUUAAGUUUUCAGUGUGGGACUUACACUCUUCAACAACUGAUGACUGUGAUCACUUUGAAACAUGAGUUCACCAGCAUAGAUAUGCAGUUGUCGAAUGAAAACAAAACAGAGAAUCUAAAUCUCUGAAGUAGACCAAUUACAUGCUAUAACUGAACAUUAUAUCCUAAUCAUAAUAGUCUGAUAUCAGAAAGGAAAAAUUGGUAAAUCCUCUUAGUUUUACUAUUAACAUCUUUUAAGGAAUUACUGAGUUUGAAAGCUAAUUACUCAUUUCCCACUAGCAGAAUUUUAUAUUUACACGCAGAUUAGGCCAGAUAUCAGAUUCCCAGCUUAUUUACUCGGCUGGGAAGGCUGAGUCAUUGGAGGAUGAAAGUGGACUAUAUCCAAUACGAAGUGGUAGAAUUGAACCCAUAUCUAAACGCCUCUAAAUUAUUUUGUAGAAAGUAUAGGCAAAUAGUCUUCACCGGCAUAAAUACUAAUGUUGUUUAAACAACUCCAUACGAUUUGACAUUGAGAAUGGUGAAAUUUAGUCACUAGGGUUAGUCCAGUUGUGUGAACGGGUUAAGUGAUAGAUAUGAAUAGGCUAUAUCCAACUUGGAAACCUCCGAUAUAACUAAAUAAUAGAGAACGAAUGGAUUUGAAUUAUUCCACAAAUGUGUUCAUCAAGCACUAAGAAAAAAAACAACAAAAUGUGAGUCACCAUGCACCAACCCCAAAAAAAUAGGGUAGAUUAUAUUCACACCCCACCCCACUUUCUUUUUUAUGCACCUUUCUUUGAGUUAAACUUGGGGUAAAUUACACUUUACCACCUCAUGUUUGAGGUUUAUUACAAUCGCAUACAUUUUCAAAACAUUUUAGUUUUAUAUCUCAUCUACUAUUUUAUUUCAAUAUAACACAUCCGUUACAUUUUUCAUCCAUGAAUCCGUUAAGAUCUGCUAUGUUGCCAAAUUUGUACCACAUGGCAAAAGAAUAAUUUUUUUAUUCAUUUAAAAAUAAUUAAUUAAAGAAAAGUAAAAAAAUAAAAUAAAAUAAAAACCAGAACCCAUCCUCUUCCCCCACCCCCUUCCCUGCAACCUAAACCCCCCAUCCCACCCCACGCCCACCUCCCCCGCAACCCCCCCAACCCACCCAAAAACCCAUCUUCUUCCCCACGUUUUUUAUGAUGGGCAUGGUAGAUUGGCACUGCUGGGUUCCUCGGAGGGCUUGAAGGGCGUUGCACGGCGGAGCACCGGUGCUUCAGCAAUGGAGGGCACGACAGGUGCUGGCAGUGGGAAAGCAGCGGCCGCAGGUUCGAUGGGCUUGGGUUCCAGCUCGUUACAGUCGAAGGAGGUUAAGGCUCUCCUGGAGACGCGAGCUAUUAUAACAGAAACCAAUUGAAAGUCACCUUCUUGGUGUGAUCCUGCUGCAUUUCUGUGUCAAACCAGAACUCGAAAUCACAAAAACUCGAAAAAGUGAGCUAAAAAGCUCUUACCCAGCUGAGAUCAAGCAAAAAUAGAAAGAACCCAGGUCCUCAAAUCCCACAAGGACUCAGCCACAUUUGCCCCACCUUCCCCUGCUCCUUAUCACAAGUCCACAAUCCCACCUUAUUCUCAAUCCCAACUUCACCCAGCAUAGAACCCACAAGACCAAAUCCAUCAUGCACUCCUCCAAUUCUGAUUCCAAUCCUCCCAAAACCUCACUCACUGAAUAACAAUACCAACAAGGCUGCCCACCAACUACCACCAUAAAGCACCAAACACAUAAAGCUUUAACAUUUUCCAAUUCAAAUGCAAAACCCGCAAAAUAAAUUAUACCCUUUUGUAUUUUAACUCGGUUUCGAAGGAGAAUGGGAAGAAAGAUGAAGAAAGAGCAACAGUUUGAGCGCCACAGAGCUUGUAUUCUGCAAGAUCUGAUAACACCGACAAAAGGGGUGAGAGGACUCACAGAGAGAGAUGUAAAGAAAAAAUCUAGGGGGGCAGAGAGCGAGAACUACGGUGGGCUCACGAUGGAGAAUCUGAGAGAGGAGCGGUGCAGCCUUGGACGGAGGAGGUUGCUGCUGCGGUCAGGGGAGGAGGGGUUGCGGGGUAGGUGGGGGUGGGGUGGGAUGGGGGGUUGGUUGCAGGGAGGGGGGUCGGGGAAGAAGAUAGGUUGUGGGUUUGGAGAAAUUUUUAGGUGUUCCCGUCACCUCACAUCACCAUGGACACUUGGUGUAUCCAUCCAAUCAGGGGAUGUCACGUUUCCCAUUAAAGAAUCUUUCUGAUUUAUUUUUUAAGAAAAUCAAUUAAACAAACACUUUAAUGGGAAACGUGACACCCCUGAUUGGAUGGGUACACUAAGUGUGAUGGUGAUGUGGGGUGACGGGAACGUGUAAAAAUUUGUCGUGGGUUUGUUGUUUUUUUUCGUUCUUUGUUUUUUGUUUUUGUUUUUAAAUAACUUUUCUUUAAUUAAAUAUUUUUAAAUGAAUAAAAAAAAAUUGUCACGUGACACAAAUUUAACAGCCACAUGGUACAACUGUGACAGCCACGUCAGCUCUUAACGGAUCAAUUGAUGAAAAAUGUAACAAUUGUACUAUAUUGAAAUAAAAUAAUAGGUAAGGUAUAAAAAUGAAAUGUUUUAAAAAUAUUGUAUUCAAUUAUAAUACAUCCCAAACCUGAAAUGAUAAAAUGUAAUUUACCCUAAACUUUAUGCUCCCUUUGGGUAUCUAAAGCUUUCUUUGCAUCAGUCUGCAACUGUUAGCCUCUAAGUAAUAUCUAUCACGCAUCUCUAUAUCAAGGUAAGAAAACCCACCUUUUAAAAGGAGGAUUUGAGCAAAGAAAUCAAAGACACUGAGAGCGGGAAGGGGAUAAAUUUGAGCUGAAUAUAAAGAGUGUUUAUUACAACUUAGCUCACAAAUGACUUACAUCUUUGCUUCAAUCCUUUCUAACAAACACAAUCCAUACAACUAAGCUUUCAACCAACUAAAACUACCAAAUGAAUCACAUACUGUCACAUGUCUUUAUGGUUAUUACUCCCCCCUCAAACUAAGCUAGGGAUCCCCUAGCCAAGUUUGCAGCAUCGUUGCUGAAAUUCCCAGUCCAACAUAUUUGCAAUGAUUGAGAGAAAUGGGACUGAUCAAAGUUUUUAAUCUUUUCUGAUUGCUCAAGUCUUGAGAUGUUUUUAGAGAUUUUAGAAUUUAUGGAGAAACUAUGGGAUCUUUAUUUAUCCGUGUCAAUAAUUAAAUAACUACCCUCGUCAAUUAAUAAUUUCACUGGAUUGAGUUAUUUGAACGUAGACAGUUGCUAGGAACUUAAGGGGGUGUUUGUUUGACCAGAUUAGAGGGGACUUGACUAGACUAGACUGUAGUCCCUUGUUUUGUCUGGACAAGGAUUAGGUUUAAUGGGACUAAAAGGAGCUUGCCCCGACUGAACGUUUCGCUAAACGUUCUUAAGGAGACCCCUCGAUUUCAAGCGGACUGCUAGUCCAGUUCUCUCCCUCGCCGCUGAUCCCUCGUCGUACUUCUCCUUUGCCCUCUCUCUUCUGAUUCGCACCUUCGCCCACUCCCUUGGGCCUUCACUAUCCCACCCAAAAGCCUAAACCCAUACCUCAAACAAAAACUGAAAAUCAAUCCACUGAUUCCCUUCCUUUCUUCUUCGUUCAAUUCACUAUCUUUCUCAACAAAAUCGUUAUAGUUGCAACCACCAGACCACCACCAGACAACCAUCACCAGAAGCUCGUCGUCGAUCUCCGCGUUCUUGCGCGACCCAGACGCAAGUCAGGACCGAAAGAGUACCAAAUGUCCAAGUACCAGUUGGGGUUUUCAUUGGUGGUGGGGAAGAAGCUGAGAAACUUGUGAAAUUUAGUAGAAAGUUGUGAAAUUUGGUAUUUGAAUUUUGUGAUAUGUGAGAAACUUGUAAAAUUUAGGCCUUAUGUUUUGUGAUUCAUGAGAAGCAGAGGUGGGGUUUGACGGGAAAAGAGGUAGAGGGAGAAGGAAUAGAGGUUUGACGGGAUGGAGAGGUGGGGUGAAAAAUGGUUACAGAGAUUGUAGAAGUAAGAAGAAGAAUAUUCUAAAAAAAAGGAAAAAGAUAAAGUAAUAGUAAAAUAUUAAUAUAUAAUAAAAUAUUAAUUAUAUAUAUAUAUAUUAAUUUAAUAUAAAAUAAUAUAAUAUUGCAAUUCUGCUUCUUAGUCCGACGCUGCACCAAACACUUCACUAAAUCAGUCCAGCUUAGUCUAGUCUAAGCCAGUCUAACUUAGUCCCUGAAGCUAGUCCAAUCCGAGAUAGUCCAGUAUAACAAACGCACUCUAAGAGUCUUCCAAGCUUCAUUCGUACAAAGUCUUUCAAAAUCCUUGAUCUUUCUGGUUGCUCAAGUCUUGAAAUGUUUCUAGAGAUUUUAGAAGUUAUGGAGGAUCUAAUCCUAAUUCGCAUUUUGCAAUAGUUUUUAUCAGUGGAGCCUAAAAAUGUUUAAUAAAAUUCUCUUGUACCGCUGGAUUAAAAAAAAGAUCCAACCCCCUCCCCCCCCCCCAUGCCUCAUUGAAAUUCCUAAGAAUGAUAUUAGAGCAUCACUUAAUAGUUAAUACAAUGAUCUAAUAGAUCAUUUACCGUUGAUCUUGAAUAACUGUUUUUAAUUAUCCUUUCACAUUUAGGUCUUUUUUCUAUCACUUUUGUUUAUUGUGUGGUUGUUGGCAUGCUAAUUUUCAAAUGAUUACACAUUUCAAUAUAGAAUAAUGCAUUAUUGAUGGUUGAAUAGUCAUUGGUAUAAUCUAUUGGAAAUCCUAUUUUCCUCUCUCAUUGCACCUUCCCAGCCAGCGGUAUGUGGAUCCUCAAGUCCAUAUGCGUACCCUUGCCAUAUAUAUAUAUCUUCUCUAAACACAACCACCGCCAUUAUUUUAUUUUCAAUGCUUAUUUAUAUCAUAUUGUUUCAUAAGUAAAUGUUCCGAUGCAACACAUGACAUUAUUACAUGGACCCAAAAUUUUUUAUAUCCUUCCAUCCAACUGAUAUUUGACGGAAAAUUAAACUUUUGGUAUUUCAAUAUCUUCUUUUCACAACCAUUGCCAUAUAUAGAUACAUAUACAUAUACAUACAUAUAUAUACAUACAUACAUAUACAUACAUAUAUAUAUACAUACAUACAUAUACAUACAUACAUAUACAUACAUACAUAUACGUUGCAUAACACGUGUGUAGUAAUGACUUGCAUGCAGAUUUCAAAUUUAUUUUCUGAAGAAACAAAUGAUGAACUCCACUAAUGAUGAAAAAUUGAAAAACAGUACCUCGAAUACACUAUGAAUAAUAACGACGAUCAUUUCAACGAAAUAAUACAAAAUAUAAAUUAAAUAACAUGAGGGUCUAUAUUUUUGUUUCAAAGAAAAACAAGAAGAUCUGCAAAACAACAACGAACUCCAUUAACGACGAAAAUCUGUAAUCAACCUAAAAAAGUUAGGGGUAAAAUCGACAAAUCAUAAUUUAUUAUAGGUGGGCCAUUUUUAGUUGGACUACUUUAAUAUGAGUCUUGUACUAAUCAUUAAACAAAACUUAUAACAUUGUUUUUUUUUAUUAAAACUAAAACUUUUCAAGUAAUUUUUCAUUAGUUUUUCUUUAUUUUAUUUUUAGUGCUUAUUUAUAUUAUAUUGUAUCAUAAACAAAUGUUCCGAUGCACACUAACACAACCACGGCCAUUUUUUUUAGGGAACUUUAACGAAAAACUCCUGGUACUGUUCACUUUAACGAAAAACCACAUUUUUACACUAAAAAGUCAAUCCUGGUACUAUUCACUUUACCCUUUAUUUUGUCCUUAUCGUUAAAACUCAAAGUUUUCAAGCCUUUUUCAUUAGUUUUUUUUUUUUUUUUAUAUACAUAUAUCUUCUUUAUACAUACUUUAUGCUGUGUAGCUCAUAUUGAAGUUACCAUUUACAGGGAGGAUAUUGAUAUCAUAGAAAAGAACCACCAGGACUAAUCAGGCAUCAAAAUACUUAGGAGAAGUCAACGCCAGGGGAAUAUUCUAUUAGAAUAAACGGAAUAUUUCACAACCAUUUCCCGUUUAUAAUACAUGAAAACUUUUCUACUCAACGAAACGAAUCUAAUCAUGGUAGUUAGAGGCCUUACCUUGGCCGGAUUUGACGAGAACGUCGUUGGGAAAAUCCUUCCCGCGUCGGAGCACUUUCAAUUCAACGUCUCAGUUUGAUUUUUCUUUUUGGAAGUUGGGGACGAUGGUAUGUUUAUAAUGAUGAGAAGGGGUGAUGGUGAGGUUUGACACAUUGGGUUGGACGGAAUAACUGUUUUUAAUUAUCCUUUCACAUUUAGGUUUUUUUUCUAUCACUUUUGUUUAUUGUGUGAUUGUUGGCAUGCUAAUUUUCAAAUGAUUAUACAUUUCAAUAUAGAAUAAUGCAUUAUUGAUAGUUGAAUAAUCAUUGGUAUAAUCUAUUGGAAAUCCUAUUUUCCUCUCUCUCAUUGCACCUUCCCAGCCAGCGGCAUGUGGUUCAUAUGCGUACCCUUAUUAUAUUAUUAACUUUUGUUUUUGUGGAUUGAAGGAGCUUCAUUGACUUGACUUUCGGUAUUUCAAUAUCUUCUUUUCACAACCACUGCCAUAAAUAAGCUUUGAAAAUAAAAUAAUGGUUGUGUUUGUGUAUAUAUAUCUUCUCUAAACACAACCACCGCCAUUAUUUUAUUUUCAAGCUUAUUUAUAUCAUAUUGUAUCAUAAGCAAAUGUUCCGAUGCAACUAGGGAUAGGCAAUGGUUAUGCGGGCGGGUAACUACGGUUAUUUUACCCAUAACCGUUUAUGUUCAUACCCGCAUAAUCGUUUACCCGUUGGGUAAUUACAUAAAUGGUUAUACACAUAACCAUAACCGUUUAUAAACGGUUAUCCAUACCCAUAACCGUGUACCCAUUUAACCAUUUAACCAUAAUCAUAACCAUUUACCUGUUUACCUAUUUUUUCGCCCGUUUAUUCUUUUUUUACCCAUUUACCUUUUUUUUCGUCUGUCUACAUUAUUUUUUUUAACAAUUUGAAAAUUACAAAAGAAAAAUUUGUCAUAAUUUUUAUUUUCUGAUAAUUAAACACCGUUAUAAGUACAUUUUAGCAUACAUUUACUCGUGCUCGUAAGAAGCUGAUCAAGAAUCCAAGAAAGAAGUACAAGGUAUUUUGAUCAAAUAGUCGAACACACAAUGUUGCAGGCUAUUAAAUGAUUGCUCUACUAACUCAUCUCUUUCUCUGUGCGUGUGCAGUUGAAGCACCAGAAGGCAGUGAAGAGUAGAAGAGGACAGGUAAGAGAGGUGAGGAAGCCCUUAGGUCCGUAUGGUGGAGAGGCCACCGGAAUCAAUGCAGGAAUCAGUCAGAGCACCAGAUUCAAGAACUAAAUGUUGCUCAUGAUUUCGUCAUUGUGUCCCAAUUUUGGUAAAGUGAGAAUUUCUUUUGAUAAAGUGACAUAAUUUUGAGUAACUUAAAUGAUGUCGCGAAAUGUACUUGUAUACAAUAUGCCUGCAUUAUAUGAGAAGUUUGUAUGAAUUGAAUGGAAUUGAAUGUCGUCGUUGGGGUAAAAUCAAAUUUCAUAUCCGAUUUAAUUUUUUUUAAAUUUAACAUAUAUUAAAUUAAAUGGGUAAAUGGAUACCCGUUAUAACCAUGAAUAUUACCCAUAACCGAUGGAUACCCGUUAUAACCGCGGAUAAUACCCAUAACCGGCCAUUUAAAUUUCAUGGAUAAACGGUUAUACCCAUAUCCGUUUAUUUGUCUAAACGGUUACCCAUAAUCAUAAUCAUCAACUUUAAAUGGGCGGGUAACCGUGGUUACCCAUACCCAUGGGUAUUUUGCCCAUCCCUAGAUGCAACACAUGACAUUAUUACAUGGACCCAAAUUUUUUUAUAUCCUUCCAUCCAACUGAUAUUUGACGGAAAAUUAAACUUUUGGUAUUUCAAUAUCCUCUUUUCACAACCAUUGCCAUAUAUAUACAUACAUACAUACAUAUACAUACAUACAUAUACGUUGCAUAACACGUGUGUAGUAAUGACUUGCAUGCAGAUUUCAAAUUUAUUUUAUGAAGAAACAAACGAUGAACUCCACUAAUGAUGAAAAAUUGAAAAACAGUACCUUGAAUACACUAUGAAUAAUAACGACGAUCAUUUCAACGAAAUAAUACAAAAUAUAAAUUAAAUAACAUGAGGGUCUAUAUUUUUGUUUCAAAGAAAAACAAGAAGAUCUGCAAAACAACAACGAACUCCAUUAACGACGAAAAUCUGGAAUCAACCUAAAAAAGUUAGGGGUAAAAUCGACAAAUCAUAAUUUAUUAUAGGUGGGCCAUUUUUAGUUGGACUACUUUAAUAUGAGUUUUGUACUAAUCAUUAAACAAAACUUAUAACAUGGUUUUUUUUAUUAAAACUAAAACUUUUCAAGUAAUUUUUCAUUAGUUUUUCUUUAUUUUAUUUUUAGUGCCUAUUUAUAUUAUAUUGUAUCAUAAACAAAUGUUCCGAUGCACGCUAACACAACCACGGCCAUUUUUUUUAGGGAACUUUAACGAAAAGCUCCCGGUACUGUUCACUUUAACAAAAAACCACAUUUUUACACUAAAAAGUUAAUCCUGGUACUGUUCACUUUACCCUUUAUUUUGUCUUUAUCGUUAAAACUCAAAGUUUUCAAGCCCUUUUUCAUUAGUUUUUUUUUAUUUUAUACAUAUAUCUUCUUUAUACAUACUUUAUGCUGUGUAGCUCAUAUUGAAGUUACCAUUUACAGGGAGGAUAUUGAUAUCAUAGAAAAGAACCACCAGGACUAAUCAGGCAUCAAAAUACUUAGGGGAAGUCAACGCCAGGGGAAUAUUCUAUUAGAAUAAACGGAAUAUUUCACAACCAUUUCCCGUUUAUAAUACAUGAAAACUUUUCUACUCAACGAAACGAAUCUAAUCAUGGUAGUUAGAGGCCUUACCUUGGCCGGAUUUGACGAGAACGUUGUUGGGAAAAUCCUUCCCGCGUCGGAGCACUUUCAAUUCAACGUCUCAGUUUGAUUUUUCUUUUUGGAAGUUGGGGACGAUGGUAUGUUUAUAAUGAUGAGAAGGGGUGAUGGUGAGGUUUGACACAUUGGGUUGGACGGAAAACGCGGCUUCGCCGUCCUUCCUUGUCUGGGUGUGCCUCCGGGAAGAAGAGGGAAGAAGAGCGUUGAGAGUUCUCUCUCCUGGUAGAGAGAACGCAGUAGGAUAAAAAAUAAAAAAUAAAAAGCCCCCCCAACAACCCCGAACCCCCCGGUAAACUAAACACCCAAUAAAUUAUCCAGGAAUCAAAUGGUUUCUUCACAUUUUGUUUGGUCAAAACUAAAGUAUGCAUAUUCCUUUUACACCGAACUUUCAUGGAAGAAGACGUGAAACACGCAUAAAGAAUAAUUUUCUUUUGACCUUUUUGCGCAAUGGUAAAUUUAUAAACGAUUGAGCUAAUUUGCAUCGACUCAUUGACUUCGUAUCCAUCAGACCAUUUCUGGUGAUCCAGUUUGUAGGUCAAUUGAGUAUAUAUUUCUGUUCUUACACUACUCUUAGCCUUAGCUGCUAGAUCAUCGCUGACCAGGUACGACCGAUUAAUGGCUGCUUCUUCUUCUUCUUCUGGCCUUCAUCGGAAAUACGGUGUGUUCCUCAAUUUCGGAGAGGACACCUUCGGCAGCUUCGUCAGCCAUCUUUACAAAGCUCUGCGUCAGAAACGAAUUGAUACCUUCAUUCAUAUCGAAAAGGUCAGAAAAGGUGACCGCCUUUCCGAGCCCCUGACAGCGAUUCGAGAGUCAAGGCUCUUGCUUGUAGUUUUCUCUCAAAACUAUGCUUCUUCCACUCGGUGCUUGAAAGAACUCGUGGAAAUCCUGAAAUGCAAUGGUACCAAUGAACAGAUUAUGGUCCCCAUUUUCUACCAAGUUGAUCCAUUUGAUGUUCGUAACCUCAAGGGAAGUGUCGAGGGGGCUUUUGCUCGGACCGAAAUGGAUGAGAGCUGGAGAUCCGCUCUUGAAACGGCCGCCCAGUUUUCCGGCUGGGAUUCGCGAAAGUUUGAGUAAGGUUUCUUUAAUGUUUAGGCGUCAUUAGAUAAAUAUUUUGUUUUAAAUUCUUAGUUUUCAUGUUUCAGAUUUCUUUUUUAACCAACAGAUGAAAACUUGCUUUUCAUUGUAAUUUUAUGCAAAUUGGUUGUAAAGACUCAUUAGAUCCCUAUAUAAAAGAUCCAAUGUUGACUUUUGAGAUUAUUAUAUACCAUGAAAUAAAAAAAUGAAAAACUUAUUUGAUCUCUACUUUCAAAAAAAUUAAAAAAUAAAAUCAAACGCUAAAAUUUGAAAACUAAAAAUCUAAAAUUUAAAAAAUUAAAAACGAAAUAGAUAUCAAAACGACCCAAUAAUUAUUAUUUGGUGUUAGUUAUUAUACUGCUUUUUAACUUUGACAGGGAUGAUGCGGAUCUUAUUAAGAAAAUUGUAGAAGAUGUUUUCGGGAAAUUGAAACCCAUCGCACCAACACCAAGCGAAUACGAUGUGUUCAUCAAUUUCAGAGGAGCAGACACUCGCAAGGGCUUCGUCAGCCAUCUUUACAAGGCUCUGUGUCAGAAAUCAAUCAGCACCUACAUUGAUAACCAAGCGCUCAGAAAAGGCGACCCCCUUUCCAAUCUCCUGACAGCGGCUCGAACGUCAAAGAUUUCGAUUAUAGUUUUAUCACAAUCCUAUGCUUAUUCCCCUUGGUGCUUGAAAGAACUCGUGGCAAUAUGGGAAUCCGACCGUAUCAAAAACCGUAUUCUGAUCCCCAUUUUCUACCUAGUCAGUCCAAAUGAUAUUCUUACUCUCCAGACAGGUUCGGAGGAAGCUUUUGCUCAGCACGGUUCCGAUUCCAAUGCCGAAGUGGGAGUGGUUUGGAGCAGGAGAUCCGCUCUUCCAAUAACCCCCAAUAUAUCCGGCUGGGUUUCGCGCCAAGGGUAAAUUCUAAACUGUUUUAGUUUCCUAUUAAUUUUUGGGAUUUUUCUAACGUUUGUGGUCAUUUGAUAAAUAUUUUGUUUCAAGUUUUUUACUUUUAUUUUUCAUUUUUUUUUUGAAAACUAAUAGAUGAAAACUUGUGAUUAACGGUUGUACAGACCAUACUCUGAAAUAUCGAUAAUAUCGAUGAUAUUUCAGUUUUUUCGAAUCACGGAUAUUUCGGAACAUAUCCAUGUACAUAUCGUACAAAUAUCGACGAUAAUAUCGGAAAAUAUCGAUGUCGAUAAUUUCGCUCACAGUUCAGCAAUAUUUUGUCAAAAUAUCGAAAAUAUCGAUGUAAAGGAAGGAAAAAAAAAAGAAAAAAAAGGGAGGAAAAAAAAACACAAAGGGGAUUUGAACCCCUCCCAUUUUACUUCUCCAACACCGUAACCACCAUAUAUCACUCAUGUUUUAGUGAUAAUAUGCUAAAAUAUUUAUAUUUAUAUGAGUGACAUGUUAACAAUUACAUGCAAAACUAUUUUGGGGAUUUAUCAUUUGAUGAAUACUCUUCACAAUAAACUUACUCUACACAUAGAGAUGAUGAAGAUAGUGAAAAUUUUGAACCUCAUAUGAAUUUUAUGUGGUACUAAAUCACUCAUGUAUCUUACCAUGCAAUGUAUAAAGUGUAAAAUAUUGUAGUAAAUCAUUAUAUAUAAAUGAUUAUGGUGUGUUUAAUCUUUUUUCAUUAAUUACUACAUAUUUUCUACACUCACAGUGUUUGCCAGCUCUCUGUAUAAUCAACUUAAAUCAGUUAAAUUCAUCAUGUAAUGCAUUUCCUUCUAAUUUUUUUUAUAAACUAAUAGAUAAUUGACUAAAUAAACAUUCUUCAAAAUUUCAAUAAAAAUUUUCAAGUUUUUCUUACAAUUUCCGUGAUUUUUAUUCAAUUUUUAUCGAUAUCGAUAAUAUCCCGAUAUUUCCAUCGAAAUUUCCAUGUUUUUGGACUACCGAUAUUUUCGAUAUCAUCGAUAUUUUAUACUAUGGUACAGACCCAUUAGAUUCUUUUAUGCAAGAUUUAAUUGUUGAUCUUUGGGAUUGUAAUAUACCAUACAAAAAAUUAAAAAACUUAUUUGAUAACUAUUCUAAGUGAAACUAAAAAUUGAAAACCCAAAAUUUGAAUACUCAAAAUCUAGAUAUGAAAAAAAAUGAAAACGAAAUAGUUAUCAAUUAUUAUUGGGGUGUGCUAUCCACACACCCCAUUUUACUUCUCACACAUCCCUUGAUAAUUUAAGUCCGUUGAUCUUCUUCAAUUCAUCCGAUCCGAGGGCGGAAAAUUAAAAAGGUGUGUGAGAAGUAAAAUGGGGUGUGCCAUUUUACUUCUCACACACCCCUUGAUAAUUUAUGUCCGUUGAUUUUCUUCAAUUCAUCCGAUCCGAGGGUGGAAAAUUAAAAAGGUGUGUGAGAAGUAAAAUAGGAUGUGUGGAUAUCACACCCCUUAUUAUUUUGUGUUGUUAUUAUAUUGUUUUUUAAAUUUGACAGGGAUGAUGAAGCAGAGCUUAUUGAGCUCAUUGUAGAAGAUAUUUCUAGGAGAUUGAGCCAUAUCUCAUCAACGUCAAGCAAAGAUAAAGACUUGGUUGGAAUGGAUUCGCAUAUGCAUGAAAUGCUUUUACUAUUAUAUCCUCGUCCUCCUGGGGAGGAAUUGGAUGAUGUUCGCGUUGUUGGAACAUGGGGUGGGAGUGGUUUAGGCAAAACAACCAUCGCUAGAGCUGUUUAUGAUAAAAUCGCUUGUCAAUUUGAAGCUUGUUGCUUUCUUGCAAAUGUCAACGAAGAUUUCAUGAAGCACGGCAAACUACAUAUGCAGACAGAACUUCUAUCUAGUAUCUCGAAAAACAAGGUGGGGAGUUCCGACAUUUCGAAGGAAGGUUUCCAGGUGAUGUUAAAUAAACUAGGUCAGAAAAAAGUUCUUAUUGUUCUGGAUGAUGUGGACACAUUAGAACAAAUUGAAGCUUUACUUGGAGGGCAACAUUCCUUUGGUGGUGGAAGUAGAAUCAUUAUAAUAACUAGAGAUGUGCAAUUACUUAGCAGAGCUGAUGUACUAUAUAAGCCCAAGAUUUUCAAUAAUGAAGCUCCGGAAUUCUUUAGCCAAUAUGCCUUCAGAAGAAACCAACCCACCACAAAUCAUGAUGAUCUUUCGAGGCGUUUCAUACAUUAUGCUCAAGGUCUACCUUCGAAGCUCCAAGUCUUUGGAUCCUCUCUUCGUGGCAAACCUGUAGACAAGUGGGAACAAGCAUUAGGAGAAGUAAGGGAAAUCCUGCAAAGGGAAAGUCAUGAUUUACUGGAGCAAAUGGACCGGGAAUUAGCUCGUCAAGAAUCUGGGUUGUACGGUUAUGAAGAUAUUUAUCGUGCUCUAAAUCAAAAUACGGUGAGAAAUCUCUGUCUUAUGCAAUUUUUAUUCGAAAGCUUCAACUUUUAGCUCGUUAGAUAGCUAUUUUAGUUUCCAAUUUUUUUAAUUUUUAGUUUUUAAUUUUUUUAAUAAUUAAAUUGAAAACAAUUACCAAACAAGUUAUGAAAAAUUAACUGAAAACAAAAUGAUUAUCAAACGGCUCCUUAAGAAACCAGCAUUAACUUCAUAAUCUAAACUAAUGUUCUCUGAUUUGUCCUUUACUCUGGUUUGCAUAGGCUACAGAAGCUAAUCAAAAGGACCUUUUUUUCUUUCUUCUCCUAUAUAAAUUUUAGAAAACCAAUCAAAAGGAACUAAUAACACCUAAUAAACUUUUACUACUGACGAGAAAAAAAAAUUGAGUGGCAUUUAUGUAACUAACUUGAAGUUUGGAUGCAGUAGUGGUAUCAUAAAUACUGUUCUUUUUUUUUUUAACAAUCAUAAAUACUAUUUUUCAAGGAAGAAACAGUUGAAAGUAUCUUUUAACUUAGUUGGUUAUGACCAAUCACAUUUGCAUUGGUUCCCGUGUUUAAAAUCUCCUCCCAUAGUUUAAUGUAGAUUAUUUUAUUAUUUGUAAAAAUAAAAAUAAAAAAAACUAAAGAAACAGUUGACCUAAACAAUUAAAAAACAGUUGCCGAUAUUUAUCCUUUCUAAAGUUCAACUUAUUUAUGAAAAAUGUCACAUCUUUUAUUUUUUUUUUCAAACUUCAACUUAUUUACAAACAUGUUACUACCUUUGUCGUCUUUUAAGCGUUUUGUUUUUACUUAUUUACAAACAUAUCACAUCACGACGUUUUUGUUAAUGCUUUUGUCUAGAAAUGAAGAUGAUAAAUAGAAAAUACACAUUAAAGUUCUUAUUAUUUGUGUAAAAAAAUGACACGUGUAAUUUGUUAAAGUGAAACUGUUCAAAUGCAAAGGUUAUUAGCGCUUCUACUAAAUAUUAGCAAGAACUAAUGGGUUUUUGUGUUGAUGUCAUUCAUGUUAAUUGUCACCACAAACAGGUAAUGCCUCACUUUUUAAGAGCAUCGUCAAUCAUGUUCUUCAUUUUUAAUUCAAAUUUUUAACUAAAAAUAUUAGAAAAGUUAUCUUAGGAGGAUGGAUUUUUCUGUGUCUUCAACACAAGCUGGUAUACUAUAUGCCACAAUAUAAGUGGUGAAAGGUUUUUUUUGUCAAGUGCUCUUUCAUUUCUAUUAUUACAAAUAGUCUAUCGGUCCAUAUUCAAACCAUACUAGUUUGUUUUAGGAAACCCAACAGUCUUGAUUUGUUUGACCAAGAAAUUGAGGUGCGCAUUUGAAUUUUAGAAACACCAAGAAAUUAAAAUACGCAACUUUCAAAACAAAAGAAAACGAACAAAGAAAACAAAGAACUGGCCUAACUUUGAUUUAUGUUUGAAAGUGAUUUUCCGGAUGGACUCACGCGUUUAAUUCAUGGUUUUUGCAGCUAAAAAUGCUAGGAGAACAAUCUUUCAAUGAUGCUUAAAGGGCUGGUUGCUGGUGCUAGUAAAAAGAUUCUUGAAGUGUUGUUUGUGGUGAUAUGUUGGAGCUUGAGUAUUCUUUUCACCAGUUGGGUGGUUGUUUAUGGGGUUUGUUUUGUGUAUUAUGCUGUUUCAAUUUGCUCAAUGCGGUUUGUUUUUUAUUUUAUUUUUGUGGUUUGAGUUGUUGCUGCUUUCUUGCUACAUCAUUGUCCAUAACUUCAUACAAACGCAAGCAUGUAAUAAGUAUUUGUGUUUAUUUUUUGCUAUGACACCAUACUCUUUCGGAUCCUUUUGCAAAGAUGCUUUUAGGUGAAUCUCUACCUUUAUCGCUCUCUUCUUCUUUAUUUUUCUUAAUUUGAAGAAAUCAAAUCUUGGUUUGAAUUUAAUCCACAUCCUGCCCUCAUGGGUCUUAUUAACAUAGUUGAAAAUACUAAAUUGUCCAUGUCAUAUUAGCACAGUUAACGGCUAUUUUUAAAUUAUUUGACAAAAUAGGGUAAUGUGGGACACUGAGAAGAGUGUAAGCGUUAAAGUGAGACAAUAUAAAGUGUAGGGACUAAAAUAGAACACAGAGGAAGAAUGCAUGUGGUAAAGUGAGUCAAUAUAGCGUGUAAGGGCUAAAGUAGAAUUUAGUAAAAAGUAUAGGUGCCAUAACUCAAAAUAAGCUAAAAAUUUUUAUGUUUUUUUUUUUUAAUCAAUAACGAUGAAUUUCAUUCCACAUCAAUAAAGCAUUACACAUUUGGGAUAGAUUGACUGGAAAAUAAAGCAAUGGCAAACAAAGACUUCAAAAACCCCCCAUCUGGUAUAACAAUCUUCCGACUCAGCCUCCAAAAUUGCCAUUAGCCAAGGAGGAGCCUCCUCAAUCCAAGCCAUGAAUUCCUUACAUCUUAACGCAAAUUGAGCCACUGAAUGUGCCGCCAUGUUUGCUGCUCUCGGCUGCCAUUGGCACGCAAAGCUUCGAAAGCAAUUUUUUAGCAACUUAAAUCUCUUCCACUAAAUUCCCAUCCACUCCUCUAUCAUCUUCAACGUCCAAAAUACUAUCCACUGCUUUCUUGCCAUCCAUUUCUAGAAUUACAUGGUUGAAACCCAACUCAUACGCAAAUCGAAGUCCUUCCCUCGUGGCAAUCAAUUCAACAGCGCGAGGAGAAAGGAAACUCUGCGUUUGUUUUGAACAAGCUGCCAUUUAAUAGUCCCUUUUCAUCUCGAAUUACCACCUCAAUGCCUUGACCAUCCCGGUUCCGUUGCACUGCACCAUCAACAUUGAUCUUCACCACUCCUGUCGUUGGUGGCUGCUGGAGGACCUGAGCUACAACCCCACUAUUACUGCCACUAACCGAGGCAUUCACCAAGUGAAAUUCCUCCAAAAGUUGUGCCUUGCACGUGCAGCAACCUCCCAAGAAUGACAAUCCUUAUUUUCAAAUAGCAUACCCUUUUGGGUAAAUCGCCAAAAUGGUCCAUGAGAUUUGCAUAACUCACCACUUUGGGUACUGAGAUUCCAAAUCGAUAAAAGUAGUCCCUGAGAUUGUCCACUAUCCAUCACUUUGGUCAUUCCGUUAAAAACUCCGUUAAGUGUCCCGGAGCUCUUGGCCGGAAGUUUGAGCAAUUUUCAAAACUUCGUAACUCAAUCGUUUCUUAACCAAAUUCGACUCAUAAUAUAUCAAAAUGAAGAUAGGAAAGUGUAGCAUGAGAUUAUACCUAUUUCAAAGCCUAAUGAUUGCCAGAGAUAGCCAGAAAAUAGCCUCAAAAUUGACUGGUCCGAGUGAAAACUUGAAAACUCACCGGAAAUUGGGUAAACUUUAAACGUUCAUAACUUCUUCAAUACUUAACGAAAUCAAGUGAUUUAAAAAUAAAAAUCAUACUCUCGACAAGACGAAGAGAAUGAUACCUCGAGAGUGGCUAACUCGAGACUAAGAUAGUCACUUUUGAGCUAUUUUCCGGCCAAAACAUGGCGAGUUAGCCGUCAAAAAAGGUACCAUUCUCUUUGUUUCAUUGAAAAGUAUGAUUUUUGUUUUUGAAUCACUUGAUUUUGUUGAGUAUUGAAGAAAUUAUGAACGUUUAAAGUUUACCCAGUUUCCGGCAAGUUUUCAAGUUUUAACUUGGACCAGUCAACUUUGAGGCUAUUUUUCGGAAAUCUCCAGGAACCAUUGGGCUUUGAAAUGGUAUAAUCUUAUUUUACACUUUCCUAUCUUCAUUUUGAUAUAUUAUGGGUCGAAUUUGGUUAAGAAACUAUUGAGUUACGAAGUUUUGAAAAUUGCCCAAACUUCCUGCCAAGAGCUUCGGAACACUUAACGGAGUUUUUAAUGGAAUGACCAAAAUGAUGGAUGAUGGACAAUCUCGAGACCACUUUUAUCGAUUUGGAAUCUCAGGGACCAAAGUGAUGAGUUAUGCAAAUCUCAAGGACCAUUUUGACGAUUUACCCUACCCUUUCUAUUAAUCCAAAUUGCCCAACUAACCAUCGCGAAUAAUUCAAGCUCCUCCCUUGUCGAAACCAACACCAUAGCUCUCCAAACCUCGAGAAACGACUGAACCUUCCAUUCCCUGCUUUGCCUUCCACCAACUAAAUUCCUUCCAAAUGUCGGCCAACUCCCCACAACCCCAUUUCGCACGAAUAGUCGUUUCCCCUUUCUGUUUACAUCUUCCACACAACGGUGAAAGAGUGGUCUUCUUUUGGAAAAGGUUACAAUUGCAAGGAAUAUUUUCCCAUAAACAUAUCCAGAUAAGGUGUUACUUUGUCAGGUAUAGACAAAGUCCAUACAUGUUUCCAUAAAGGAUCACCAGUUCUACUCGACAAACCUUGCAUUCCACUUGAGCAACAUCUGAUCAUUCGUUGCAGGAAUUGAUCCAACCCAAGCCAAAGAAUAUGUGUUUCGAGAGUGACGUUGAUUGGUUUUAAUAAUGAAUGGUGACAUUUCAGAGGCACCAAAGCAGAAUUAAACAAGGUGUCUUUUGCAACUAAAAGUACAACAGAGAUAGGAAGUAGUUGAAGGGAAAUGAAGCGUCAACAAGGGAAUUUACAUGAGAUGUUUGGGUAGUCGGUGAAGAAAGAAAAAAUAUGUUGGUGGUGCUGGGACAUCUUCUCAUGCCUGCAAAGAUUUCACGAUCAACCAUGGAAGUCCAAAACGACUGAGUUCAUAGCAGGUCCUCUCAAAUGGAGAAGACUGUUCAUCUGGCGUGAAAAGAAAUCUGAGGGAUAAGGGUUGGAUUCUUGAUAGCAUCUGGUAUUUAUACCACAUACCCUCAAAUCCAUGAAAAUCCAUCACCCAUCAAAAUCCUAUCAAAUCCUUGGUAAUUUCACUACACCUAGACAUCUUCAGACUCAUUUAAAAUCUUAAUCGACUAUCCCAAGAUUUCGAUGUAUUCUUUAAAAUCCUUUAAAAUCCUAAUUUGAUUACACUCUAUUUUCAAAAUCUUUUAAAAUCAUAAUUGAAUACACCAAAAUUUUAAAAUCUAUUAAAAUGCUAUCAAAUCCUAAUUUGACUACACUCUUAGAUCAUUCACCUAAGAUACAGUGACCAAGAUCCAACCUUUAAAACCUAUAUUCUAGACCACUAGUCAUCAUUAGUUGUCGAUCAUAAAAGUUUUGAAAUUCUCUUAAUGUAUGUACUAAUAAUAUAUUCAUCUUUGAGUAAUGCAUCCCCUACCUUCAGAGCAAUUCCACCAUUGCUAAGGACCUCCCGGGCUAUUCACUAUUUAAUCCACCUAGUGAACAGUAACUGCCCUUAAUGAAUAGUAACUGCUUUUUGCAUCUCUACCCCUACACUGAAUAGCCCUGGCAAUAGACAAUAAAAUAUUAAUAUUUUUUUAAAUAAUAAAAAAUAAUUUUAUUUGUAAUUUUGGAUAGGAUUUUUAAUCGGUCUCGUUGUACCACUUUCUAUUAAAAAAAAUAUUUUUAUUUUUUUAUUUUUUUUCUUUUCACAUGGUGCAACACAUCAUUCUAAAACCUUUGUUUUUUUUCACAUGGUGCCAAUGCACCAUUCCAAAAACAUUUUUUUUUAUUGUUAUUUUUUCUUCUUUUCACAUGGUGUCAACUAGGGGUGGGCAAACGGGUCAUGGACCCAUGGGUCGGGACGGAUCCUUACGGUUUGGGACGGAUACUUGGCGAGUCCAAAAAUUAUAAAUGCAAAACGAGGCGGGCCGGGCCGGGCAGGUUCCUGAUAAAUAACGGGGCGGGCCGGUUGUAAAAGGUAGAGAAAACAGGCCCCCGCCUGGACCGUUCAUUCCUACUGACUAUUGUUUAUUACCCUAGGCUAAUUUCGCUCAAGCCUCACCCUCACCCUCACUGUCUCUCUCUCCCGAGUCAAGUCUGAGUCUCCUCCCUCAUAUCUCGAUCUCCUCCCUCUCUCUCUCUCUCCCCCCCCAUCUCACCCGCCCUAAACCCAGCUGAACCCCUUUCUUCCUCUCAUCUUCUCCAACUUUCACAAAGCAUAACCAAGCAUAUACCCAGGAACCGGCUCAAGAUCCACGACAUCGAGCUCCGCCUCCCGCGUUGUCCUCCAUAGGUACAGUAAAAUUACACAUACACACACACACACAUACACACGUAUAUCUGUAUCUAAAUAUUUUAAUUUAAAAUGUUAGCUUUGAAUUUAUGAAAUGAUUGUUAGGUUUUAUGCGGCAGAUGUGAGGGUGGAGAGCUUCGAGGUGCUCGACAAGUGCAAAGUAUUGUUCUAUAUUAUCUAGAUUAACUAGACUAUUUUGGAUAGCUACUGGCCUGCUUUCAUUAAUCAAACACCAAUCUGAAGGUAGGGUGAUGUCUGACCACCUGAUGGUUCUUGGUACUUUAAUGUUUGCAUUUUCUUGAUUAGUUUGAAUUAAAAGUGUAUGAUCUCUCGGACUUUUGGUUAAAGCCUAAAAAUUCAUGUUUGUGCCAGUGACUUUAUAAUAGACUCUGUAAAUUAGUGUCAAAGGCUGUGUUCCUUCAAGGACUUGAUAUCCUGAAGUUUUAAUAUUUAAAGUGAGUGAUUUCAGCAUGUGGGGAUCUGAAAGACUUAUGGUGAGAUUUGGAAAACAAUCAAAAUGGAUAGGUCCAUUGUAGAGACUCGACUUAAUCAUUCCAAGUAUGCUAUCACUAAAGUUAAUGAAUCUAGCAUCUUAGAGGCAUAAUAAAAUAGAGGUAUUAAGACCCUUUCGAGUUAAAGGUUUUACGGCUAUUUGAACUAAGCCAAUGUGAAUGUAGUUAUGACCAUCUUUCCUAUGGGAUUUGAUUUGUUCUGGAGAAAACAAUUGACAAGUUUCAUGUUCUUUACUAAGAGCAUAAGCAUUUUCAACUGUCUUGACAUGUUCACUCCUAAAUGAGGUUACUGACCAUUUCUUUUUAUAAAUAUUUUUACUUGAAACCUUGGGGAUAUUCCAAUCUCCAAAGUCUACACUUUCAUCAGUUUGAAAAUCAAGUUUUUCUUCCUCAUUAACUGUACCAGGUAUAUUGCCCAAACUAGACCUAGAGCUAGUGCUGGUUUCAAUUGCUUAUGUGCUGCUUUUCUUUCUUAUACUUUAGAUUUGUGCAGAAACUGUGAAGCUAUUGCUAUCUGUGUCAAUUCCCGUUGCUAACUUGCUAAUGCCACCGGUGCUCCUCCAUUUGGAUGGAAGGUACUUUGCUUUUCUUUUAUCCUAACUUUUCUAUAUCUGCAAUUUCACACAUAACAAACUAGCUACACUCUGAGCUGUUAUAAAGCUGACCGUGCAGCUGACAUGGAUUGGCAGUGCUGACUGUGCUGCUGAUCUGUGUCUUUAUUUAGGACAUCAAGAAUUUGAUGGGUUUUGUGUAGUUUUUUUUAUUUUUUUUAUAAACUGCCCAUAAUUGUGGAAUUCAUGAUUUUGCAAUGAAGUUUAGUUGAUAGCAUUAGGACUAACAUUGCAGGGGUAGUAAACUUACGGUGACUACUCUUACCAAGUUAUUGAAAAUAAAUUAGCAAUGCAACAGCUUCUGAUCAAAACAAAGCUUGAAAAGCAAAAAAUCUGAUGAUAUGUUUAAAUUUUUCCCUACAUUCUUUAUGUUAUGCAAAUUUUUGUGAUAUUAAACGAUGGAAAACGUAUUGUUCUGAUAUUGAAUCGUACGUACUUGCAGAAACCUGGGCACAAGUUACAACUAAUUCUUAGUAUAAGGUUUCAGUUACUUCUUCGACUAAGCAAUACAAAGCUGGAGAGAGCCUGUGUCGGAAGAAGCUUAUUGAAGUUGUGAAGUUCAGGGAUGUUAUCAAUAAUGAAUUUUACUUCCAGGUGUAUUGUGAUGAUCUUCCAGUCUGGGGGUACAUCGGGAAAGUUGAAGAUGAGAGUUGGGAAAAAGGGACCAAGUAUUAUCUGUUCACAC
rnacentral:lncRNA from 1 species